rnacentral:lncRNA from 1 species
GGCCUCUGUUCCAAAAACUUCGUUUCAAGCUACAAUUACGGGACUCAGGUGGUCGAGUUGACGGAUCGAGUGAUCAAUUUAAAGAAAGACGGAGAAAAAAUUGAAGUCGUUGUUGAGAAGGCGCCGGAUGGUGCAGCAAUUGAAUUACCUCUUGAUCACACAGUUGUUGGUCAAGAACUAUUACUUGAUCAAGUUUGGAGAUGUAUCACUGAUCAGGAAAAUAACAGGGGAAUUAUCGGCUUGUAUGGUAUCGGGGGAGCCGGCAAAACUACCCUUUUAAAACAAGUCAACAACAACUUCUGCCAUCAACAGCAUAAUUUUGAUGUUGUUAUCUGGGCGGCUGCGUCAACACUUCAAGAUGACAUUGGAAAAAGGAUUGGCUUUUCAGAAGACAGAAACUGGAAGGAAAAAAGUUUAUAAUUAACGAAAGGGCCUUUUUCUUUUUUUAAAUCCCGCUAAAGGUUAUAAUUAACAACAAAUUAAUAAUAGAAGAGAGAGAAAUACCAAGUUCAAUAUGGUAAUAUUUUAUCUUCCCUUAACUGCUCCCCUUUGGCUUAUAAUGCGACCUUUAUACUCGUUGACAAAAUUGUAUUUGUCGCUUAAGUCUUGUUUGUUUUAAAAUGCUGGCAUAUUUAUGGAGUGGGAACUAGGGAUGGCAAUGGAGUGGAUUUGAUCCAAGAUCCAUGUGAUCCAAAUCCAAUCGGAUCGGAUUUGGAUCGGUUUAAAAUGGAUUUGGAUAUCGAUGUGCGGAUCUAAGACAGAUAUGGAGCAGAUAUGGAUCUAUCUUAAUAUCUAAAUCCAUAUCCAUAUCCACUCAUCUUUUAAUUUUAUUUUAUUUUAAAAGUUUAUUAAUAAUUGUGGAAUGAUAAUGAUAAUAAAUUUUAUUCAUAGCAUAUUAGUAAUAUUUACCAUGAAUUUAAACUCUUAAAACUUAAAGGUUAGUUUUGUAAAUUUAAAGGUCAGCCAGCCUCAAAACAUGUACAUGCAAUAUUCAAAUUGCAAUCCAAGUAAUAUAACCUGGUAAUAUAUUUUAUCAUAUUGGCCAAAUAAUUUUUAAGGAAUAUAGUUAUUCAUAUAUUUAGUCAAAUGUGGUCAUAAUAAAAAUAAUAAAUGACUGAAUAUAAAACAUAUUUAAUUUAUAUAUCAUUAUCUAAUGUUGUAGGAAUGAGGGUAGGUGUAUCGUGAAUACUAGAAUGAUGAAGGAGACAAUAGAAUAUUAGAUUGAUCUUACUCCUGCAAUUACUUCUGAAUGAUAUUUUAUUAUCUUUCUUAUUUGUUGUUUUGGUAUAGAAGUAUAAGCUACAAUAUUUAUUAUAUUUUUGAGAAAAAUUAUAUAAUUUAUUUGUUAUCAAUACAUUUUAGCCUUCAAUUUUCAAUCUAAAAAAUUAUUACUUUUUUAUUACGGAAUUUUAGAAUUCAUGACGGAUCUAGAGCAGAUUUGGAUUUUAAUUUUUUUUCGGAUUUGGAGCAGAUAUAGAUAUUUAUUUCUUUUUUGGAUCUGGAUAUGGAGCGAAAAAUAUGGAUUCAUAACAGAUCUGGAGCAGAUACUGAUCUUGAUUUUUAUUAUGGAUUUGGAUCUGGAGCAGAGUAGAUCCAACCCAUAUCUGCCCCAUUGCCAUCCCUAGUGGGAACCCAGAUGCUGAACUCAUAGUAAAUAUUUAUUUAAUUUGUUAUAAUUACAUUUGGUGGGAUAAUUUUAAAUAUUAAUUUAACAAGAUAGUGAUGUUUGCCUUGCCCUACAUGAAGAAAAAUAAGUAAUUAAAGAUUUUUCUUUUCCUUUAUAUUAGUAAUAGAUUUCAAAUGGAAAACAGACAAAUUUCAUUUUUGUUUCAAUAAUUACCCUAUCACUGUGUGCGUGCGUGAUCACAUAAUUUUGUACUACCGUCUGUGGAAUAACUUUAGGAAAAGAAAAUUAAUUUUUUUUAAGUAAUGAUAAAUAUUUUAAAAUUUUAUCUUAAAUUGUUUUCUUCUCUUAUCAAUUUUUUUUUUCUCCUAUCUUCCAAUGAAAGUGCAGGACCUCAAUUAUUUUAAUAGAGAUGUAGUAAUAAAUUAUUAAUGAAACAUGUCAAAUCCAAUGUAUAGAUAAUAAUAAAAUGAGGCUAAUGCUAAGUUACAUACAUGUAACUUAGGGGAUCCAUAAAAUAAAUAUACAUGGUUUCAAAAAAGUUAGCACAUGCUUGUUACAAAUAUAAAACAUUAUCUUAAAAGUCUCUGAACUUUUGUGUUCUCUUUAACAUUUUUCUCUUAUGUUGUUUUUGUACUAUAUGGAUACAAGAGUGCGUUUGGCACGCUGUAUUAUAUUAUGUUGUAUUGCAUUAUUUUAAUGCAGGUGUAUUGCAUUAUGUUGUGUUGCAUUAGUAAUGUAUUAUAAUAAUGUUGUACAAUGUUUGGUACUAUAUUGUACUGUAUUAAUUUUUAAUUAUAUUAUAUUUGAUAUUGCACUAUAUUGUAUUAAUUUUUUGUGACUAAUUUAAAUUAUAUAUUUAGAAAAUACUAAUGAAUUGUGCUAAACAAUCUAAUAAUUAUAUAUUUUAUUAAUUUUUAAUUAAUAUUAUUCAAAUUUAUUCAUAUUUAAAUAUUAUUAUUAGUUAUAUUAAAUUAUUUAAAAAUAACUAGUUUAAUUAUUUUAAUAAAUUAAAUAAUAUUAUAUUAUAUUAUAUUAUUUAAGUAUUUAUUAUUAGUUAUAUUAACUUAUUAAAAAUUAAUUAAUUAAAUAUAUUAAUUGAUAUAAUUUUACAUAUUAAUUAAUAUAAUAUAAUUAAAUAAUACAUUUUUUAGUUGUACAUUUACUAUGAUAAAAAUUAAAAUAUAAUAUAAUAUUAUUAAACAAUAAAUUUAUUAAUUUAUAUUAAAAUUAUAAUGUAAAAAUAAUAUUAUAUAAUAUAAUAUUAAAUUAAAAAUUAUAUUCAUUUAUCAUUAUUACAAAGUAUAUAAAAAAAAAAAAAAAAGAGGAAGCUAAAACUAAAGUGGUAACUGGACGCAUUAGCUAAACCCGACUAUAUGUCGGGUUUAGCUAAUAUAGCCAUUUGGUACCCCAAACAUGGGGCUGCAUUGCUAAUGUAAUGCAAUCCCAGGUAAAGAGGGGUACCAAACAACCCCCAAGUUCACUUAAUGUAACAUAACAUACUUUUAUAUAUAUAUGUAUAUAUAUAUAUAUAUAUAUACACACUACGUGGAGGUGAGCUCCUUAAGGUGAGAUUUAUCAAAAUUAUAAAUUAUUACAACAUGAAAUUUAUUCUUAUUUAUAAUUGACCUAAUAUAAAUUAAGAUCGUUACUUUUAUAGCUACAUGAAAUUAUUCUUAUAUAAAAUAUCACUACAUAAAUGUUUUAUUGCAAUAUUGAUCUCUCUUUUUUCUUUAUUGUAUUUAUCUCUUCAUAAUCUUUUCCUUUUUAUUAAAAAAAAAUCAAAUAAAAGAUUCAUCAACAUCUCAGUCCAACAGUCUACCAGCGAAAACGAGUGUCCAUGCUUUUGAACCAAGGCCCAAUAUGUGAGGGAGAGAUUGUUGGGUUGUCUUAUAUCGGUUGUGAACUAGGAUGGGAUUGAAUGAGACCCAAAACUGCCUAACAUGAAUUCUAUCACUGGGAUUUUUACCCAGUAUAACAAACAUAACACAACGAAUUAUCAAUUUAUCACCUAAUGGCUCUAACUUUAGCGAUGAUCACCUUACAUGAACAUGAAAAUUAAUCCCAUUGUUUAACUCAACACUGACGAUAAUCACUUAAACUCUUAUGCACCGAAGGAUAUACUCGCUACAGGGAAUCUUAACUCAUAAAGAUGCUCCCACAUCUUCCAUUAAGUUUCCAUCGAACAACUAUUCAUAUCAUUCGAUGAAAAAUUAAUUUUAGUGAGGGCCAAAAGAGCACGAGUGAUCCAAACCACUAAACAACAUCAUAACCAACACAAAAUUCAUACUAAACAAACCAUUACCAAAACAGCAAAGCUAGACAUAAAUUUGAACAGAUACACAAGCUACAUUCAUUACCAUAAUGUAUCGACUAAAUUUCCAAGCUCUCCUGUGCUGCUUGUCUAACUGAUUCAAAUCCACAUAGAUAAAUUUAAGCACAUUAAGUUUUCAAACUCAAAUCAAACAGCUUUAAAAGUUACUUCACAAACAAUGAAUUUCAUUUUCGAAAUACAAAGAAUCCGUUCAGUUUAAAACAAUAAAAAAUCGUCUACGACUACUCAACUCAUGUAUUAUAACUAAAAAAACGAAGGAUACCCACAAAAAUUAAAGAUAAAUUACCAAAAACCCAAAAAACUCAAGCCAAAAUUGCCAAAAAAAAAAAAGCGAGAGAAUGGAAAUUGGGGUACCAGGGGCGGGCGAGAGGAAACGAGAAGAGGAAGAAAGAGGGGUUUUAGAGAGAGUGGGAAUUAGUGGAGGCAAAAAUGGAGAGUUUUGCCUCCACUAAUGAUUGGUGGGGUGGUGAUGGCGGUGGUGGGGUUAAUGUUCUGGAGGGUAUGCUGAAGAGAGGUCGCAAGAGAACCUCCAUAGCCUUUAAAGAGAGUUGAGUUGCUGCUUUCUUUUGCCGUGGAUGGAGAGAGAUUAAGGGAUUAGAAUUCUGUAUGGAAUUUACUUUUUAUUAAAUAAAAAAUUAAUGUUAAAAUCAUUUUAUUUUAUUUUUUUAUCUAGUUAUCAUUGACUUAAUAUUUUGGAUCUUCAUCCAAAGUAAAGGCACAAAAUUUUUAUUCUAAAUAAAUAUUCUCAAUAUAAAUUUAUCACUUAAAUAAUAAAUGAUAAGAUUUUAUAUUAAUUCUGUCAUUACUGAAAUGAAUUACAAAUUUUAUAUGACGUGUAAACGUAUCAUUAUAUUCUUGAUAUUUGACAUCUUGACUAAAGCAACAAAUGUAUCAUAUUUUUAUUUUGGUAUUGUGGUUCUCUAAAAAUACCCUCACCAAAUUAGCUUAAUUCUUUUCAUUGUACCCAUUGCUUCUCUUCCUCUUUUCGUCAACGACAAUGGGUAACUUAAUCUCAACCUUCUUACCAGCAGACUUAUUUGAUCGAACUUCAAACUGCGUUGGUGAACAAGCAAAAUAUGUAUGGGGUCUCGAAAAAAAUCUUCGGGUCUUGGAGACUGAAUUGCACAAAUUGACUCGAGCAAGGGCCGAUCUGAAGACCAAGGUUGAGGUCGAAGAACAACGACCUCGAACCAGACGAACGAACCAGGUCGCAGGGUGGCUUGAAGAUGUGCAAAAUCUGGAAACUGAAUUUACCGAGCUGGAACGAGUUAGAGCUCAUGAAAUGGAUAGAUUGUGCCUUGGAGGCCUCUGUUCCAAAAACUUCGUUUCAAGCUACAAUUAUGGGACUCAGGUGGUCGAGUUGACGGAUCGAGUGAUCAAUUUAAAGAAAGAUGGAGAAAAAAUUGAAGUCGUUGUUGAGAAGGCGCCGGAUGGUGCAGCAAUUGAAUUACCUCUUGAUCACACAGUUGUUGGUCAAGAAUUAUUACUUGAUCAAGUUUGGAGAUGUAUCACUGAUCAGGAAAAUAACAGGGGAAUUAUCGGCUUGUAUGGUAUGGGGGGAGUCGGCAAAACUACCCUUUUAAAACAAGUCAACAACAACUUCCGCCAUCAACAGCAUAUUUUUGAUGUUGUUAUCUGGACGGCUGCGUCAACACUUCAAGAUGACAUUGGAAAAAGGAUUGGCUUUUCAGAAGACAGAAACUGGAAGGAAAAAAGUCUUCAAGACAAGGCUGUGGACAUCGCUAGCAUUUUAAGCGGAAAGAAGUUUGUGUUGUUAUUAGAUGAUGUAUGAGAGCGCAUUGAUUUAACAGAAUUGGGUGUCCCUCUUCAAAAACUAAAUGAUGGGUCCAAAGUAGUCUUGACAACUCGUUCAGCUGGUGUUUGCGAUCAAAUGGACGCUGAAAAGUUGGAAGUGUAUAGUUUGGCGCAUGAUAAAGCCUGGGAAUUAUUUCAGGAGAUGGUCGAAAGAUCCACUCUUGACAGUCAUACCAGUAUUCCAGAGCUAGCCGAAACCUUGGCAAGAGAGUGUGGUGGGUUGCCGCUAGCGCUUAAAAUAGUGGGUCGAGCGAUGAAAAGCCAAAGGAAAGUUGGAGAUUGGAAACGUGCAAUUAACAAAAUGAGAACAUCAGCUUCUAAAUUCUCAGGUAUGAAGGAAGAGGUGUUUUCGCGUUUAAAGUUCAGCUAUGAUAGUUUGUCUACGGAUGAACUUCGUUCCUGUCUCCUGUAUUGUUAUUUAUAUCCUGAAGACUACGAAAUUCCUAAAAGGGAAUUGAUUGAUUAUUGGAUUAGUGAAGGAUUUGUGUAUGAUUUUGAUGAUGGAUGCGAUUUUAUUGAUGACCUUCUUCAAGCAUGCUUAUUGGAGGAAGAAGGCGAUGAUCAUGUAAAGAUGCAUGAUAUGAUUCGUGAGAUGUCAUUAUGGAUAGCGUGCACGGUAGACAAGGAGGAGCAGAACUUUCUGGUUCGCGCUGGAGUUAAAUUGACCGAAGCACCAAAGGUUGAAGAAUGGGAAGGUGCCAAACGGAUAUCUCUGACGGCAAAUGGAAUUGGAAGCCUAUCGGAAAUUCCCACGUGUCCACGUCUCGUCACUUUACUUCUGGAUGGAAAUCGGAUUGAGGAGAUUACUGAUGGCUUCUUUCAAUCUCUGUCGACUCUUAGAGUAUUAAGUCUAAGAGGAAAUUUUCCCCCAAGUACACUACCUUCAGGGAUUUCAGGUUUGGUUUCAUUACAUCAUCUUGAUCUUUCUUCGACUGACAUAACUGGGUUGCCGCAAGAGCUGAAGGCAUUGGAGAAGCUGAGAUAUUUGAACUUGGACUAUGCAUUUCAUUUGUCUAUAAUUCCACAUCAAUUGAUAUCUUGUUUUUCAAAGUUGGAGGUACUCAGGUUGUGUGGGUGCGGUCGCUUUGGUGUAAUAAAAGGGAAAGAAGGUAACGUUCUAUGUGAUGGUGCUGAACCUUUGAUGAAGGAAUUGCUGGGUUUGAAGCAUUUAAAUGUUUUAAGCUGGUCCUUCGGAAGUUCACUUGCUGUCCAAAAGUUUUUGAAAUAUCCAAAGCUGGUGAGCAUCACUCAAUCUGUAUGGGUUGAAUGUGGCACGUAUACAAGGCCACCGUUCAAUGUCUUACAUCUGGCAUACAUGGAGAAUCUUCAGGAGUUAGAACUUGAAUCCUGUAAUUUGGAAGAGAUGAAGAUUGACAGCACAGAAGAGGUAAAGAAACUUUUUCGAAAUGGUUUCCGCAAUCUUAACACAGUUGUCCUAAGGUCUUGCAGAGGGAAGGACUUAACGUGGCUUGUUUUUGUUCAAAAUCUCAAGCAGCUAAAUAUGCAGGGUUUUACUAUGGAAGAGAUAAUCAGUGUUGAAAAAUUGAGUGAUAUUUCAGAGGUAAUCGGGUCAGAGCAUAACUUUUUCCCACGACUCGAAUAUCUAACCAUGUGGCGGGGAACAAAUUUAAAGAGCGUUUACCCGAAUCCCCAGCCUUUUCCAAAGCUGAAGAAAAUUCAAGCAUUUCAUUGCCGACAGCUGUAGAAGCUCCCACUCAAUUCCAGCAGCGCGAAGGGACGUCGAGUUGUGAUGACAAUGCUAUAUUUGCUGCAGGACUUGAGUAAAAAUAAAAACAGCAAGAUUUGAUUAUGCUGUCAAUAAAAUCCUGCAAGAUUGUAGGAAAAAAAUUUGUUUUUAAAUUUUAUGAUAUCAGAUAUAUGUUAAAGAUAUGUAGGCAGAUUUUUUGGCUUUGUUUGUUUCUUUUCAUGUAUAAAUUCAAAUACUGCAAUAAUGAAUAAAAUACUGCAAUUAACAGACCCAAUUUCUAUGUGUUCUCUUUUCUUUGUUUAAAACCAACAAGGUGGUAUCAGAGCCCUUAUUCUUAAGGGACUUGUAACGUGAUUAGAGAGGCUUCCUACACUUCAAUAUGGCAGGAAAUGGUUUCUUAUCUGCUCCUCCAGUUUUCACAGGUGAAAAUUAUCAAAUAUGGGCUGUGAAAAUGGAAUCUUACUUGGAUGCAUGUGACCUAUGGGACUUGGUGGAAGCAGAUCCAGAGGAUCCACCAUUAGCUCAUAUGAGGAAUAACAGGGAUGAAAGAAAAUGGAGAUAUAAGGCCAAGACAUGCAUUCACUCUGCAGUUUCGGAGACAAUUUUUACAAAGAUCAUGACUUGUGAAACAACGAAACAGGCAUGGGAUCUUUUGAAACAAGAAUAUCAGGGGAACGUCAGGACAAAACAAAUGCAGGUCCUGAACCUGAGAAGGGAAUUUGAAAUGUAGAAAAUGAAGGAGACAUAAACAGUUAAUGACUAUAAAGACAAGUUGAUGAUGAUUGCCAAUAAAAUUAGAAUGCUUGGGGAAGAGUUUUCUGAUAGAAGGAUUGUAGAGAAGAUUUUGGUGACCUUGCCUCAGAGAUUUGAAUCUAAAAUCUCUUCACUUGAAGAGUCCAGAGAUAUGUCAACAAAGGAGAGCUUACAGAAAGGAGGAGAUAGUUGAAGGAGCAUUUCAAGUGAAAGAGGCUGAUCAAGCUCAGGGAGGCAGCAAAGAAAAGAAACAGUGGAGUAAGAAGAUUUACAAGAAGGGGGAAAGUAGCAUCAAUGAAGGCAACAAGGGCAAGCACUCCCCGUGUCCUCACUAUAAGAAAACCUCUCAUCCGCAAAAGAAAUGUUGGUUUAGGCCUGACAUUCAAUGCAGGGCAUGCAAGCAAAUUGGGCAUAUGGAGAGGGUGUGUAAAAACAAACAGCAAGAAGGACAUCAAGCUCAAGCAGCAGAACAACAACAGGAUGAACAACUUUUUGUUGUAUCUUGUUUUUCGAGUAACAGUUCGAGUGAUGAUUGGCUCAUCGACAGCGGAUGCACAAAUCACAUGUCUUUUGAUGAAUCUCUUUUCAAAGAAGUAAACAAGUCAGAAGUGUCAAGAGUUAAAGUUGGCAAUGGGCAGUAUAUUGAAGUGAAAGGUAAAAGGACAGUUGCAAUAAAAAGCUCAGCAGGUAUCAAGUUAAUUUCUGAUGUAUUACUUGUUCAUAAAAUUGAUCAAAAUCUACUGAGUGUGGGACAAUUGCUUGAGAAAGGUUAUUCUGUUGAAUUUAAGAAUAACAUGUGUGUCAUUACUGACCCAAAUGGUGUAGUGUUGUUCUCUGUGAAAAUGAAUAGCAAAAGCUUCAGCUUAAGUUGGAACAAGGAUGAAUGUAGUGCAUAUCAAUGUACUUUGAACCAGGCUGAGUUAUGGCACAAGCGGAUGGGGCAUUUUCAUUAUUCUGCAUUAGAUUACAUGCAGAAAAAUGAUCUUGUGCAAGGAAUGACUUUCAAUGGAGGAGGAGCAUCAGUGUGUAGAGUCUGUCAGCUGGGAAAACAAGCUAGAUUGCUAUUCCCUGUUAAUAAGGCAUGGAGAGCAGUUGAGAAGCUUCAGUUAAUCCACACAGAUGUUUGUGGACCUAUGAGGACUGCAUCCUUAAAUGGUAAUAGGUACUUCAUGGUUCUUAUUGAUGAUUUUAAUAGAAUGUGUUGGAUUUACUUUCUCAAACAAAAAUCUGAAGUUGCUAGUGUAUUUUGGAAGUUUAAAAAAUGGAUUGAAAAUCAAAGUGGUUGUAAAAUCAAGGUGAUUAGAUCUGAUAAUGGGACUGAAUAUACAGCUGAUAAAUUUGCUAAGUUUUGUGAAGCUGCAGGGAUUGAACAUCAGCUUACAACAACCUAUACACCUCAACAAAAUGGAGUCAGUGAGAGGAAAAACAUGACAGUCAUGGAGAUGGCUAGAUGUUUGUUGUUUGAGAAGGAAAUGCCAAAAAUGUUUUGGGCUGAGGAUGUUAAUACUGCUGUAUUUCUGCAAAACAAGUUACCAACAAAGGCUUUAAAGGGAAAAACACCUUUUGAAGCUUGGUUUGGUUUUAAACCCUCUAUUCAUAACUUGAGAAUUUUUGGUUGCAUGUGUUUUACUCAUGUUCCAGAUGCAAAAAGAGAGAAGUUGGAUCAAAAGGCAGAAUAUGGAGUUUUUGUAGGAUACAACACUCUCACCAAAGGUUAUAGAGUUUAUCAACCUUUGACGGGAAGAAUCAUAGUGAGUAGAGAUGUUAAAUUUGAUGAAACUGGAGGAUGGAAUUGGGCAACAGCUGAACCAAAGCAAGUUUAUGCAGAAGAAAAAACAUCAGAAUUGCAAGAUGAUGAUAUAAUUGAUGAUGAACCAAUAAGAGGUACCAGACCACUUAUAGAAAUUUAUCAAAAGUGCAAUAUGGUUGUGCUUGAACCUGCAGGUUAUAAUGAGGCUGCUAAAGAUCCAAAGUGGCUUGAACCAAUGGAAGAUGAGAUCAAGAUGAUUCACAAGAAUCAAACUUGGGAGUUGGUGGACAGACCACUACACAAGAAAACUAUUGGUGUGAAAUGGGUUUAUAGAACCAAACUCAAUGCUGAUGGUUCUGUAAACAAAUUCAAAACAAGGCUAGUUGUAAAAGGGUAUGCUCAACUAUUUGGUGUUGACUUUUCUGAAACGUUUGCACCUGUAGCAUGGCUGGACACCAUCAGAUUGCUUUUAGCACUUGCAGCACAAAAGCAGUGGAAAAUCUACCAGCUUGAUGUUAAAUCAGCUUUUUUAAAUGGCUAUUUGGAUGAAGAAAUCUUUGUUGAGCAACCUGAGGGUUUUGUUGCAGAUCUGAAGAAAGUAUAUUUGUUAAAAAAAGGCAUUAUAUGGCUUGAAGCAGGCUCCAAGAGCUUGGUACAGCAGGAUUGAUGAUCAUUUGCUGAACAUAGGCUUCAACAAGAGCAUGAGUGAAUCAACUUUGUAUAUUCAAGUAAUUAAUCAUGAAUUGAUUGUUGUUUCACUUUAUGUUGAUGAUUUUCUUGUCACAGGAAGCAAUGAAGAAUUAGUGAAGCAAUUUAAGGUUCAAAUGAUGCAAGCAUUUGAAAUGACUGAUCUAGGAGAGAUGACUUUCUUUUUAGGUCUGGAGAUUCAAAAGUCACAGCAAGGGAUCUUCAUUGGACAGCAAAAAUAUGCUAAAGAAGUGCCAAAGAAAUUCAACAUGGAGGAUUGCAAGUCAGUAUGUACUCCUUUAGCUCAAAAUGAGAAAUUUAGUAAAGAUGAUGGUGCUGAAAAGAUUGACGAAGCAUUAUAUAGGAGUAUUAUAAGUUGCUUGAUGUAUUUGACAGCAACAAGACCUGAUAUAAUGUUUGAUGUAAGUUUGCUGUCCAGAUAUAUGCAUUGUGCAAGUGAAUUGCACUACAAAGCUGCUAAAAGGGUGCUCAGGUAUAUCAAGGGAACUUUGGAUCAUGGAAUAAAAUUUGAGAAGGAAGACAAGCUGAUUUUGCAUGGUUUUGCUGAUAGUGAUUGGGCAGGAUCCUGUGAUGAUAUGAGGAGCACGUCAGGCUACUUGUUUAGUCUUGGUUCAAGUUGUUUCUGUUGGAGUUCAAAGAAGCAGGAAAUCGUAGCUCAGUCUACUGCUGAGGCUGAGUAUGUUGCAGCUGCUGCUGCAGUCAAUCAAGCCUUAUGGCUAAGGAAGCUUAUGACAGAUUUGAAAAUGAUUCAGGAUUAUGCAACUGAAAUCUUUGUUGAUAAUCAAGCUGCCAUAGCAAUUUCUAACAAUCCAGUGUUCCAUGGGAAGACAAAGCAUUUCAAAAUUAAAGUAUUAUUUUGUUAGAGAAGUCCAGAAGAAUGAUGAAGUAAGGCUCGUGUAUUGCAAGACUGAAGAUCAGCUAGCUGACAUUUUGACAAAGGGACUGUCAAAGUCAAGAUUUGAGUUGUUGAAGAAAAGAAUUGGUGUCUGCAGCAAAAAUAGCAAGGAGGAGUGAUGACAAUGCUAUAUUUGCUGCAGGACUUGAGUAAAAAUAAAAAUAGCAAGAUUUGAUUAUGCUGUCAAUAAAAUCCUGCAAGAUUGUAGGAAAAAAAUUUGUUUUUGAAUUUUAUGAUAUCAUAUAUAUGUUAAAGAUAUGUAGGCAGAUUUUUUGACUUUGUUUGUUUCUUUUCAUGUAUAAAUUCAAAUACUGCAACAAUGAAUAAAAUACUGCAAUUAACAGCCUCAAUUUCUUUGUGUUCUCUUUUCUUUGUUUAAAACCAACAAAUUGUCAUCGAGGGAACGAAAAAAUGGUGGGAAGAGCUACAAUGGGAGGAUCAAGCCACCCAAAAUGCUUUCUUUUCCUGUGCCGUACUUUGGGAGGAUCCUUAUUAUUAAUAUGUUUGAAUAUGUAUUUCCUUUUUCUUUUUUUUCUUGCUAUAGAGUUGCAUGAUUGUGAUGAUCCUUAUUAUUAUUAUCCUUUUUUUUUUUCACAUGAAGUUCAGUAACUACUUCCGAGAUUAAUAAGAUCCAACUCGUUUUUGGUUUAGUCAAAAACUUUUUGUGGCUCUAAAUCCUUUUUAACACCAGGCCAGGCAUCCACAAAUAUAUUGACACCAUUUUAUUUAUUGAUGUUUAUAUAACUGAAUUGAUUACAAAUUACCCUUUUUGUCCAGUGUGUUCAGAAUAUACUCUGCACAACUAACACAAAAAUAAACAUGUAACAUACUAAUCGUUUAUGUUAAUUUAUGGAGGCCUUAUUGUCCAAGGCAUAUGUAAAACCAUUUCACAUUCGGCAUUGUAAUGUUUAUGGACGGAUUUAAAUGAUGUCACACAAAGUCACAAAUAGUUAAAAAAAAGAAGGUGUUUGUUUUAAAAUGUUGGCAUAUUUAUGGAGUGGGAACUCAGAUGCUGAACUCUGAAUGGGCUGGAAUCGGAAUGGGUUAGAAUCGGAAUGAGCCGGAAUGAGAAUGGGGAAUGAGAGUCAAAAUAAGUUGUUUAUUUGAACUGUAGGAAUCGAAAUCGGAAUGAGUUAGAACCCCAUUAAUGUGUUUACUUUAUCUAAGAAUCGAAAUCGGAAUAAGUUAAGUUGUUUUAAGUUACUAAAACACCCUUAGUUGUUAAUAAUAAUAAUAAUAGUUGUCCUUUGGUAUUAAUGAUAAUAAUAAUAAAUUUAAUAAUAACAUUAUAAAUAAAUAAAUAAUAGUAAUAAUUAAUGAUAAUAAUGAAAUUAAAUAACAACUACUAAUACUACAAUAAUAAUAAUAAUAAUAAUAAUAAUAAUAAUAAUAAUAAUAAUAAUAAUAAUAAUAAUAAUAAUAAUAAUAAUAAUAAUAAUAAUAACAACAACAACAACAACAUUAAUAACAAAUAAGCAAACAAUGAAAUAAUACAAACACCAAUCUACAUAAUUUUAAUGUACAAUAAGUGGCCGAACAAUAUAAGAAAUUAAUAAUUUAAAAUAUAAAAUUAUAAUUCCCAAAACAAACAUUGUGCUCCUCUUCACCGGAUGUAGCAGAUCGCGACGAAAAAUGGCGGCAGGAUGAGCGCGACCACGGUGGCAACAGAUCGAUCGGGACCACGGCGGCAGAUCGUGACGAACGAAAGCAGCAGAUCGCAGCCUUUUGACACCCCCUCGAAGACCCUCCUUUAAAUUCCUUAUAACUCUUUAAUUAAAAUUAUUUAAAUAAUUAAAGAUAAAUUAAUUCCAUUUUAUUUUGAUGGAAAAUUUAAUUAAUACUUAAAUAAAAUUAUUCUUUUAACAUUUUUCCACCCACCUCAUUUCAUAUAUAUAUAUAUAUAUAUAUAAUUUUUAGAAACUUUUAAUAAUUUAUAAUCUUUUUAAGGUGAAAUUUAAUGAGAAGAUUAUUAAUUUUAAUUUAUGGAUUAGUAUUUUAUAAAUUAAACCAAGGUACUUUGAUAAAUAAAAAUUAAAACAAGUUUUAUAAGGAUUUUGGAGUGUACGAAUUCAGAAUAUAGAUUUUCAUGGGGACGUUGAAUAUGCUGAAGCUGAAGCUAUGAAUUUUAGAAUAAAAAUGGCAAUAGACUUUGGUUUAAUGCCAUUAAUUGUUGAAUCAGACUCGAAUACUAUUUUAAACUUGGCGAAAGGUUUUGAAAGAAGUAUGAAAGAAAUAUCAUGGUUAAUUUUCGAGAUUCGAAAUUGUAUGGUUGUGAAAGACCACUUCGAAAUCAAUCUUACAUAGAGAAGUAGUAGUGAGACCACUCAUAAAUUAGAUAAAUAUGAUGUUAACAAUUCAGGCUGUGUAAUUUGGUUGGAGGAAAUUUCAACUCAUGUAAGUCUUUUUCCUUUAAGCGAUUAAUUGAAGUUUUCCAUUUCCAAAGAGAGAUAGAGAGAGAGAGAGAGCUCAACUCAAAUGAAAGUACGAAACAAAGAGUAAAUCCUGAUAGUAGAAAAAUGAGCCAUGAGUAGAACUAUUCGCACCUUUGAAAGCCCUCAUAAAAAUCUUUCUUCAAUAUGUCCCGCUAAAUCAUUUAAAAAAUAAUAUUAUUUCUAAGGGCAGAGCUAUUUGCACUCUAAAAAUUAUUCUCAACGUUUUAUUACUAUAUACACAUAUUUAUUAAUUUAAAAAAAUGAACUAUAUUUUGUACAACUAUGAUGCCACUUCCACCUCCAAUUGAAUGUCAGAAAAUUCAAAGUUUGUCAAAAGAGGAUGGUAAAUUAAGCCCCCUUUUUUUUUUAAUCUGGAUUUGGUUGAACAUUUUUAUGUCGCAAAAAUGUUUGCUGUGUUGUAAUGCCUAAGUGUUGCAGACUAGUUUGUAAGAGUCUGAAUAAUUGUCCAUGUUACUCUGGUAUUGUGGAAUGCCAUGUAUUUUUUGGCCAAAAGAAAAAAUCAAGCAACCAAUGUAAACUUGUUUAAUAUCAUCAUAAUAUAACUGAAAAAGAAGUAAUUAUAGUCAUACAAAAAAAAUUAAUAAUUGUCAUGUCCUUAAUAAUAAUUUAUAUCAUAAAUAUUAUUGAAAUAAUUUUUUUUUAUAAAAUUAUCAGUGUUUAGUGUAAUUUUUAGAGUGUAUAUAGCCUCAUUCUAUUUCUAAACCCACAUAAGUUGAUUCCAAAAACACCCUUGGCUUACACACCAACCCCAUUUUCACAUUUUCUUCGUCUUGGGGAGCUUGAAACCCAAAUCUGAUGGCUUCAACUUUCGAAUAAUCAUUAUCUCCAUUAGAACUUAUAAUUUUAAAAGCUAUUUCCAUAAUAUUUUCAUUAGAAUUUCUUAUAACAACAUCCAACAUUGGUUAUUGAUAUUUUAAGGUUUCAUCUUAAAUAAUAAUAACAAAAUAAUUAAAAUUUUAUCAAAAUUUAAGGAAAUACAUUGUACUUUGAUAAACAAGGAAUGUCAACUAAAUAUCGUCAAAAUAAAUAAUAAAUUUUUAAGUCGAGUUUUGGUUUCACAUAAUUGUAAUUAUGGAGACUAGUUAUUCGAAUAAAAUUUAAUUUCUUCUGUUUAUCAUUGUAACUUUACAUAGGGACAAUUGCAUGAUUAUAAAGGCAGGGUUUGAUAAGGAUUUUUUGGAGGUACCAAUAGGACCACUCAUGAGCCAUGACAAAAUUAAGCCCAUGCGAGGCCCACCUAAUCCAUUUUUACAUUUAGCCAAUUAGCCUGAAGAAUAAGACGAUAAUAAACAGUAAGCCUAAAUAAUAAGAUGAUAUGAAAGUAAGAAUAAGGUUAAGAUACCAAUUUUUUAGUCUUAACUUCUUAAGUCUUAAGUCUUAAUGUAACAUGUCAUUCAUUUAUUAGACGAUAAAUUUCAUAACUUGUAAAAUUAUUUAACCACCAUCCAAUAAAUGAUUGUCAUAUCUAUUGAAAUUUAAAUUUAAAUUUUAGAAUACUUAGCAUUGAGCUGAAUCUAAACGAUUUUAUUUUCUAUUAUUUUUAUUUUAUUUUAAUUUUUUUUCACAAUCGGAUUUUUCUUUGAGACAAUAGAAAGCCUUUUGGCUUUAAGUUUCUGAAAACCAAUAAUAAAAAAUUAUCCAUGAGUUUCUGAAAACCAAUUAACUUCAAAAUCUCUUCCAGCGCUAGGAGGAACAUCUUCAAUAACUUUUUCAUGACCUUUUGGGUAAUAAAUCCCAGUUCUUUCAUGAGGAACCCAGCUACAAUUCCCUUCAUUUUCUCCCACAUUAUUAUUCAUCUGCUGGCUCCUCAUCACAUUUCCUUCUUCCGCAUUGGAUUUCAAUGCUGUUUCUCUUAUCAUAUCAUUAGAACUUGCUUUCUUUUGAAAGGAUUUCCUCAUUAUUGGCCUAUAUGUUUCAAAAAGACUUAACAAAUUAAUAAUGUAAAAACAAAGACUAAAAUAUUCAAACACUCAAAUGAAUGAAAGUAAUCUCUUUUUAUUAUUGCGUGGACAGUGGCGAAAUCAGGAUUUUGGAUGUCAUCAAUAAUAGAGAAACAACAAAUUUUAAGUAGGUUAUAACACAAGAAUAUAAACAUAUGGGGGCUACAAAAUAAAAUUAUCAGACAUAAGGAUAAAUUUAAUUGAAGACUUUCAUAUUUCUUGAUAAUGUUUUUUAACCUGAGUCCCCUGUGGAGACAUAUUGAUUCAGUUAAUAAAACAUUUAAUUCUAUGUACUUAACCAACCACUCAUAAUUAGUAAUUACAUAAUUUGAAACUAUUAGGCCUAUUUCGAACGAACUGUUUCAUAACAAAAUUAAUUUAGAUAAAGUGAAAAGAUUUAUUUACAAACAUACCAUGCAAUAAUGAAGUGCGAUUGUCAAAAUGAAAUGAUGAAAUAGCAAAGUAGAUAGAUAAAAACAUGGAGUUAAAGGUGGGAGCUCCUCUAGCAAAUGAUCCUGUCAUCUUUUUCUUCUUUUUUCUCUCACUUUCUCUCUUUCCAAACAAUGUGGGUGGAAUGAAUUGAAUUAUGAUUUAGAUAGAGAGCUCUUUACAUAGUGAAGUUAAAUAAGAGAAUAUUGUUAUCUAUUUCUCUCAUCUCUAGGGAGAUCGUUUAUUGUACGUCAUUUUCUGUUUGGAUAAAUAUUAAAUUAUAACACUCUUUCUUGAUCAUUGGGGAGCACUCAUUGCAGAGCAUGGCCUUCUUUUGUUCCCUUUUGUUUUGUUUUUGUUUUUUAGUCAUCUAAGUUAUGGGACAUGGCUUGUGGACUCAGCUUUUAGAAACUUUCCCUAGAUAAGUAGUUGAAUCUAGGGGAGGUACUUUUUAGUUUUAUAAGUGACAUUGAUUCACCUCAUGAUUAGUGGCCAGAGAGAAUAAUUACGAAAAAAAAAUUUUAAUUGUUAAUUAAUUUUGUUGAAUAUAUUAAAAUAGCCAAGUUAAAUUUAUAAAAAUAGUUUCAUAAACUCUUAAAUCCAUAAAAUUUUAAUUUUGAGGAUUACAAAAACCACACUUUAACAGAUAUACAAAAAGAUUGUAAAGAUAUAAGAUGAGUCGUUAAUAAUUGCACGUGCAAACAUCGUAUAUUCUUUAUAAUUAAUUGUGCAGAUUUUCAUGACCAAUGCACCAGAUUUUGAUGACCAAUGCACCUGGGUGCGAAAACAAAAAUUAGAACAAAAUAUAUUAAUAAGGGAAGGCCACUCUUUUGUCAAUAUAUAUAUAUAUAUAUAUAUAUAUAUAUAUAUAUAUAUAUAUAGAGUUUGUUAUAAAAGAUUACCUCAGUAUCAAACUCUCCCGAUUCAACAUUGACAUUGAUGACAGUGAAAAUCUUUACAAGAUCCACCAAUAAUCCAGGUCGAUCAGCCGUCUCCACCAAAAGCAAACUUCAAUAAAACAAAAGGUAAACUAAACAAAAAUAGUAAGGACCAAAUUAUCUGACUACUUCAGUUAUGGGCAGGAAUUGCCACUUGGGCUGGAGUAUGAGUAGUAAUAAUGUGGGACCAAAGUUUGGUGGAUAGCAAAAGCCCCAUCAUCUAGAUAAGAGAAUGAAUUAUGCAUUGCCUUCGGUUGGGGCCAUCAUCAUAGAUGCUUAUGUGGGUUGCUAUGUCCACAUCAACCUGACAAAUUCCAGCACAACAAGAUUUGAGACAAGAUUGAAGUGGGACGUUAUCCUUCCCAUAAUAACUCAUAUACGUAGUUUUUAACAUUCACAACAUGAUAUUAAUUUCAAUGGCAGGCAAAUUGAAUAUAAUGUCUUUAAAGAAAAUGAGGAUAAAAGUGAAGUAAUAUUUGGCCUAAGAGAACUCUAAAACAACUUAGUUUCCUAUUCAAAUGAUCACUAGUGAGAAGAGCCAAAAAUAUCAAUAAUCUGAAAAAUCAAAAUAAGACCAGAAAGCAAAAACCUGUUGUUUUGGAGGAUCAACGCCAAAGGCAACACCCAUUGCCAACUGGGAACUUGAUUCCUGAUUCCAUCACCAACACAAAUGGAAUAAGCUUUUGAAUAAGACAAUUCCUACAGGUGCUCCACCAAGUGAUAUCUCAAGAGAGACAAAAAAAAAUGAUUACCGGGUGAUACUGAAGUAGAUUGUUUAUAACUGUCAAACAAAUUGCCUCAAGCACCUCAGGAUCAUCAACUUUCCUACCAGUAUCACCGCACACAAGCAUCAUGACCAAAUUAAUCAAAACCACAGUGGGAAUCUAUUGCAAGAACUGCUCCAAAAAACACCGAUGGCUCUUUGGAUCAUUGAUUUUAGGUUCUAGUAUGUCCAAAAUUUUAACGAUUUCAACAUUAGUGAUAAACAUCUAUUUGCAACAGACUGAUCAUACUUGUAUAUGGAGCAUCACAAGUAGGUAUUUACUAUGCUCAUCAAAUAUAGACCAGAAGACGUUGACAACAAUUAAAGGGUAUUAGUGAAUGAAACUGCAAGCAGAGAAUACAAAUCAGCUCAGUAAUGCAAGGGCAUGAAAAGCAAAAUGCAUAUGCAUCACAAAAUUAUAGAGAUAUAUAAUUUCGCAGUCAUAUGAUGAUAUUGCAGCGGUGAAGCCGUGCGUGAGGUUAAGGCAAGCGAUGGAAUGACUUGCGUUACAAAAGAGGUAUUUGCAAUGAUUGUGUACUGGACGGAAAUUGAAUCCAUGUUUAAGAAUUUACCGCCGGGGAAAAAAUGUCAAUACAAAGUCAAUGCGAACGAAUAGUGAAGUCAGCAGUCGCAAAGGCAAAGUUCUUAACCAGAUGGACUCCAGAUAGAUUAGCGGUGGCAGUUUCACAGCUGACAGAUGAACAAAGAAUGGCUGCUUGUCAAAUGGGCUUUGGUAGUUUUCUACAACUGAACCGUGGCAAGCUAAAAAGGAAACUUUGUGGCUAGUUAAUUGAGAUGAUUGAUACUUUGAGGUACAUUUUAGAGUUGAAUGGUAUUAGCUUUCGAACAAGAUCAUCAAAGAAACUCCACCAACCAGGAAAUUUAGACUUAAUCUAUGCUCUGCAAAUUCAUAUACUCUCUAAUAUGAAACUACUUUUAUGUGUUUUGUUAUUCCGACUUGGUAACGUUGUUAUGGAAGCCUGACAACUAUUAUGUCCGUGCAAUUUUUAUUGUAUCUUUUGUUAUGUCAUGAUAUCGAAGCUUGGUUUUCUGACUCCAACUACUAAGAACUGCAGUUGCAGCAUCUUUUGAAUAUUACAUAUGUGCUUGUAGUGUCUCCACGGAUUAAAAUCUGCUAUUUAAGUUCUUCUACCGCCCCCGCUUCUUCUUUCAUUUAUACUUGCUGCACCAUUUACUUCACACUCUGUAAAGCCAUAUGAAAGCUUGUUCAUUUAUGUUCACUUGCAAUUCAAAAGCAGUGUUUAUUUCAACUGUCAAAUUGACUACUUGCACGUAUUGAUUUCAGUCGAAACAAGGUUAUUGGUCGAUCCAGAAAUUGAAUCCAUAUGGCCAUUCCAGCAUCAUUCAACCACCUAAUUUCAAAUAUAUAAAUUAAUUCAACCCACUUAAGUGAUCAAAGGCGUGGAACAAAUCAUGAAAGAUUUUUCAGCUAUCAUAAAUUCGAACGGAUGUAGUUUGUAUUCUUUCAGGCUUAGACAGAUUUUUUGCAACAUAAACUUGUAUGUAAUGUACAUUUUUUUGUUCCUUACAAAUUAAUUGCUGCUAAAAUAAUUGUUUCGACCAAUAUUUAUUGUUAUAAUAGAGAAACCUUUUCUUGCAACUCAAACAGUUCCGAUGGCAUGAUCUGCAUCCCCUGUUUGCCUCUUGGGCUGCACGAUCUUGCUCCUUUUCAUCAAACGGCAACUUCGCUGCAGACAAAAAGAGGGGGUACAGUGCGCAGGGGCACCGUAGAUGUAGCCCAAAAAGAUGAUUUUGUCCCUCCAUGUCUAAGUAUUUUAACCAAAAAAUAAUAAUAAUUCCUUACAUCAUCAAUGAUUGCACUUGUAAAUCUAAGGGAUUAGAAUUCUGUAUUGAAUUUAUAUUUUAUUAAAUAAAAAAUUAAUGUUAAUUUUUUUUUUUUUUUAUCUAGCUAUCAUUGACUUUAUAUUUUGGAUCUUCAUCCAGAAUUAAGGCACAAAAUUUUUGUUCUAAAUAAAUAUUCUCAAUAUAAAUUUAUCACUUAAAUAAUAAUGAUAAGAUUUAAUAUUAAUUCUAUCAUUACUGAAAUGGAUUACAAAUUUUAUAUGACUUGUAAACGUAUCAUUAUGUUCUUGAUAUUUGAAACAUGAAUCAAGCAACAUAUGUAGCAUAUUUUUAUUUCAGUGUCGUGCUUCUCUAAAAAUUGUUGAAAGCAGAAGCCAAGCUGGCAUGCCUCCUGAGCUGGUGUGGUAGGUGAGUUGGAUUUGUUGAGCUGGCAAAUGAAAUUAUUUAUGAUGAUGCUGUGAAUUUAAUUGUCGUAUAAUGUUUGUGUAGAAUUAAGAAUGGAAGACAAUGUCGAUGAUGACAAGAAGAAUAGCAGCGCAUGUGAAUUGAAUAGUUGCAUCUUCUAGAAGCUUAAUGUGAUUGGUUCACAAUUGAAUUGAAUAGUUGCAUCUGCUAAUGAAGAAUAGCAGCGCAUGUGAAUUGAAUAGUUGCAUCUUCUAGAAGUUUGUCUCUGUAUGCAAACUAGCAAAGCUCUGUAUUUCAUUUUCAUUCAAGUCAUCAUAAUCAAUAAAGGCCUGAUUCUCAUACUCUGUUUGCAUUUGAAAGCAAUUCUUAAGAAUUUAAGUAAAAUGACCCUCACCAAAUUAGCUUAAUUCUUUUCAUUGUACCCAUUGCUUCACUUCCUCUUUUCGUCAACGACAAUGGGUAACUUAAUCUCAACCUUCUUACCAGCAGACUUAUUCGAUCGAACUUCAAACUGCGUUGGUGAACAAGCAAAAUAUGUAUGGGGUCUCGAAAAAAAUCUUCGGGUCUUGGAGACUGAAUUGCACAAAUUGACUCGAGCAAGGGACGAUCUGAAGACCAAGGUUGAGGUCGAAGAACAACGACCUCGAACCAGACGAACGAACCAGGUCGCAGGGUGGCUUGAAGAUGUGCAAAAACUGGAAACUGAAUUUACCGAGCUGGAACGAGUUAGAGCUCAAGAAAUGGAUAGAUUGUGCCUUGGAGGCCUCUGUUCCAAAAACUUCGUUUCAAGCUACAAUUACGGGACUCAGGUGGUCGAGUUGACGGAUCGAGUGAUCAAUUUAAAGAAAGACGGAGAAACAAUUGAAGUCGUUGUUGAGAAGGCGCCGGAUGGUGCAGCAAUUGAAUUACCUGUUGAUCACACGGUUGUUGGUCAAGAACGAUUACUUGAUCAAGUUUGGAGAUGUAUCACUGAUGAGGAAAAGAACAGGGGAAUUAUCGGCUUGUAUGGUAUAGGGGGAGUCGGCAAAACUACCCUUUUAAAACAAGUCAACAACAACUUCUGCCAUCAACGGCAUAUUUUUGAUGUUGUUAUCUGGGCGGCUGUGUCAACACUUCAAGAUGACAUUGGAAAAAGGAUUGGCUUUUCAGAAGCCAAGUACUGGAAGGAAAAAAGUCUUCAAGCUAAGGCUGUGGACAUCGCUGGCAUUUUAUGCCGAAAGAAGUUUGUGUUGUUAUUGGAUGAUAUAGGGGAACGGAUUGAUUUAACACAAUUGGGUGUCCCUCUUCAAAAACUAAAAGAUGGGUCCAAAGUAGUCUUGACAACUCGUUCAGCUGGUGUUUGCGAUCAAAUGGACGCUGAAAAGGUGGAAGUGUAUAGUUUGGCGCAUGAUAAAGCCUGGGAAUUAUUUCAGGAGAUGGUCGAAAGAUCCACUCUUGACAGUCAUACCAGUAUUCCAGAGCUAGCCGAAGCCUUGGCAAGAGAGUGUGGUGGGUUGCCGCUAGCGCUUAAAACAGUGGGUCGAGCCAUGAAAAGCCAAAGGAGAGUUGGAGAUUGGAAACGUGCAAUUAACAAAAUGAGAACAUCAGCUUCUAAAUUCUCAGGUAUGAAAGAAGAGGUGUUUUCGCGUUUAAAGUUCAGCUAUGAUAGUUUGUCUACGGAUGAACUUCGUUCCUGUCUCCUGUAUUGUUGUUUAUACCCUGAAGACUACAAAAUUCCUAAAAGGGAAUUGAUUGAUUAUUGGAUUAGUGAAGAAUUUGUGUGUGAUUUUGAUGGUGGAUGCGAUUUUAUUGAUGACCUUCUUCAUGCAUGCUUAUUGGAGGAAGAAGGCGAUGAUCAUGUAAAGAUGCACGAUAUGAUUCGUGAGAUGUCAUUAUGGAUAGCGUGCACGGUAGACAAGGAGGAGCAGAACUUUCUGGUUCGCGCUGGAGUUGAAUUGACCGAAGCACCAAAGUUUGAAGAAUGGCAAGGUGCCAAACGGGUAUCUCUGAUGGGAAAUGGAAUUAGGAGCUCAUCGGAAAUUCCCACGUGUCCGCGCCUCGUAACUUUACUUCUUUCAAUCGAUGUCUUCUCUUAGAGUAUUAAGUCUAAGAGGAAAUUUUCCCCUAAGAACACUACCUUCAGGGAUUUCAGGUUUGGUUUCAUUACAUCAUCUUGAUCUAUCAUCGACUAACAUAACUGGGUUGCCGCAAGAGCUGAAGGCGUUGGAGAAGUUGAGAUAUUUGAACUUGGACUAUACACGGUUUUUGUCUAUAAUUCCACAUCAAUUGAUAUCUGGUUUUUCAAAGUUGGAGGUACUCAGGUUGCUUUCACGCGGUCGCUGGAGCGUAAUAGAAGGUAACGUUCUAUGUGAUGAUGCUGAACCUUUGAUGAAGGAAUUGCUGGGUUUGAAGCAUUUAAAUGUUUUAAGCUGGACCUUCCGAAGUUCACUUGCUGUCCAAAAGUUUUUGAAAUAUCCAAAGCUGGUGAGCAUCACUCAAUCUGUAAUGGUUUGCCAAUGUGAAAGUCCACCGUUCAAUGUCUUACAUCUAGCAUACAUGGAGAAUCUUCAGGAGUUACGCAUUUCAGACAGUAAUUUGGAAGAGAUGAAGACUGACAGCACAGAAGAGGUAAAGAAACUUUUUCAAAGUGGUUUCCGCAGUCUCGACAGAGUUGUCAUAUGGAGUUGCCAAAAAAUGAAAGACUUAACGUGGCUAGUUUUUGUUCAAAUUCUCAAGCAGCUGCGUAUAGUCUUUUGUACAGAAAUGGAAGAAAUAAUUAGUGUUGAUAAAUUGAGAGAUAUUUCGAAGAUAAUCGGGUCAGAGCAUAACUUUUUUGCACAACUCGAAUCUCUAACCAUAAAGUGGGGAAGAAAUUUAAAGAGCGUUUACCCGAAUCCCCUGCCCUUUCCAAAGCUGAAGAAAAUUGAAGUACGUGAAUGCCCACAGCUGAAGAAGCUCCCACUCAAUUCCAGCAGCGCGAAGGAACGUCGAGUUGUCAUCGAGGGGUCGAAAAAAUGGUGGGAAGAGCUACAAUGGGAGGACCAAGCCACCCAAAAUGCUUUCUCUUCCGGUGUCGUACUUGGGGAUGAUUUUCAUUAAUAUGUUUGAAUAUGUAUUUCUUUUCUUUUUCUUUUUUUUUUUAAUUUUCAUUAGAUUUAAUUGCAUCUUGUUGUUGUUGUCUGGUGUGUCAAUCGUUAUCUAUUUUCAGUUAAUAAAAUUUCAGCAGUGGAUUCUUGGUUUUAGAAUCCUCCCACUGGAAAGAAUUUCUCCUUUGGCUUGAAUGCGACCUUUUUACUCGUCGACAAAAUUGUAUUUGUCGCUUAAGUCUUGUUUGUUUUAAAAUGCUGGCAUAUUUAUAGAGUGGGAACUCAGAUGCUGAACUCAUAGUAAAUAUUUAUUUAAUUUGUUAUAAUUAUAUUUGGUGAGAUAUUUAUUCAAUAAUUGCCCUAUCACUUUGUGCAUGAUCACAGAAUUUUGUACUUCCGUCUGUGAAAUAACUUUUGGAAAAGGAAAUUAAUUUUUUUAAGUAACGGUAAAUAUUUUAAAUUUUUAUUUUAAAUUUUAUUUUAAAUAAUAUAGUAUGUAAUGUGUCAUUUAUUUAGUGAUUGAUAAUUUAAUAUAGGAUUUAAAUAAAUUAAUUAUGCUAUUUUAUUAUUUAAUUAAUAAAUAUUAUAUAAUUUAAAAUAGAUUUUUGAGAUAAAAAUUAUAAAAGUAAAAUUCUACUCAACAGACUAAAUUUAAAAUGAUGUGAUUGGCAGGUAAGACUUAAGAAUUAGACAAAAUUUCUCAUUCAACAGCUUGUAGAAAAUUUAUACACUAGGCCUUAGCUAAACUUGGACUUGUCGUAUGUUUGAAGUAUUCGACGAUAAUCAUAUCUGCAUUUUUAUUUUAUUUUUUAUUUUUGGUUUGUUUAGGGCUUUUCAUCGGUUUUCGUCUUGGUCUUUGUCCUGGUCUUGGCGUCUUGCUAUCAAAUCAAGUGUUCUCUUCUCCUAUCCUCUAAUGAAAGUGCAGGGCCUCAACUAUUUGUUACUGCUAUCACUUUAGAGGUUGAUGCUAAUGUCCGAAGGUCACGUUUAAUUUGCUUGAAUGUGACCUUUACUUUGGUUGACAAAAUUGUGAUUGUCACAAAGAACAAACUAUAAAAGUGCAGUUUAAAUCGAACACUGAAUUCCCUAUGGAAAUUUUCGCACCCGUAUAUAUAUUCUACAUUAUUUGGUUGCAAAGACUAUAAUUAACAAGAAGCUAAUAUAUAUAGUAGAGAGAGAAAUAACAAGUUCAAUGUUGGUAAAAUUUUAUCUUCCCUUCACUGCUCUCCUUUGCUGCAAUCAAGUGGCCUCACUUACAAAUUUUGACUUUUAAUUAUUUCAAUUAACACAAGAAAAAAAGGGCAAUAUAGUUUACAUUACUCUAUCAGCCUUAUAUAAAGGGUAUAAAUAUGAGAGUGCGUUUGGAAUUGAAGUCGGACACUUGUCGCUUAAAAGCUACAGUAGCAAAGUGUUUGGUAAAUACUAAUUGUUGUGUCUUGAAAGAUAUGUUGAUAUGAUUUUUCACUUGUAUAAUAGAGAAUUUAUUAUUUUAUUAUUAAUAAUUUCGUUAAAAUUAUUAUUUAAAAUUUAUAUUUAUUAAAUAUUAUUAACUUUUGUUUUAUAGUUACAAUUUUUUUUUUUUACAGCAACUGUACCUUAAAAGUUAUAACACUUCAAUUCCAAACGUACCUUAAGUCUGUAAGGCAUAAGUUUUCACUCUUCGGGAAUCUAAGGAGAUUAGGGCAAGAGCUGCACAUUUGUAGUCUCAAAUUCAUUUGACAUCAGCCAAUUUAAUGUCUAUGGACGGGUAUAAAGGACGUCACAGACGGUUAAAGAACAAGGUGUUUGAUGGAAAUGUCAAGAAGUUCGAUGAAAUGUCUCACCUACACAACCAAGCCACUUAACAUUGCAGUCUUAUAAUACAAUUCCUACCUUCUCUUCCAUUUUCACCAACAUAAUUCUUUCUUUCUCACUUUAUUUUCUUCCUUGAAAUUUUUGUUAACAAAAAUGGGUAACAUCAUUCUCAUGCGUGCUUCUUAUCACCAGACUCAAUUCUUGCAGUUUUAUUUUAUUUUAUUUUUCCUUCGUGGAGAUGCUAAAAUAUAUAUGAGAUCUAAAAAGCUAAUCUUGAUGAGUUGCAGAAUCCAAUGCAGAAUUUGAAAGUUACAAAAGAUUAUAAAUACUAUUUUAACUUGUAAGCUUCCAUUGCUAUACAGUGAGGUAUGUCUAGAUAUCAUUUUGGUCUUUUAUAUAUUGGGUUCCAGUGAAAGACUUUUGUUCUAGUUGAAUUUAAUUUUGUCUUUGUAUUUACAGACAAAAUAUUAGGGACAUUUAUCAUACAUAUUUGGCUAGUUCGCCGUGGAAAAAUAAUAAUAGUUGAAAAGACAUAGGGUACUUUUUAUUUUCCUUUAUAUUACUAAUAGAUUUCCCACGCGCAACAGACGAAGUCAUUGCUGCUUCAAUAAUUGCCCUAUCACUGUGUUCAUCAUCACAAAUUUCUUUAUUACGUUUGUGAAAUAACCAUUGCAUAAAAAAAUUACUCCAACUUUUUAACUAAUAAUAGAUAUCUCAAAUUUUAUUUUCAGAAUAUGGUAUGUAAUGUAAGCGAUCGAUAGUUCUUUAUAAAAUAUAUAAAUAAAUUAAUAGUGUUAUCUUAGUGUCUAAUAUAUAUAAAUGACUUUCUCCAUAUAUUGCACUAUUGAUAUGGGCUAAAGUUUUAUACUAUGAGACCCAAUUUCUAUAAUUUACACUAUAAGUUAAAAGUAUUUAGAAAAAUACUAUUGCAAAUCAAAAGGUAUUAUCUAUUUUAUACCUAAAGCAUUUUCACUAUUUAAGACUAGUAAAAUUUCUAUAUUAUUAUAAUAUUAGAAUCAAACACCAAUAAGCGAGUAAAUCAGGUGGAAUAAGAAUGUUCUAACUUAACCAAGGUCCUCGGUUUGAAACUUAGAAAUGCAACUACAUUAAAUACUUAUUGGGAGAGAUUUGCCGCUUUAGUGGUUCUAUCCGGCUCGAAUCUAGAUUAGUCGGGGAUCUAAUGUGGUCUUUGGAUACUAGAUGAUUUAAUAUACCGAUAAUAUUGGAACCAAACUCAUUUACAAUUAUGAAGAGGUUAUAAUUUAAUAGAGGCAUAGUAACAAACUAUUAAUAGAGAGUAUAAAAUUUAAUGUAUAAACAAAAUUCUAUAAUUUACACUAUAAGUUGCAAGUAUUUAGGUCAAUACUAUUGCAAAUCAGAAGAUAUUAUAUAUUUUAUGCCGAAAAUAUUUCCACUAUUUAAGGCUAGUAAAACUUCUAUAUAAUUAUAAUAUUGGAACCAAACACCAACAAGCGAGUAAAUCAACUAGAAUGGAAAUGUUCUAACGUCAAGGUCCUCGGUUCAAAACUUAGAAAUGCAACUACAUUAAAUAUUUAUUGGGAGAGAUUUGCCGCUCUAGUAGUUCUAUCCGGGUCGAAUCUGGAUUAGUCGGGAAUCUAAUGUGGUCUUUGGAUACUAGAUGAUUUAAUGUACCAAUAAUAUUGGAACCAAACUAAUUUACAAUUAUGAGGAGGUUAUAAUUUAAUAGAGGCGUAGUAACAAACUAUUAAUAGAGCGUAUCAAAUUUAAUAUUGGAAUCCGAUGAUUGGUUGCAACAUAAGAUAUUUGUAAGCUUAGUUAAAGGUUCAUUAAAAAUUAUAGAGAUAUAUAAUUUCGCAGUCGACGAAGCCAUGCAUGAGGUUAAGGCAAGUGAUGGAAUGACUUGCGUUACAAAAGAGGUAUGUGAAGUUGCACUAUAAAAAUAAAAUAAAUUUGUAUUUUCAAGUAGUGAAGGUGUAGUUAGUUUAUUUGCGGUAGCAGUUUCACAGCUGACAGAUGAACAAAGAGUGGCUGCUUGUCAAAUGGGCUUUGGUAGUUUGCUACAAUUGAACCGUGGCAAGCUAAAAAGGAAACUUUGUGGCUAGUUAAUUGAGAUGAUUGAUACUUUGAGGUACAUUUUAGAGUUGAAUGGUAUUAGCUUUCAAACAAGAUCAUCAAAGAAACUCUACCAACUAGGAAAUUUAAACUUAAUCUAUGCUCCGCAAAUUCGAAUAUUCUCUAAUAUGAAACUACUUUUAUGUGUUUUAUUAUUCCUAGCUUUUACCGACUUGGUAACGUUGUUAUGGAAGCACGACAACUAUUAUGUCCGUGUAAUUUUUAUUGUAUCUUUUGUUAUGUCAUGAUAUCGAAGCUUAGUUUUAUGACUCUAACUACUAAGAACUGCAAUUGCAGCAUCUUUUGAAUAUUACAUAUGUGCUUGUAGUAUCUCGACGGAUUAAAACCUGCUAUUUAAGUUCUUCUACCCCUCCCCCCCUUCAUUCUUUCAUUUAUACUUGCUGCACUAUUUACUUCGCACUCUGUAAAGCCAGAUGAAAGCUUGUUCAUUUAUGUUCACUUGCAAUUCAAAAGCACAGUUUAUUUCAACUGUCAAAUUGACAACUUGCACGUAUAGAUUUCAGUCGAAACAAGGUUAUUGGUCGAUCAAGAAAUUGAAUCCAUAUGGCCGUUCCAGCGUUAUUCAACUACCUAAUAUCAAAUAUAUAAAUUAAUUCAACCCACUUCUGUGUCAAAGGCAUGGAACAAAUUAUGAAAGAUUUUUCAGCUAUCAUAAAUUCGAACGAGUGUAGUUUGUAUCCUUUCGAACUUAGACAGAUUUUCCUUCCAUUAACCUUACAGUGUUAGUAAUCCUAUUACUUGUUUUUAAAGCUUGAAUAGUAUACCGAAAUUUUUGGUUUUUGCAACAUAAACUUGUAUGUAAUGUACAUUUUAUAGUUCUUUACAAAUUAAUUGCUGCUAAAAUAAUUGUUUCGACUACUAUAUUUAUUGUUAUAAUAGAUAAACAUUUUCUUGCAACUCAAACAGUUCCAAUGGCAUGAUCUGCAUCCCCCGUUUGCCUCUUGGGCUACGAACCUGCUUAACAGCUGCACCAUCUUGCUCCUUUUCAUCAAACGGCAACUUCGCUGCAGACAAAAAGAGGGGGUACACUGCCCAGGGGCACCAUAAACGCAGCCCAAAAAGAUGAUUUUGUCUUUCCAUGUCUUAGUAUUUUAACCAAAAAUAAUAAUAAUAAUUCUUUACAUCAUCAAUGAUUGCACUUGUAAGCCAGGCAAUAGUUUUUUUAUUAAAUAAAAAAUUAAUGUUAAAUUUUUUUUUUUUUUUUUUUUUUUUUAUCUAGCUAUCAUUGACUUAAUAUUUUGAAUCUUCAUCCAAAGUUAAGGCACAAAACUUUUAUUCUAAAUAAAUAUUCUCAAUAUAAAUUUAUCACUUAAAUAAUAAAUAAUAAGAUUUAACAUUAAUUCUGUCGUUACUGAAAUGAAUUGUAAAUUUUAUAUGACGUGUAAACGUAUCAUUAUGUUCUUGAUAUUUGACAUAUGAAUUAUAAAGCAACAAAUGUAUCAUAUUUUAUUUCGGUAUUGUGCUUCUCCAUAUUUGCUUAAUUCUUUUCGUUGUACUCAUUGCUUCUCUUCCUCUUUUCGUCAACGACAAUGGGUAACCUAAUCUCAACCUUCUUACCAGCAGACUUAUUUGAUCGAAUUUCAAACUGCGUUGGUGAACAAGCAAAAUAUGUAUGGGGUCUCGAAAAAAAUCUUCGGAUCUUGGAGACUGAAUUGCACAAAUUGACUCGAGCAAGGGCCGAUCUGAAGACCAGGGUUGAGGUCGAACAACAACGACCUCGAACCAGACGAACGAACCAGGUCGCAGGGUGGCUUGAAGAUGUGCAAAAUCUGGAAACUGAAUUUGCCGAGCUGGAACGAGUCAGAGCUCAAGAAAUGGAUAGAUUGUGCCUUGGAGGCCUCUGUUCCAAAAACUUCGUUUUAAGCUACAAUUACGGGACUAAGGUGGUCGAGUUGACGGAUCGAGUGAUCAAUUUAAAGAAAGACGGAGAAAAAAUUGAAGUCGUUGUUGAGAAGGCGCCGGAUGGUGCAGCAAUUGAAUUACCUCUUGAUCACACAGUUGUUGGUCAAGAACUAUUACUUGGUCAAGUUUGGAGAUGUAUCACUGAUCAGGAAAAGAACAGGGGAAUUAUCGGCUUGUAUGGUAUAGGGGGAGUCGGCAAAACUACCCUUUUAAAACAAGUCAACAACAACUUCUGCCAUCAACAGCAUAAUUUUGAUGUUGUUAUCUGGGCGGCUGUGUCAACACUUCAAGAUGACAUUGGAAAAAGGAUUGGCUUUUCAGAAGACAGAAACUGGAAGGAAAAAAGUCUUCAAGACAAGGCUGUGGACAUCGCUAGCAUUCUAAGCGGAAAGAAGUUUGUGUUGUUAUUAGAUGAUAUAUGGGAGCCCAUUGAUUUAACACAGCUGGGUGUCCCUCUUCAAAAUCUAAAUGAUGGGUCCAAAAUAGUCUUGACAACUCGUUCAGCUGGGGUUUGCGAUCAAAUGGACGCUGAAAAGGUGGAAGUGUCUAGUUUGGCACAUGAUGAAGCCUGGAAAUUAUUUCAGGAGAUGAUCGAAAGAUCCACUCUUGACAGUCAUACCAGUAUUCCAGGGCUAGCCGAAACCCUGGCAAGAGAGUGUGGUGGGUUGCCGCUAGCGCUUAAAACAGUGGGUCGAGCCAUGAAAAGCCAAAGGAAAGUUGGAGAUUGGAAACGUGCAAUUCACAAAAUGACAACAUCAGCUUCUAAAUUCUCAGGUAUGAAAGAAGAGGUGUUUUCGCGUUUAAAGUUCAGCUAUGAUAGUUUGUCUACGGAUGAACUUCGUUCCUGUCUCCUGUAUUGCUGUUUGUAUCCUGAAGACUACGAAAUUCCUAAAAGGCAAUUGAUUGAUUAUUGGAUUAGUGAAGGAUUUGCGUGUGAUUUUGAUGAUGGAUGCGAUUUUAUUGAUGACCUUCUUCAUGCAUGCUUAUUGGAGGAAGAAGGCGAUGAUCAUGUAAAGACGCACGAUAUGAUUCGUGAGAUGUCAUUAUGGAUAGCGUGCACGGUAGACAAGGAGGAGCAGAACUUUCUGGUUCGCGCUGGAGUUGAAUUGACCGAAGCACCAAAGGUUGAAGAAUGGGAAGGUGCCAAACGGGUAUCUCUGAUGGAAAAUAAAAUUGAAAGCCUAUCGGAAAUUCCCACGUGUCCGCGUCUCGUAACUUUACUGCUGGAUGAAAAUCGGAUUGAGGAGAUCACUGAUGGCUUCUUUCAAUCUAUGUCGUCUCUUAGAGUAUUAAGUCUAAGAGGAAAUUUUCCCCUAAGUACACUACCUUCGGGGAUUUCAGGUUUGGUUUCAUUGCAUCAUCUUGAUCUAUCAUCGACUCACAUAACUGGGUUGCCGCAAGAGCUGAAGGCGUUGGAGAAGUUGAGAUAUUUGAACUUGGACUAUACAGAGUACUUGUCCAUAAUUCCACAUCAAUUGAUAUCUGGCUUUUCAAAGUUGGAGGAACUCAGGUUGUUUGCGUCCGGUCGCUGGGGCGUAAUAGAGGAAGAAGAAGGUAACGUUCUAUGUGAUGAUGCUGAACCUUUGAUGAAGGAAUUGCUGGGUUUGAAGCAUUUAAAUGUUUUAAGCUGGUCCUUCCGAAGUUCACUUGCUGUCCAAAAGUUUUUGAAAUAUCCAAAGCUGGUUAGCAUCACUCAAUCUGUAUGGGUUGAAUGUGGCAUGUAUACAAGGCCACCGUUCAAUGUCUUACAUCUAGCAUAUAUGGAGAAUCUUCAGGAGUUGCGUCUUUCUCAGAGUGAUUUGGAGGAGAUGAAGAUUGACAGCACAGAAGAGGUGAAGAAGCUUUUUCAAAGUGGUUUCCGCAGUCUCGACACAGUUGAUCUAUUUUAUUGCCAAAAAGCGAAGGACUUAACGUGGCUUGUUUUUGUUCAAAACCUCAAGGAGCUGCGUAUAGUGUAUUGUGAAUACGUGGAAGAAAUUAUCGGGGCUGAUAAAUUGAGAGAUAUUUCAGAGAUAGUGGGGUCAGAGCAUAACGUUUUCGCAGAACUCGAAUUUCUAUCCUUAUGGGGGGGAAUAAAUUUAAAGAGCGUUUACCCGAAUCCCCUGCCCUUUCCAAAGUUGAAGAAAAUUCAAGUACUUCAUUGCCGACAGCUGAAGAAGCUCCCACUCAAUUCCAGCAGCGCGAAGUUACGUCGAGCUGUCAUCGAGGGAACGAAAAAGUGGUGGGAAGAGCUACAAUGGGAGGAUCAAGCCACCCAAAAUGCUUUCUCUUCCGGUGCCGUACUUACUGAGUUUCCUUUUUAUUAAUAUGUUUUAAUAUGUAUUUCUUUUUCUUUUCUUUUUUUAAUUUUCAUUAGAUUUAAUUGCAUCUUGUUCUUGUUGUCUGGUGUGUCAAUCGUUCCCUACUUUCAGUUAAUAAAAUUUCAGCAGUGGAUUCUUGGUUUAUUAAUGUUUAUAUAACUGAAUUGUUCAGCAGAUGUACUCUGCACGACUAACACAGAAAUAAACACAGAAAUAAAUAUAUGUAAGGGGUUACAGGACUGACUCUGCUUCUGGCUUCUAAGGAGAAAGAGGGGAAAAUAAACAUUUUAUCUUCCCUUAACUGCUCUCCUUUGGUUUGAAUGUGAACUUAACACUCUUUUAUUAUUAAAAUUUAAUUAUUUGGUUGUAUAAUAUAUUUCUCCAAUAAACGAAGAAUGAUAAAGGAGCAACUAAAAAAACCCAUCAAAAUAUUUCACCAAUGAAAAGAUUCAUGAGAAAUAAACAUUAUAAUCCGAACAAAUAAAUCAAUUAGUCAAUAUAUCAUUUAGCCGAAUUAAAGACGCUGCUUGCGCUUCGUAGUUCUGAGCUUAGAAUCAAGUAGAGAACUGAAUAUGAAAUUUUUAAUUGCUGAGAAUAUGAAUUUGAGGUUGAUGGACGACUUGAAAGAGAGGGACAAGAAAGAAUGAUACAGAGCAGGUGGCUGGCAAAAGGGACCUUAUGACGAUCUUCUUCAGUACAGCUAUGAUGCCGCUUCCACCUUCAAUUGAAUGUCAGAAAAUUCAAAGUUUGUCAAAAGAGGAUGGUAAAUUAAGCUGUUUUUUUUUUUUCUUUUUUGCAAAAUUUACCAAGUGAAUUAAUCCAUUAUUUUAUCUAUCAAUCAGUACACAAUCUACAUUACCCCACGCUAACAAAACACUGACUAUAAAUCUAUGACUAUACAAUGCGCACUUUGGUUACUGCCCCAGCCCUCUUACCCAAAAGAACCACAAAAGCAACGAAAAACUAAAUUGAUUACAUAAUCAAAUCAAGUUCUUCUUAGCUACUGUGAUCGAUUUGUCCAGCACCAUCAGUUAAUUUCUCUAGUUUUCAGCAAAAAUGGUCGAGUUCUUGAGUCUUCUUUGCACGUUUCAUCUCAUUUAUUCUGUCGAUAAAGCUUAUACACAUCAUCCGCAACGACAACAAAUUAAAUUAAUAUGUGUCGAGUUUUGGAGCCAGAGCCAGCGGUGCAAGCGCAAGAGAAAGGGACUUCACACAAGAAUUUGCCAGACCAUGGGCUACAGAAAGGUGCCUCACUUCACGGACGCGGAAUUUGGUUGGCUCCUGGGCCAUUAAGGGUGAAUGCAUCUUUCUUUUUAUGUGAAUUUAAUUAUUGAACCCGGUAUCUUGAAUAAAUAUAAAUUUGACUGUAGCACCAAGUAUCAAUGAUUGCAAAAUGUAAAUUUGACAUAUUGUGUGGUUAAAUCAUCUUGUACUAAUCGUUUAUGUUAAUUUAUGGAGGCCUUAAUGUCCAAGGCAUACGUAAAGGGGUACAGGACUGACUCUGCUUCUGGCUUCUAAGGAGAAUGAGGGGAAAAUUUUAUAAACAUUUGUGGAGUGGCCGUAUAAAGGACGUGUGGUUCUCAAUCCAUUUCACAUUUGGCAUUGUAAUGUUUAUGGACUCAUAUAAAUGAUGUCACACAAAUAGUUAAACGAAGAAGGUGUUUGAUGAAAACGAAAGGGCCUUUUUCUUUUUUUAAAUCCCGCUAAAGGUUAUAAUUAACAACAAAUUAAUAAUAGAAGAGAGAGAAAUACCAAGUUCAAUACGGUAAUAUUUUAUCUUCCUUUUAACUGCUCUCCUUUGGCUUAUAAUGCGACCUUUACACUCGUGGACAAAAUUGUAUUUGUCGCUUAAGUCUUGCUUGUUUUAAAAUGCUGGCAUAUUUAUGGAGUGGGAACCCAGAUGCUGAACUCAUAGUAAAUAUUUAUUUAAUUUGUUAGAAUUAUUUUUGGUGGGAUAAUUUUAAAUAUUAAUUUAACAAGAUAGUGAUGUUUGCCUUGCCCUACAUGGAAAAAAUAAUAAUAAUUAAAGUUUUUUCUGUUCCUUUAUAUUAGUAAUAGAUUUCAGAUGGGAAACAGAAAAUUUAUUUCUGUUUCAAUAAUUACCAUAUCACUGUGUGCGUGCGUGAUCACAUAAUUUUGUACUACCGUCUGUGGAAUAACUUUAGGAAAAGAAAAUUAAUUUUUUUUAAGUAACAAUAAAUAUUUUAAAUUGUUUUCUUCUCUUAUCAAUUGUUUUUUUCUCCUAUCUUCCAAUGAAAGUGCAGGACCUCAAUUAUUUUAAUAGAGAUGUAGUAAUAAAUUAUUAGGGGAUCCAUAAAAUAAAUAUACAUGGUUUCAAAAAAGUUAGCACAUGCUUGUUACAAAUAUAAAAAAUUAUCUUAAAAGUCUCGGAACUUUUGUGUUCUCUUUAAUAUUUUUUUCUUAUGUUGUUAUUGUACUAUAUGGAUACAAGGGUGCGUUUGGUACGUUGUAUUAUAUUAUGUUGUAUUGCAUUAUUUUAAUAUAGGUAUAUUACAUUAUGUUGUGUUGUAUUAGUAAUGUAUUAUAAUAAUGUUGUACAAUGUUUGGUACUAUACUGUAUUGUAUUAAUUUUUAAUUAAUAUUAUUCAAAUGUAUUCAUAUUUAAAUAUUUAUUAUUAGUUAUAUUAAAUUAUUUAAAAAUAACUAGUUUAAUUAUUUUAAUAUAAUUAAAUAAUAUUAUAAUAUAUUAUAUUAUUUAAGUAUUUAUUAUUAGUUAUAUUAACUUAUUAAAAAUUAAUCAAUUAUAUAUAUUAAUUAAUAUAAUUUUACAUAUUAAUUAAUAUAAUAUAAUUAAAUAAUACAUUUUUUAGUUGUACAUUUACUAUAAUAAAAAUUAAAAUAUAAUAUAAUAUUAAAUUAAAAAUUAUAUUCAUUUAUUAUUAUUACAAAGUAUAAAAAAAAAAAAAAAAGGAAGCUAAAGCUAAUGCGGUAACUGGACACAUUAGCUAAACCCGACUAUAACAUAUGUCGGGUUUAGCUAAUACAACCAUUUGGUACCUCAGACAUGGUGCUGCAUUGCUAAUGCAAUGUAAUCCCAGGUAAAGAGGGGUACCAGACAACCCCCAAGUUCACUUAAUGUAACAUAACAUACUUUUUUUUUCUAUAUAUAUAUAUACACUACGUGGAAGUGAGCUCCUUAAGGUGAGAUUUAGCAAAAUUAUAAAUUAUUACAGCAUGAAAUUUAUUUUUAUUUAUAAUUGGCCUAAUAUAAAUUAGGACCAGUACUUUUAUAGCUAUAUGAAAUUAUUUUUAUAUAAAAUAUCACUACAUAAAUGUUUUAUUACAAUAUUAAUCUCUUUUUUUUAUUGUAUUUAUCUCUUCAUAAUCUUUUCCUUUUUAUAAAAAAAAAAAAUCAACUAAAAGAUUCAUCAACAUCUCAUUCCAACAAUCUACUAGCGAAAAUGAGUGUCCAUGCUUUUGAACCAAGGCCCGAUAUGUGAGGGAGAGAUUGUUGGGUUGUCUUACAUCGGUUGUGAACUAGGAUGGUGGUGAUUUUACAAGUGUGAGGGAAAGUCUCACCCCUUAUCCAUCUUUUGGGUUGGGAUUGAAUGAGACCCAAAACCGCUUAACAUGAAUUCUAUCACUGGGAUUUUUACCCAGUAUAACAAACAUAACAACACAAUGAAUUAUCAAUUUAUCACGUAAUGGCUCUAACUUUAGCGAUGAUCACCUUACAUGAACAUGAAAAUUAAUCCCAUUGUUUAACUCAACAAUGACGAUAAUCACUUAAACUCUUAUGCACCAAAGGAUAUACUCGCUACAGGGAAUCUUAACUCAUAAAGAUUAAUUUUAGUGGGGGGCAAAAGAGCACGAGUGAUCCAAACCACUAAACAACAUCAUAACCAACACAAAAUUUAUACUAAACAAACCAUUACCAAAACAGCAAAGCUAGACAUAAAUUUGAACAGAUACACAAGCUACAUUCAUUACCAUAAUGUAUCGACUAAAUUUCCAAGCUCUACAUUUUGAACAAAGAAUUUAUAAAAUUACAUAAUCUAAUAAAUUAAUAUAGAAAUAAAAUUGGCAUCAGAUCAAAUUACUAUUAAUGUACCUUGCAUAAACCAUUCUCUUCUAUCGGCAUUCACCUCCGCGCUCGAUUGGCUCUCCUGUGCUGCUUGUCUAAUUGAUUCAAAUCCACAUAGACAAAUUUAAGCAUAUUAAGUUUUCAAACUCAAAUCAACAGCUUUAAAAGUUACUUCACAAACAAUGAAUUUCAUUUUCGAAAUACAAAGAAUCCGUUCAGUUUAAAACAAUAAAAAAUCGUCUACGACUACUCAACUCAUGUAUGAUAACUAAAAAACGAAGGAUACCCACAAAAAUUAAAGAUAAAUUACCAAAAACCCAAAAAACUCAAGCCAAAAUUGCCAAAAAAAAAGCGAGAGAAUGGAAAUUGGCGUACCAGGGGCAGGAGAGAGGAAACGAGAAGAGGAAGAAAGAAGGGUUUUGGAGAGAGUGGGAAUUAGUGGAGGCAAAAAUGGAGAGUUUUGAGAGUGAGAUGAUUGGUGGGGUGGUGAUGGCGGUGGUGGGGUUAAUGUUCUGGAGGGUAUGCUGAAGAGAGGUCGCAAGAGAACCUCCAUAGCCUUUAAAGAGAGUUGAGUUGCUGCUUUCUUUUGCCGUGGAUGGAGAGAGAUUAAGGGAUUAGAAUUCUGUAUUGAAUUAAUUUUUUAUUAAAUAAAAAAUUAUUGUUAAAAUUUAUUUUAUUUUAAUUUUUUAUCUAGCUAUCAUUGACUUAAUAUUUUGAAUCUUUAUCCAAAGUUAAGGCACAAAAUUUUUAUUCUAAAUAAAUAUUCUCAAUAUAAAUAUAUCACUUAAAUAAUAAUGAUAAGAUUUAAUAUUAAUUCUGUCAUUACUGAAAGAAUUACAAAUUUUAUAUGACGUGCAAACGUAUCAUUAUAUUCUUGAUAUUUGAAACAUGAAUAAAGCAACAAAUGUAUCAUAUUUUUAUUUUGGUGUUGUGGUUCUCUAAAAAUUGUUGAAAGCAGCAGCUGUGAAGAGUCAACGGUUGACCUUGAUUCUGUGAGUUGGAUUUGUUGAGCUGGCAAAACUGUUAUGUUGAAGAAUAGCAGCGCAUGUGCAUUGAAUAGUUGCAUCUUCUAGAAGCUUAAUGUGAUUGGUUCACAAUUGCUAUAUUCACGGAUCAAUUUUGAUUACUUCCGUGUAAUACCCCUUAGGCUAGCUGUCAUUAUUUUUUGUCUCUGUAUGUAAACUAGCAAAGCUCUGUAUUUCAUUUUCAUUCAAGUCAUCAUUAUCAAUAAAGACCUGAUUCUCAUACUCUGUUUGCAUUUGACAGCAAUUCUUAAGAAUUUAAGUAAAAAUUAGCUUAAUUCUUUUCAUUGUACUCGUUGCUUCUCUUCCUCUUUUCGCCAACGACAAUGGGUAACCUAAUCUCAACCUUCUUACCAGCAGACUUAUUUGAUCGAACUUCAAACUGCGUUGGUGAACAAGCAAAUUAUGUAUGGGGUCUCGAAAAAAACCUUCGGGUCUUGGAGACUGAAUUGCACAAAUUGACUCGAGCAAGGGACGAUCUGAAGACCAAGGUUGAGGUCGAAGAACAGCGACGUCGAACCAGACGAACGAACCAGGUCGCAGGGUGGCUUGAAGAUGUGCAAAAACUGGAAACUGAAUUUACCGAGCUGGAACGAGUUAGAGCUCAUGAAAUCGAUAGAUUGUGCCUUGGAGGCCUCUGUUCCAAAAACUUCGUUUCAAGCUACAAUUACGGGACUCAGGUGGUCGAGUUGACGGAUCGAGUGAUCAAUUUAAAGAAAGACGGAGAAAAAAUUGAAGUCGUUGUUGAGAAGGCGCCAGAUGGUGCAGCAAUUGAAUUACCUCUUGAUCACACAGUUGUUGGUCAAGAACUAUUACUUGAUCAAGUUUGGAGAUGUAUCACUGAUCAGGAAAAUAAUAGGGAAAUUAUCGGCCUGUAUGGUAUCGGGGGAGCCGGCAAAACUACCCUUUUAAAACAAGUCAACAACAACUUCUGCCAUCAACAGCAUAAUUUUGAUGUUGUUAUCUGGGCGGCUGCGUCAACACUUCAAGAUGACAUUGGAAAAAGGAUUGGCUUUUCAGAAGACCAAAGCUGGGAGAAAAAAAGUCCUCAAGACAAGGCUGUGGACAUCGCUAGCAUUUUAAGCAGAAGGAAGUUUGUGUUGUUAUUGGAUGAUAUAUGGAAACCCAUUCAUUUAACAGAAUUGGGUGUCCCUCUUCAAAAACUAAAUGAUGGGUCCAAAGUAGUCUUGACAACUCGUUCAGCUGGUGUUUGCGAUCAAAUGGACGCUGAAAAGGUGGAAGUGUAUAGUUUGGCGCAUGAUAAAGCCUGGGAAUUAUUUCAGGAGAUGGUCGACAGAUCCACUCUUGACAGUCAUACCGGUAUUCCAGAGCUAGCCGAAACCUUGGCAAGAGAGUGUGGUGGGUUGCCGCUAGCGCUUAAAACAGUGGGUCGAGCCAUGAAAAGCCAAAGGAAAGUUGGAGAUUGGAAACGUGCAAUUCACAAAAUGAGAACAUCAGCUUCUAAAUUCUCAGGUAUGAAAGAAGAGGUGUUUUCGCGUUUAAAGUUCAGCUAUGAUAGUUUGUCUACGGAUGAACUUCGUUCCUGUCUCCUGUAUUGUUGUUUAUAUCCUGAAGACUACGAAAUUCCUAAAAGGGAAUUGAUUGAUUAUUGGAUUAGUGAAGGAUUUGUAUAUGAUUUUGAUGAUGGAUGUGAUUUUAUUGAUGACCUUCUUCAAGCAUGCUUAUUGGAGGAAGAAGGCGAUGAUCAUGUAAAGAUGCACGAUAUGAUUCGUGAGAUGUCAUUAUGGAUAGCGUGCACGGUAGACAAGGAGGAGGAGAACUUUCUGGUUCGCGCUGGAGUUGAAUUGACCGAAGCACCAAAGUUUGAAGAAUGGGAAGGUGCCAAACGGGUAUCUCUGAUGGGAAAUGGAAUUAGGAGCUUAUCGGAAAUUCCCACGUGUCCGCGCCUCUUAACUUUACUUCUGGGUGGAAAUCGGAUUGAGGAGAUUACUGAUGGCUUCUUUCAAUCGAUGUCUUCUCUUAGAGUAUUAAGUCUAAGAGGAAAUUUUCCCCUAAGAACACUACCUUCAGGGAUUUCAGGUUUGGUUUCAUUACAUCAUCUUGAUCUAUCAUCGACUAACAUAACUGGGUUGCCGCAAGAGCUGAAGGCGUUGGAGAAGUUGAGAUAUUUGAACUUGGACUAUACACGGUUUUUGUCUAUAAUUCCACAUCAAUUGAUAUCUGGUUUUUCAAAGUUGGAGGUACUCAGGUUGCUUUCACGCGGUCGCUGGAGCGUAAUAGAAGGUAACGUUCUAUGUGAUGAUGCUGAACCUUUGAUGAAGGAAUUGCUGGGUUUGAAGCAUUUAAAUGUUUUAAGCUGGACCUUCCGAAGUUCACUUGCUGUCCAAAAGUUUUUGAAAUAUCCAAAGCUGGUGAGCAUCACUCAAUCUGUAAUGGUUUGCCAAUGUGAAAGUCCACCGUUCAAUGUCUUACAUCUAGCAUACAUGGAGAAUCUUCAGGAGUUACGCAUUUCAGACAGUAAUUUGGAAGAGAUGAAGACUGACAGCACAGAAGAGGUAAAGAAACUUUUUCAAAGUGGUUUCCGCAGUCUCGACAGAGUUGUCAUAUGGAGUUGCCAAAAAAUGAAAGACUUAACGUGGCUAGUUUUUGUUCAAAUUCUCAAGCAGCUGCGUAUAGUCUUUUGUACAGAAAUGGAAGAAAUAAUUAGUGUUGAUAAAUUGAGAGAUAUUUCGAAGAUAAUCGGGUCAGAGCAUAACUUUUUUGCACAACUCGAAUCUCUAACCAUAAAGUGGGGAAGAAAUUUAAAGAGCGUUUACCCGAAUCCCCUGCCCUUUCCAAAGCUGAAGAAAAUUGAAGUACGUGAAUGCCCACAGCUGAAGAAGCUCCCACUCAAUUCCAGCAGCGCGAAGGAACGUCGAGUUGUCAUCGAGGGGUCGAAAAAAUGGUGGGAAGAGCUACAAUGGGAGGACCAAGCCACCCAAAAUGCUUUCUCUUCCGGUGUCGUACUUGGGGAUGAUUUUCAUUAAUAUGUUUGAAUAUGUAUUUCUUUUCUUUUUCUUUUUUUUUUUAAUUUUCAUUAGAUUUAAUUGCAUCUUGUUGUUGUUGUCUGGUGUGUCAAUCGUUAUCUAUUUUCAGUUAAUAAAAUUUCAGCAGUGGAUUCUUGGUUUUAGAAUCCUCCCACUGGAAAGAAUUUCUCCUUUGGCUUGAAUGCGACCUUUUUACUCGUCGACAAAAUUGUAUUUGUCGCUUAAGUCUUGUUUGUUUUAAAAUGCUGGCAUAUUUAUAGAGUGGGAACUCAGAUGCUGAACUCAUAGUAAAUAUUUAUUUAAUUUGUUAUAAUUAUAUUUGGUGAGAUAUUUAUUCAAUAAUUGCCCUAUCACUUUGUGCAUGAUCACAGAAUUUUGUACUUCCGUCUGUGAAAUAACUUUUGGAAAAGGAAAUUAAUUUUUUUAAGUAACGGUAAAUAUUUUAAAUUUUUAUUUUAAAUUUUAUUUUAAAUAAUAUAGUAUGUAAUGUGUCAUUUAUUUAGUGAUUGAUAAUUUAAUAUAGGAUUUAAAUAAAUUAAUUAUGCUAUUUUAUUAUUUAAUUAAUAAAUAUUAUAUAAUUUAAAAUAGAUUUUUGAGAUAAAAAUUAUAAAAGUAAAAUUCUACUCAACAGACUAAAUUUAAAAUGAUGUGAUUGGCAGGUAAGACUUAAGAAUUAGACAAAAUUUCUCAUUCAACAGCUUGUAGAAAAUUUAUACACUAGGCCUUAGCUAAACUUGGACUUGUCGUAUGUUUGAAGUAUUCGACGAUAAUCAUAUCUGCAUUUUGUGAAAUAAUUAAGAUUUUUUAUUUUUGGUUUGUUUAGGGCUUUUCAUCGGUCUUCGUCUUGGUCUUUGUCCUGGUCUUGGCGUCUUGCUAUCAAAUCAAGUGUUCUCUUCUCCCAUCCUCUAAUGAAAGUGCAGGGCCUCAAUUAUUUGUGCUGAGCUGUUUGUUACUGCUAUCACUUUAGAGGUUGAUGCUAAUGUCCAAAGGUCACAUUUAAUUUGCUUGAAUGCGACCUUUAUUUUGGUUGACAAAGAUUAUUUGGUUGCAAAGAUUAUAAUUAACAACAAGCUAAUAUCUAUAUAGUAGAGAGAGAAAUAACAAAUUCAAUGUUGGUAAAAUUUUAUCUUCCCUUCACUGCUCUCCUUUGCUGCAAUCAAGCUACAGUUGUAAAGUGUUUGAUAAACACUAAUUGUUGUGUCUUGAAAGAUAUGUUGAUAUAAUUUUUCACUUGUAUAAUAGAGAAUCUAUUAUGUUAUUAUUAAUAAUUUCGUCAAAAUUAUUAUUUAAAAUUUUAUAUUUAAUAAAUAUUAUUAACUUUUGUUUUAUAGUUACAAUUUUUUUUUUUUUUACAACAACUGUUGCUUAAAAAUUAUAACACUUCAAUUCCAAACAUACCUUAAGUCUAUAAGGCAUAAGUUUUCACUCUUCAGAAAGGUGUUUGAUGGAAAUGUAAAGAAGUUCGAUGAAAUGUCUCACCUACACAACCAAGCCACUUAACAUUGCAGUCUUAUAAUACGAAUUCCUGCCUUCUCUUCCAUUUUCACAAACAUAAUUCUUUCUUUCUCACUUUAUUUUCUUCCUUGAAAUUUUUGUUAACAAAAAUGGGUAACAUCAUUCUCAUGCGUGCUUCUUAUCACCAGACUCAAUUCUUGCAGUUUUAUUUUAUUUUAUUUUAUUUUUCCUUCGUGGAGAUGCUAAAAUAUAUAUGAGAUCUAAAAAGCUAAUCUUGAUGAGUUGCAGAAUCCAAUGCAGAAUUUGAAAGUUACAAAAGAUUAUAAAUACUAUUUUAACUUGUAAGCUUCCAUUGCUAUACAGUGAGGUAUGUCUAGAUAUCAUUUUGGUCUUUUAUAUAUUGGGUUCCAGUGAAAGACUUUUGUUCUAGUUGAAUUUAAUUUUGUCUUUGUAUUUACAGACAAACUAUUAGGGACAUUUAUCAUACAUAUUUGGCUAGUUCGCCGUGGAAAAAUAAUAAUAGUUGAAAAGACAUAGGGUACUUUUUAUUUUCCUUUAUAUUACUAAUAGAUUUCCCACGCGCAACAGACGAAGUCAUUGCUGCUUCAAUAAUUGCCCUAUCACUGUGUUCAUCAUCACAAAUUUCUUUAUUACGUUUGUGAAAUAACCUUAGCAUAACAAAAUUACUCCUCCUUUUUAACUAAUAAUAGAUAUCUCAAAUUUUAUUUUCAGAAUAUGGUAUGUAAUGUAAGUGAUUGAUAGUUCUUUAUAAAAUAUAUAAAUAAAUUAAUAGUGUUUUCUUAGUGUCUAAUAUAUAUAAAUCACUUGCUCCAUAUAUUGCACUAUUGAUAUGGGCUAAAGUUUUAUACUAUGAGACCCAAUUUCUAUAAUUUACACUAUAAGUUACAAGUAUUUAGGAAAAUACUAUUGCAAAUCAGAAGGUAUUAUCUAUUUUAUACCUAAAGCAUUUCACUAUUUAAGACUAGUAAAACUUCUAUAUUAUUAUAAUAUUUGAAUCAAACACCAAUAAGCGAGUAAAUCAGGUGGAAUGAGAAUGUUCUAACUUAACCAAGGUCCUCGGUUUGAAACUUAGAAAUGCAACUACAUUAAAUACUUAUUGGGAGAGAUUUGCCGCUUUAGUGGUCCUAUCCCGCUUGAAUCUAGAUUAGUCGGGGAUCUAAUGUGGUCUUUGGAUACUAGAUGAUUUAAAAUACCGAUAAUAUUGGAACCAAACUAAUUUACAAUUAUGAAGAUGUUAUAAUUUAAUAGAGGCAUAGUAACAAACUAUUAAUAGAGCGUAUAAAAUUUAAUGUAUAAACAAAAUUCUAUAAUUUACACUAUAAGUUGCAAGUAUUUAGGUCAAUACUAUUGCAAAUCAGAAGAUAUUAUCUAUUUUAUGCCGAAAAUAUUUCCACUAUUUAAGGAUAGUAAAACUUCUAUAUAAUUAUAAUAUUGGAACCAAACACCAACAAGCGAGUAAAUCAACUAGAAUGGAAAUGUUCUAACGUCAAGGUCCUCGGUUCAAAACUUAGAAAUGCAACUACAUUAAAUAUUUAUUGGGAGAGAUUUGCCGCUCUAGUAGUUCUAUCCGGGUCGAAUCUGGAUUAGUCGGGAAUCUAAUGUGGUCUUUGGAUACUAGAUGAUUUAAUGUACCAAUAAUAUUGGAACCAAACUAAUUUACAAUUAUGAGGAGGUUAUAAUUUAAUAGAGGCGUAGUAACAAACUAUUAAUAGAGUGUAUCAAAUUUAAUAUUGGAAUCCGAUGAUUGGUUGCAACAUAAGAUAUUUGUAAGCUUAGUUAAAGGUUCAUUAAAAAUUAUAGAGAUAUAUAAUUUCGCAGUCGAUGAAGCCGUGCAUGAGGUUAAGGCAAGUGAUGGAAUGACUUGCGUUACAAAAGAGGUAUGUGAAGUUGCACUAUAAAAAUAAAAUAAAUUUGUAUUUUCAAGUAGUGAAGGUGUAGUUAGUUUAUUUGCGGUAGCAGUUUCACAGCUGACAGAUGAACAAAGAGUGGUUGCUUGUCAAAUGGGCUUUGGUAGUUUGCGACAACUGAACCUUGGCAAGCUAAAAAGGAAACUUUGUGGCUAGUUAAUUGAGAUGAUUGAUACUUUGAGGUACAUUUUAGAGUUGAAUGGUAUUAGCUUUCAAACAAGAUCAUCAAAGAAACUCUACCAACUAGGAAAUUUAAACUUAAUCUAUGCUCCGCAAAUUCGAAUAUUCUCUAAUAUGAAACUACUUUUAUGUGUUUUAUUAUUCCUAGCUUUUACCGACUUGGUAACGUUGUUAUGGAAGCACGACAACUAUUAUGUCCGUGUAAUUUUUAUUGUAUCUUUUGUUAUGUCAUGAUAUCGAAGCUUAGUUUUAUGACUCUAACUACUAAGAACUGCAAUUGCAGCAUCUUUUGAAUAUUACAUAUGUGCUUGUAGUAUCUCGACGGAUUAAAACCUGCUAUUUAAGUUCUUCUACCCCCUCCCCCCCUUCAUUCUUUCAUUUAUACUUGCUGCACUAUUUACUUCGCACUCUGUAAAGCCAGAUGAAAGCUUGUUCAUUUAUGUUCACUUGCAAUUCAAAAGCACAGUUUAUUUCAACUGUCAAAUUGACAACUUGCACGUAUAGAUUUCAGUCGAAACAAGGUUAUUGGUCGAUCAAGAAAUUGAAUCCAUAUGGCCGUUCCAGCGUUAUUCAACUACCUAAUAUCAAAUAUAUAAAUUAAUUCAACCCACUUCUGUGUCAAAGGCAUGGAACAAAUUAUGAAAGAUUUUUCAGCUAUCAUAAAUUCGAACGAGUGUAGUUUGUAUCCUUUCGAACUUAGACAGAUUUUCCUUCCAUUAACCUUAUAGUGUUAGUAAUCCUAUUACUUGUUUUUAAAGCUUGAAUAGUAUACCGAAAUUUUUGGUUUUUGCAACAUAAACUUGUAUGUAAUGUACAUUUUAUAGUUCUUUACAAAUUAAUUGCUGCUAAAAUAAUUGUUUCGACUACUAUAUUUAUUGUUAUAAUAGAUAAACAUUUUCUUGCAACUCAAACAGUUCCAAUGGCAUGAUCUGCAUCCCCCGUUUGCCUCUUGGGCUACGAACCUGCUUAACAGCUGCACCAUCUUGCUCCUUUUCAUCAAACGGCAACUUCGCUGCAGACAAAAAGAGGGGGUACACUGCCCAGGGGCACCAUAAACGCAGCCCAAAAAGAUGAUUUUGUCUUUCCAUGUCUUAGUAUUUUAACCAAAAAUAAUAAUAAUAAUUCUUUACAUCAUCAAUGAUUGCACUUGUAAGCCAGGCAAUAGUUUUUUUAUUAAAUAAAAAAUUAAUGUUAAAUUUUUUUUUUUUUUUUUUUUUUUUUUAUCUAGCUAUCAUUGACUUAAUAUUUUGAAUCUUCAUCCAAAGUUAAGGCACAAAACUUUUAUUCUAAAUAAAUAUUCUCAAUAUAAAUUUAUCACUUAAAUAAUAAAUAAUAAGAUUUAACAUUAAUUCUGUCGUUACUGAAAUGAAUUGUAAAUUUUAUAUGACGUGUAAACGUAUCAUUAUGUUCUUGAUAUUUGACAUAUGAAUUAUAAAGCAACAAAUGUAUCAUAUUUUUAUUUCGGUAUUGUGCUUCUCCAUAUUUGCUUAAUUCUUUUCGUUGUACUCAUUGCUUCUCUUCCUCUUUUCGUCAACGACAAUGGGUAACCUAAUCUCAACCUUCUUACCAGCAGACUUAUUUGAUCGAAUUUCAAACUGCGUUGGUGAACAAGCAAAAUAUGUAUGGGGUCUCGAAAAAAAUCUUCGGAUCUUGGAGACUGAAUUGCACAAAUUGACUCGAGCAAGGGCCGAUCUGAAGACCAGGGUUGAGGUCGAACAACAACGACCUCGAACCAGACGAACGAACCAGGUCGCAGGGUGGCUUGAAGAUGUGCAAAAUCUGGAAACUGAAUUUGCCGAGCUGGAACGAGUCAGAGCUCAAGAAAUGGAUAGAUUGUGCCUUGGAGGCCUCUGUUCCAAAAACUUCGUUUUAAGCUACAAUUACGGGACUAAGGUGGUCGAGUUGACGGAUCGAGUGAUCAAUUUAAAGAAAGACGGAGAAAAAAUUGAAGUCGUUGUUGAGAAGGCGCCGGAUGGUGCAGCAAUUGAAUUACCUCUUGAUCACACAGUUGUUGGUCAAGAACUAUUACUUGGUCAAGUUUGGAGAUGUAUCACUGAUCAGGAAAAUAACAGGGGAAUUAUCGGCUUGUAUGGUAUAGGGGGAGUCGGCAAAACUACCCUUUUAAAACAAGUCAACAACAACUUCUGCCAUCAACAGCAUAAUUUUGAUGUUGUUAUCUGGGCGGCUGUGUCAACACUUCAAGAUGACAUUGGAAAAAGGAUUGGCUUUUCAGAAGACAGAAACUGGAAGGAAAAAAGUCUUCAAGACAAGGCUGUGGACAUCGCUAGCAUUCUAAGCGGAAAGAAGUUUGUGUUGUUAUUAGAUGAUAUAUGGGAGCCCAUUGAUUUAACACAGCUGGGUGUCCCUCUUCAAAAUCUAAAUGAUGGGUCCAAAAUAGUCUUGACAACUCGUUCAGCUGGGGUUUGCGAUCAAAUGGACGCUGAAAAGGUGGAAGUGUCUAGUUUGGCACAUGAUGAAGCCUGGAAAUUAUUUCAGGAGAUGAUCGAAAGAUCCACUCUUGACAGUCAUACCAGUAUUCCAGGGCUAGCCGAAACCCUGGCAAGAGAGUGUGGUGGGUUGCCGCUAGCGCUUAAAACAGUGGGUCGAGCCAUGAAAAGCCAAAGGAAAGUUGGAGAUUGGAAACGUGCAAUUCACAAAAUGACAACAUCAGCUUCUAAAUUCUCAGGUAUGAAAGAAGAGGUGUUUUCGCGUUUAAAGUUCAGCUAUGAUAGUUUGUCUACGGACGAACUUCGUUCCUGUCUCCUGUAUUGUUGUUUAUAUCCUGAAGACUACGAAAUUCCUAAAAGGGAAUUGAUUGAUUACUGGAUUAGUGAAGGAUUUGUGUAUGAUUUUGAUGAUGGAUGCGAUUUUAUUGAUGACCUUCUUCAAGCAUGCUUAUUGGAGGAAGAAGGCGAUGAUCAUGUAAAGAUGCACGAUAUGAUUCGUGAGAUGUCAUUAUGGAUAGCGUGCACGGUAGACAAGGAGGAGCAGAGCUUUUUGGUUCGCGCUGGAGUUAAAUUGACCGAAGCACCAAAGGUUGAAGAAUGGGAAGGUGCCAAACGGGUAUCUCUGAUGGCAACUGGAAUUGAAUGCCUAUCGGAAAUUCCCACGUGUCGACGUCUGAUAACUUUACUUCUGGAUGAAAAUCGGAUUGAGGAGAUUACUGAUGGCUUCUUUCAAUCUAUGUCGACUCUUAGAGUAUUAAGUCUACGAAGAAAUACUUCCCUAAGUAAACUACCUUCGGGGAUUUCAAGUUUGGUUUCAUUGCAUCAUCUUGAUCUAUCAUGGACUGAGAUAACUGGGUUGCCGCAAGAGCUGAAGGCGUUGGAGAAGUUGAGAUAUUUGAACUUGGAGAAUGUAUUUGAGUUGUCUGUAAUUCCACAUCAAUUGAUAUCUGGCUUUUCAAAGUUGGAGGUACUCAGGUUGUUUGGGUCCGUUGGUAGGGGUGUAACAGAAGAAGAAGAAGAAGGUAACGUUCUAUGUGAUGAUGCUGAACCUUUGAUGAAGGAAUUGCUGGGUUUGAAGCAUUUAAAUGUUUUAAGCUGGUCCUUCCGAAGUUCACUUGCUGUCCAAAAGUUUUUGAAAUAUCCAAAGCUGGUUAGCAUCACUCAAUCUGUAUGGGUUGAAUGUGGCAUGUAUACAAGGCCACCGUUCAAUGUCUUACAUCUAGCAUAUAUGGAGAAUCUUCAGGAGUUGCGUCUUUCUCAGAGUGAUUUGGAGGAGAUGAAGAUUGACAGCACAGAAGAGGUGAAGAAGCUUUUUCAAAGUGGUUUCCGCAGUCUCAACACAGUUGAUGUAUUUUAUUGCCAAAAAGCGAAGGACUUAACGUGGCUUGUUUUUGUUCAAAACCUCAAGGAGCUAUUUAUACAGUUUUGUAUUGAUGUGGAAGAAAUAAUCAGCGUUGAUAAAUUGGGAUAUAUUUCAGAGAUAAUCGGGUCAGAGCAUAACUUUUUCGCACAACUCGAAUCUCUAACCAUAUGGAUGGGAAUAAAUUUAAAGAGCGUUUACCCGAAUCCCCUGCCCUUUCCAAAGCUGAAGAAAAUUGAAGUACGUGUAUGCCCACAGCUGAAGAAGCUCCCACUCAAUUCCAGCAGCGCGAAGGAACGUCGAGUUGUCAUCCGGGGAGAGAAAGAAUGGUGGGAAGAGCUACAAUGGGAGGAUCAAGCCACCCAAAAUGCUUUCUCUUCCGGUGUCAUACUUACUGAGGAUCCUGUUUAUUAAUAUGUUUGAAUAUGUAUUUCUUUUUUUUUUUUUUUAAUUUUCAUUAGAUUUAAUUGCAUCUUGUUCUUGUUGUCUGGUGUGUCAAUCGUUCCCUACUUUCAGUUAAUAAAAUUUCAGCAGUGGAUUCUUGGUUUAUUAAUGUUUAUAUAACUGAAUUGUUCAGCAGAUGUACUCUGCAUAUGUACUCUGCACAACUAACACAGAAAUAAAUAUAUGUAAGGGGGUACAGGACUGACUCUGCUUCUGGCUUCUAAGGAGAAAGAGGGGAAAAUAAACAUUUUAUCUUCCCUUAACUGCUCUCCUUUGGUUUGAAAUAUGUGACCUUUAUACUCGUCGAUAAAAUUGUAUUUGUCGCUUUAAGUCUUGUUUGUUUUAAAUCCUAGCAUAUGUAAUUAUGUAUGGAGUGGGAACUGAGAUGAUGAUGAAAGAUAAGUAAACAUUAAUUGAAUCUGUUAUAAUUUUAAUAUUAAUUUAACAAGAAAGUGAUAUUAAUUUGCCUGGCCCAUAUGAAAAACAAUUAUAAUUAAAGCUUUUUCUUUUUCUUUAAUUAGUAAUAGAUUUCGGAUAUAAAGCAGACAAAUUUAAUUUCUGCUUCAAUAACUACCCUAUCACUGUGUGCGUGAUCACAUAAUUUUGGACUACCGCUUGUGGAAUAACUUUAGAAAAAGAAAAUUAAUUUUUUUAAGUAACGAUAAAUAUUUUAAAUUUUAUUUUAACUAAAUUUGAAAUGAUGUGAUUGGCAGGUAAGACUUAAGAAUUAGACAAAUUUUCUCAUUCCACAGCUUGUAGAAAAUUGAUACCCCAGGCCUUAUCUAAACUUGGACUUAUCGCCUGCGGUAAAGCAUGAGUCAUGUUUCCAUGUAUGUUUGAAAUAUUGGACGAUAAUCACAACGGCAUUUUGUGAAAUAAUUAAAGUUUUUUUUUCUUCUCCUAUCUUCCAAUGAAAGUGCAGGACCUCAAUUAUUUUAAUAGAGAUGUAGUAAUAAAUUAUUAAUGAAACAUAUCAAAUCCAAUGUAUAGAUAAUAAUAAAAUAAAUAUACAUGGUUUCAAAAAAGCUAGUACAUGUUUCUAUAUAAAAAAAAUUAUCUUAAAAGUUUUUGAACUUUUGUGUUCUCUUUAAUAUUUUUCUCUUAUUUUGUUAUCGUAAUAUAUGGGUACAAGUUCACUUAAUGUAACAUAACAUACUUUUUUUGCUACACACACACACACACACACACACACAAUGUCAUAAUUAUUUUUUUUUAAAAAAAUCAAAUGCCACAACUUAUAUCUUAAUUACCUAAGCCCUAAAGUAACAACAAAAUGAAAGGAGUGGGCCUUUUGACACCCCCUCUAAGAUCCUCCUUUAAAUUCCUUAUAACUCUUUAAUUAAAAUUACUUAAAUAAUUAAAGAUAAAUUAAUUCCAUUUUUAUUUUAGUUGAAAAUUUAAUUAAUACUUAAAUAAAAUUAUUCUUUUAACAUUUUUUCCACCCACCUCAUUUCAUAUAUAUAUAAUUUUUAGAAACUUUUAAUAAUUUAUAAUUCUUUUAAGGUGAAAUUUAAUGAGAAGAUUAUUAAUUUUAAUUUAUAGAUUAGUAUUUUAUAAAUUAAACCAAGGUACUUUGAUAAAUAAAAAUUAAAACAAGUUUUAUAAGGAUUUUGGAGUGUAGGAAUUCAGAAUAUAGAUUUUCAUGUGGACGUUGAAUAUGCUGAAGCUGAAGCUAUGAAUUUUAGAAUAAAAAUGGCAAUAGACUUUGGUUUAACGCCAUUAAUUGUUGAAUCAGUUUCGAAGACUAUUUUAAACUUGGCGAAAGGUUUUGAAAGAAGUAUGAAAGAAAUAUCAUGGUUAAUUUUCGAGAUUCGAAAUUGUAUGGUUGUGAAAGACUACUUCAAAAUCAAUCUUAUAUUGAGAAAUAGUAGUGAGACCACUCAUAAAUUAGAUAAAUAUGAUGUUAACAAUUCGGGCUGUGUAAUUUGGUUGGAGGAAAUUUCAACUCAUGUAAGUCUUUUUCCUUUCAGUGAUUAAUUGAAGCUUUCCAUUUCCAAAGAGAGAUAGAGAGAGAGAGAGCUCAACUCAAAUGAAAGUAUGAAACAAAGAGUAAAUCCUGAUAGCAGAAAAAUGAGCCAUGAGUAGAAUUAUUCGCACCUUUGAAAGCCCUCAUAAAAGUCUUUAUUCAAUAUGUCCUGCUAAAUCAUUCAAAAAAUAAUAUUAUUUCUAAGGGCAGAGCUAUUUGCACUCUAAAAAUUAUUGUCAACACUUUAUUAUUAUACACACUCAUUUAUUAAUUUGAAAAAAUGAAUUAUACUUUGUACACUCCUUAAAGUACUAAAAAUGUACUCAUUUAAUCCUUUUUAAAUUAAUUUACUCUAACACACUCAUGAAAACGCCUUACAUACUCAAAAAAUUUCUCUAAACACUCUUUUAUUAUUAAAAUUUAAUUAUUUGGUUGUAUAAUAUAUUUCUCCAAUAAACGAAGAAUGAUACAGGAGCAACUAAAAAAACCCAUCAAAAUAUUUCACCAAUGAAAAGAUCGUGAGAAAUAAACAUUAUAAUCCGAACAAAUAAAUCAAUUAGCCAAUAUAUCAUUUAGCCAAAUCAAAGAUGUUGCUUGCGCUUCGUAGUUCUGAGCUUAGAAUCAAGUAGAGAAGUGAAGAUGAAAUUUUUAAUUGCUGAGAAUAUGAUUUUGAGGUUGAUGGAGGACUUGAAAGAGAGGGACAAGAAAGAAUGAUUCAGAGUAGGUGCUUGGCAAAAGGGACCCUUAUGACGAUAUUCUUCAGUACAGCUAUGAUGCCACUUCCACCUCCAAUUGAAUGCCAGAAAAUUCAGAGUUUGUCAAAAGAGGAUGGUAAAUUAAGUUGUUUUUUUUUUUUUUUUAAAUCUGGAUUUGGUUGAACAUUUUUAUGUCGCAAAAAUGUCUGCUGGGUUGUAAUGCCUCAGUUGCAGACUAGUUUGUAAGAGUCUGAAUAAUUGUCCAUGUUACUCUGGUAUUGUGGAAUGACAUGUAUUUUUUGGCCAAAAGAAAAAAUCAAGCAACCGAUGUAAACUUGUUUAAUAUCAUCGUAAUAUAACUGAAAAAGAAGUAAUUAUAGUCAUACAAAAAAAAUUAAUAACUGUCAUGUCCUUAAUAGUAAUUUAAACCAUAGAUAUUAUUGUAAUAAUUUUUUUAAUAAAAUUAAAAGUGUUUAGUGUAAUUUUUAGAGUGUACAUAACCUCACCCUAUUUCUAAACCCACGUAGGUUGAUUCCAAAAACACCCUUGGCUUGCACACCAACCGCAUUUUCACAUUUUCUUCGUCUUGCGGAACUUGAAACCCAAAUCUGAUGGCUUCAACUUUCGACUAAUCAUGAUCUCCACUAGAACUUAUAAUUUUAAAAGCUAUUUCCAUAAUAUUUUCAUUAGAAUUUCUUAUAACAACAUCCAACAUUGGUUAUUGAUAUUUUAAGGUUUCAUCUUAAAUAAUAUUAACAAAAUAAUUAAAUUUUUAUCAAAUUUUAAGGAAAUACAUUGUGCUUUGAUAAACAAGGAAUGUCAACUAAAUAUCGUCAAAAUAAAUAAUAAAUUUUUAAGUCGACUUUUGGUUUCACAUAAUUGUAAUUAUGGAGAUUAGUUAUUCGAAUAAAAUUUAAUUUUCUUUUGUUUAUUAUUGUAAAUUUCAAUAGGGACAAAUGCAUGAUUAUAAAAGAAGGGUUUGAGGUUUUUUAGGGGUACCAAUAGGACCACUCAUGAGCCAUAACAAAAAAUUAAGCCCAUGCGAGGCCCACCUAAUCCAUUUUUACAUUUAACCUGAAGAAUCAGACGACAAUAAACAAUAGACCUAAAUAAAAAGAUGAUAUAAAAGUAAGAAUAAUAUUAAGAUCCUAAUUUUUUAGUCUUAACUUCUUAAGUCUUAAAGUCACACGUUAUUCAUUUAUUAGACGAUAGAUUUCAUAACUUGUAAAAUUAUUUAACCACCAUCUAAUAAAUGAUUGUCAUAUCUUUUGAAACUUAAAUUUUGGAAUGCUUAGCAUUGAGCUGAAUCUAAAUUAUUUCAUUUUCCAUUAUUGUUAUUUUAUUUUAAUUUUUUUUUUCACAAUCGGAUUUUGCUUUGAGACAAUAGAAAGCCUUUUCGCUUUAAGCAUGUAUAGUAAUUUGAAAAAAAAAAACAUAUCCAUAAAUUAUCCAUGAGUUUCUGAGAACCAAUUAACUUCAAAAUCUCUUCCAGCGCUAGGAGGAACAUCGUCAAUAACUUUUUCAUGGCCUUUUGGGUAAUAAAUCCCAGUUCUUUCAUGAGGAACCCAACCACAAUUCCCUUCAUUUUCUCCCACAUUAUUAUUCAUCUGCUGGCUCCUCAUCACAUUUCCUUCUUCUGCAUUGGAUUUCAAUGUUGUUUCUCUCAUCAUAUCAUGAGAACUUGUUUUCUUUUGAAAGGAUUUCCUCAUCAUUGGCCUAUAUGUUUCAAAAAGACUCAACAAAUUAAUAAUGCAAAAACAAAGAGUAAAAUAUUCAAACACUCAAAUGAAUGAAAGUAAUCUCUUUUUAUUAUUGCGUGGACAGUGGCGAAAUCAGGAUUUUGGAUCGACAGAUGUCAUCAAUAAUAGAGAAACAACAAAUUUUAAGUAGGUUAUACCACAAGAAUAUAAACAUAUGGGGGCUACAAAAUAAAAUUAUCAGACACAGAGACAAAUUUAAUUGAAGACUUUCAUAUUUCUUGAUAAUUUUUUUUAACCUGAGGCCCCUGUGGAGACAUAUUGGUUCAGUUAAUAAAACAUUUAAUUCUAUGUACUUAACCAACCACUCAUAAUUAGUAAAUAAAUAAUUUGAAACUAUUAGGCCUAUUUCGAACGAACUGUUUCAUAACAAAAUUAAUUUAGAUAAAGUGAAAAGAUUUAUUUACAAACAUACCAUGCAAUAAUGAAGUGCGAUUGUCAAAAUGAAAUGAUGAAAUAGCAAAGUAGAUAGAUAAUGAAAGCAUUACUUGAAAAACAUGGAGUUAAAGGUGGGAGCUCCUCUAGCAAAUGAUACUGUCAUCUUUUUGUUCUUUUUUCUCUCACUUUCUCUCUUUCCAAACAAUGUGGGUGGAAUGAAUUGAAUUAUGAUUUUGAUAGAGAGCUCUUUAUAUAGUGAAGUUAAAUAAGAGAAUAUUGUUAUCCAUUUCUCUCAUCUCUAGGGAGAUCAUUUAUUGUUCCCGUGCACGUCAUUUUCUGUUUGGAUAAAUAUUAAAUUAUAAUACUCUUUCUUGAUCAUUGGGGAGCACUCAUUGCAGAGCAUGGCCUUCUUUUGUUCCCUUUUGUUUUGUUUUUGUUUUUUAGUCAUCUAAGUUAUGGGACAUGGCUUGCGGACUCAGCUUUUAAAAACUUUCCCUAGAUAAGUAGUUGAAUCUAGGGGAGGUACUUUUUAGUCAUAACGAGAUUACACGAUAUAAAAUGAGAUAUAGAGGCGGAUUCACCUCAUGAUUAGUGGGACACAGAGAAUAAUAAAAAAAAAUAUUUGAGUUAUUAAUUAAUUCUGUUGAAUAUAUUAAAAUAGGCAAGUUAAAUUUAUAAAAAUAGUCUCAUAAAUUUAAAAUUUAUAAAAUUUUAAUUUUGAGAAUUGCAAAAAACCACACUUUAAUUAAAAUAUAAAAGGUUAUGAGGUAACCCAUAUAGGUGGUUUACUAUUAUUUAAUUUAGUUUUUAUUAAAUCUAUAAAAAUGAUUUAUAUAAACUCAUCAAGCUAUAAAAUUUGAGUUUUCGCAUUGUGUUGUUAUAUAAUUUAGCCAUCGAUAAAUCAUUUUUAUGAAUCCACCACUGAUAACAUAAAUAUAAAAAAAUUAAGUGCUCGAUUUACCUCACGCAAAUAUGACAUAAUAUUUUCGUUAACUGUCAUAAGAAACUUAAAAAUGGUAGUCAAUUAAAUAAACUAUGACCAUUGACAAAAAAUUAAUGAAAUUGUAACAGAUAUACAAAAAGAUUUUAAAAUCAUUUUGCCCUUAAGUUGAUAUAAGAUGAGUCGUUAAUAAUUGCAUGUGCAAACAUCGUAUAUUCUUUAUAAUUAAUUGUGCAGAUUUUGAUGACCAUUUGGGUGUAUUGGGGUUAUGAAUUUUGUGAGUUUUUUCCACUUUUGUAAAUUCUUAUUUGUUAGUAAAAUUACAUUCCAGUUUUUGCCCAUGCACAUAGGCAAUACGCCGAACCACGUAAAUUAUUGUGUCCUAUUUUCUUUCCAUUUGUUUAUCACCACAUUUAUAUUUCUCCAGAAGUUGUAGUAUUAGUAAUUGCUCAACCCGUGUUUCCGUAACACCCAUAAUAUUUUCAUUAGAAUUUCUUAUAACAACUUCCAACAUUGGUUAUUGAUAUUUUAAGGUUUCAUCUUAAAUAAUAAUAACAAAAUAAUUAAAAUUUUUAUCAAAAUUUAACGAAAUAUAUUGUGCUUUGAUAAACAAGGAAUGUCAACUAAAUAUAGUCAAAAUAAAUAAUAAAUUGUUAAGUCGAGUUUUGGUUUCACAUGAUUGUAAUUAUGGAGACUAGUUAUUUGAAUAAAAUUUAAUUUCUUCUGUUUAUCAUUGUAAACUUGAAUAGGGACAAAUGCAUGACUAUAAAAGAAGGGUUUGAUAAGGAUUUUUUGGGGGUACCGAUAGGACCACUCAUGAGCCAUAACAAAACUAAGCCCAUGCGACGCCCACCUAAUCCAUUUGUACAUUUAGCUUGAAGAAUAAGACGAUAAUAAACAAUAGGCCUAAAUAAUAAGAUGAUAUAAAAGUAAGAAUAAUGUUAAGAUACCAAUUUUUUAGUCUUAACUUCUUAAGUCUUAAUGUCACACGUCAUUCAUUUAUUAGACGAUAGAUUUCAUAACUUGUAAAAUUAUUUAACUACCAUCUAAUAAAUGAUUGUUAUAUUUGUUGAAACUUAAAUUUUGAAAUGUUUAACAUUGAGCUGAAUCUAAACGAUUUCAUUUUCCAUUAUUGUUAUUUAUUUUAAUUUUUUUUUCCCAAUCGGAUUUUGCUUUGAGAAAAUAGAAAGCCUUUUGGCUUUAAGCAUGUAUAGUAAAUUGAAAAAAAAAUUAUCCAUAAAUUAUCCAUGAGUUUCUGAAAACCAAUUAACUUCAAAAUCUCUUCCAGCACUAGGAGGAACAUCUUCAAUAACUUUUUCGUGGCCUUUUGGGUAAUAAAUCCCAGUUCUUUCAUGAGGAACCCAACAACAAUUUCCUUCAUUUUCUCCCACAUUAUUAUUCAUUUGCUGGCUCCUCAUCACAUUUCCUUCUUCCGCAUUGGAUUUCAAUGCUGUUUCUCUCAUCAUAUCAUUAGAACUUGCUUUCUUUUGAAAGGAUUUCCUCAUUAUUGGCCUAUAUGUUUCAAAAGACUUAACAAAUUAAUAAUGCAAAAACAAAGAGUAAAAUAUUCAAACACUCAAAUGAAUGAAAGUAAUCUCUUUUUAUUAUUGCGUGGACAGUGGCGAAAUCAGGAUUUUGCUUCGACAAAUGUCAUCAAUAAAAGAGAAACAACAAAUUUAAGUAGGCUAUAACACAAAAUAAUAAUAAUAAUAAUAAGAGGGCUACAAAAUAAAACUGUCAAGUCACAAGAGAAUAUUGUUAUCCAUUUCUCUCAUCUCUAGGGAGAUCAUUUGUUGUUCCUGUGUACGUCAUUUUCUGUUUGGAUAAAUAUUAAAUUAUAAUACUCUUUCUUGAUCAUUGGGGAGCACUCAUUGCAGAGCAUGGCCUUCUUUUGUUCCCUUUUGUUUUGUUUUUGUUUUUUAGUCAUCUAAGUUAUGGGACAUGGCUUGCGGACUCAGCUUUUAAAAACUUUCCCUAGAUAAGUAGUUGAAUCUAGGGGAGGUACUUUUUAGUCAUAACGAGAUUACACGAUAUAAAAUGAGAUAUAGAGGCGGAUUCACCUCAUGAUUAGUGGGACACAGAGAAUAAUAAAAAAAAAUAUUUGAGUUAUUAAUUAAUUCUGUUGAAUAUAUUAAAAUAGGCAAGUUAAAUUUAUAAAAAUAGUCUCAUAAAUUUAAAAUUUAUAAAAUUUUAAUUUUGAGAAUUGCAAAAACCACACUUUAAUUAAAAUAUAAAAGGUUAUGAGGUAACCCAUAUAGGUGGUUUACUAUUAUUUAAUUUAGUUUUUAUUAAACCUAUAAAAUUUGAGUUUUCGCAUCAUGUCGUCAUAUAAUAUAGUCAUCGAUAAAUCAUUUUCUUGAAUCCACCAUUGAUGACAUAAAUAUAAAAAAAUUAAGUACUCGAUUUACCUCACCCGUUAACUGUCAUAAGAAACUUAAAAAUGGUAGCCAAUUAAAUAAACUAUGACCAUUGACAAAAAAAAAUUAAUGACAUUGUAACAUAUAUACAAAGAGAUUUUAAAAUAAUUUUGCCCUUAAGUUGAUAUAAGAUGAGUCGUUAAUAAUUGCACGCGCAAACAUGGUAUAUUCUUUAUAAUUAAUCGUGCAGAUUUUGAUGAACAAUGCACCAAAGCCACAUGGUAAAAAUCUCCCUUAUGUUUUUGUUUUGAGAAAGUUGCUGAAUCAAUGUCAUGACGCUAAUUUUCAAAGCAUGAAAACAGAAUGAAAUUAAAGAAACCAUAGUGAUGUAUCUUGUUUGCAUACUGGAAUGAAAUGUUGAUUUAGGCAAAUUUAGGAUGUAAAGUGUAAACUAAGGUUCACAUAAAAAUAAUAAUAAUAAUAAUAAUAAUAAUAAUAAUAAUAAUAAUAAUAAUAAUAAUAAUAUUAUUAUUAUUAUUAUUAUUAUUAUUAUUAUUAUUAUUAUUUUAAUCCAUUAAGAGAAAAAGGUUGUAUGCUCAUCAACCCAUUGCAAACUUUUGGCUUAAGAUUAAUAUGAGUAAUACAACACAGCUAUAUCAUAUCCCUAAACUUGAAAAUUAUUUAAAAAGGACCAUGAAUUGAUGAGGAUGAUAAAAUUAGCAAGGUUUCUAUUUUAUAAGUGUUUGCCAUAUGAUAUAUCAUUAAAAUGUUGUCCGUUUAUAUAUAUCUCAUGUUUUAUUUAUUUUAUGUAAGGAGAUUAGGGAGACCACAUAUUGUAAUUCCCCUUGUGAAUGUUUACUGGGGAGAGAAAUGAAAAAAAUUCAUCAAGUGUGUAAUCCUGAAUUUGGUUGGUGGAGUCUUCAACAACAGCUCAAAAACUUGCCUCCUCGGUUGUUGGUCACCUCAAGAAAUAUCGCAAACUGUUAGCAAGAACCUGCAAAUUUGAUCAAGCAAAGUCUAAUCAGUACAUCAACGAUCGUGCAAGUCUUCAGGCGCACCGUGUGAUCAUUAGCACGUUAAUGUUCUUACCGCCCACUUCAAAGUUUAAAUUCAAAUCUUUUAUAUAAGAACAGUUUUGCAACUAGAAUACCGAUUUUGAGUAGAAAUGGUAAGUCUCUUUAUUCUUCAGAGCAAACAAUCUAUAAAGCAAUUUCCGAUGUCCUAUAUGUAGGCCUGUUGUUUUUACCUGUUGGAGAGGCUUGAUAAUGGCUUUACCCUUGUAGCUGACAUGAAACUUUGCCUUAGCCAACAGCCCCUGGGUGCGAAAACAAAAAUUAGAACAAAAUAUAUUAAUAAGGGAAGGCCACUCUUUUGUCAAUAUAUAUAUAUAUAUAGAGUUUGUUAUAAAAGAUUACCUCAGUAUCAAACUCUCCCGAUUCAACAUUGACAUUGAUGACAGUGAAAAUCUUUACAAGAUCCACCAAUAAUCCUGGUCGAUCAGCCGUCUCCACCAAAAGCAAACUUCAAUAAAACAAAAGGUAAAAUAAACAAAAAUAGUAGGAAAAUACUUGGUAUCUAGAAGGGCGAGAGAAACACGAGAGAAACGGCAGCACAUGCUGCCGUUUCACUCCCAAAAUCUCUCGCCUUUUUUUAAUUAAAAAAAUUAAAAAAUUAAUAAAAAAUAAUAAAGAAAACAUAAUCUUAUCUGCUCCUUACUCCAUUUUUGCAACUCUCUCACCAUCUCUGUCGAGUAGCUCUCUCUCUCAUUGGCUCUCACUAUUUCACGAUCUCUCUCUCACUCACACACUCCUUUUCACGAUCUGAAAUUUUCUGGCCUUCUGCAACUCUUACAAGAAAUUAACGCUUUGGUUCUCACAAGGAUAGAUUGGGCAGGAAAUUGCCACUUGGGCUGGAGUAUGAGUAGUAAUAGUGUGGGACCAAAGUUUGGUGGAUAGCAAAAGCUCCAUCAUCUAGAUAAGAGAAUGAAUUAUGCAUUACCUUCGCUUGGGGCCAUCAAUAUCAUCAUAGAUGCUUAUGUGGGUUGCUAUGUCCACAUCAACCUGACAAAUUCCAGCACAACAAGAUUUGAGACAAGAUUGAAGUGGGACGUUAUCCUUCCCAUAAUAACUCAUAUACGUAGUUUUUAACAUUCAUGACAACAUGAUAUUAAUUUCAAUGGCAGGCAAAUUGAAUAUAAUGUCUUUAAAGAAAAUGAGGAUAAAAGUGAAGUAAUAUUUGGCCCAAGAGAACUCUAAAAACAACUUAGUUUCCUAUUCAAAUGAUCCACUAGUGAGAAGAGCCCACUACAAGAAAAACUGACCUAUUAUGAUAGGUAAAAACUGUCAUCGUAGGGGGUAAAUGAUGGUUAUUCUUACCGUCAUUAUAGCCAGCGUCAAGAAAAGAUGACAGAUAAAAUCGCGUCACGAGUUGUGAUAGAUUUUACCUAUCAUAAUUAUGUCAUACUACUUAGAAGAGGGAAAUUAUUAUUUUUUUUAUAUUUUCAUUUUUUUAGAAAUUUCUUGGAUUGUAUUUUUUUUUUUUGGGAUAUCAAUUGUGUGUAUGACUAGCAUUUUCUAUCACAAUUUUUUUGAAAAAUUUGAUUAUUUAUUUUAUUUAUUAAUUUAAAAUAAAAAUUAUGCAAUUUUAAAAUUUAAAUUAUUAAAAUUAUAUGAAAUAAAAUAAAUUACUAAAUGCAAAUAAAUCCAAAACCAAUGAACUAAAUUAGUGAACUUUAUUAACCAUAAAAAUAUCCAAAGUACAUUACAUUAGUUAAUCAAUAUUCCAAAGUCAAGCCAAUAGGCAACAAAGGCCAAUCCAAAACCAAGCAAAGUACUCCGCAUUCUGCAACAUCCAGCAACAAACCUACACAAAAUGUAGUCUUCCAGCGGCAAAAUCCAGCAGCCCUAAAGCCAAGACAUGAAAAUUCAUCCAGCAUCAAAUCUAUGCAAAAUGUAGUACUCUGGCUAUUCAAUCCACUAACUAAUUAAUUAAUUAAUCAAGCAAACUAACUUAUGUAAUUACACUGAAAUGGAAGUGGCACACCAGAUUAGCAGCAAUGACAGGUGAGGUGGUAGUUAAAGCCCAAACAGCAAGAAAGCCACAAGCCACACCUUUAAGUUCUUUUGAUCUUUUGUAGCUGCUACUACUACUACUACUACUACUACUACUACUACUUCUAAUAAUAAUAAAAACCAUCCUAUUAAUUUAUACAAGUCCCAAUAUAAGUAUAUAACUAAACAUAGGGUUCAAGAGUUCCAUGUCUUAAAAGUUACAAUCACAGAGACAUUUCCAAAAUGGAAAAACGAAGAUAAAGCUUAUAAAAAAUAAAUAUACCUAUUUAGUAAUUUAACAGCCUCAUAAACCAAUCAUGGACACAUUUCCAUCGACCCGCAAGUAAUCAAUCAUAGCCUUCAGAUUAUCUUUCUGAAAAACAAGCCAUCAACUUCAGACGGACCUUAAUUACAAGAAUAAAGUCCAACAAGACAGGUAAUUGAUCUCAUAAGUGAUUUUUUCCCCUUUAAAAGUUAAAAUUUUUUAAAAAAAUUACUAGCUGUGUAAUUUCUUCCCGCUAGUUAAUCAGCCACCAACUUCAUUCAAUCAUAGAGUAAAAUGCUCUCCUACAGAGAGCCCAGAUCCUGAAAAAUCUCCUAUAACUUUCAUUAUUCAUUUAUUAUUCAAUUGGAAAAUAAUUUCAAUGAGCCAAAUUCAUAUAAAAUAUAGAUUUAGAUUCUCGCGAUCCUUAAAUCUCCUAUAAGUUAACACAACACAGUCCUUCAAAAAGCAAAGCAACAUUAUGUCAACAUAAAUUAAACAAUAUAUGAGUGAUGAACUGUACACCUAGACUAAGCACGAGCAAGAUUAAAUACAACACUUCAUCAAGCUUUGCCAUGAAUUGUAUCAGAUUUGCUUUGCGAAUGAAUAUAAUAAGCUUCAUAUUCCUUCGCUCCUCAUAGGUAGAAAUGACCUGCAACAAUUAAAGUGCCAAGAUUCAUUCAUGGUUUUUAUCAAACACUUGGAGGGAAUACAAAAAUAGUAACUAUAUCCCCAAUUCGAAGGUAGUGAGCAUACGGCUACAUGCAAGUAUAUAUCAAUAUGUAUAUAUCUUUUAGGAAUUCUAUGCCUUGAGGUUGUUAAUUGUGGUGCUAGCAAGCUAUGUUAUUAAUUGGUAUAAAUUUUUGAAUGGUACAAAAGGCGUGAGAUUCAAACCAUGCUCAUAUGAGUGCGGAGAGUGGAAAUUGAGUAGAAACCACAAUACUAUUGAUAUUCUUAGAGGAUCUUUCCAUGUGACAUUCAUUCAAAAUUGUAACUAAGAGCAAAAUGCUUAACGAUUUUUAAUGCAUUGUACACAUAUCUAUCAGACAAUAUCUUGUAAGAUCGAAAAAUUGAUAACAUUCCCUCAAGACAAAUGAAAAAUGGAAUUGAACUAGUCAAUAUCUGCAUUACCCAAAAGAGAAACAAGGGAUGGGGAACUCUGAUGAAAUAAUAAAUUCUCUGCUCGGUACAAAAACAGCCACUGGAAACACACAUUGGUUGGAUCAUAUUGACAUUAUUUCCAACACACACAAUAGAAACAAUACCAAUUGCCCACCAAGUGCAUGACUCAAUGUGCGCCCAGCCUGACACCACUUCCUGCACAUGCGACUCGGCCCACAAUCACCACUAAUUUCAACGAAUUAGUGAAUUUAACCAAUGAAAUUUAAAAAAAAAAAAGACUUUGCAUCACAGUGAACUAAUUUGAGAAUUAUCUUUAUAUAUAGUUCCAUGCAUGCCACAAAAAGUGAAAAAAAAAUUAGUUAUUAGAAAACCCCAAUGAUAAAGCAGCCUAGACAAUAUCCCAACACCCAUCACCAGUAAAUUGGCAAGGAUCUUUACAGCCUAAAUCAAAUUUAACAAUAAAACUAUAAUAAUUAGAUUCCAAAAAAAUCAAAUAAAUGUUUAAAAUUCCAUAAAUAAAGAAACAUAGAAGACCAAUCAAAUAGAUCCAAAUUUAACAAGAGCACACCUAGGAUUUUCAAGUUUUACAUGUACAGGGUUCAAAUUUGACAAGAAAACAUCUAGGCUUUUCAAGAUUUAGGUGUGUAGGGUUUGAAUUUGACAAGAACACAUUUAGGGUUUUUACGUUUUACAUAUAUAGGGUUCGAGUUUGACAAGAACAUUAAAAUUGAAAUGAAACACAACACUAGAAAUAUUAUUUACCUGUAUUGAUCGAACGGUUACAACAGUGGGUGAGCGAGGGUUCUCGGUUAGGGUAUUGAAAUUCAAUAGUAGGAGCACAUGCGUUUGGUGGGUAUUCCAUAUAGUUCUCAGUGAGAGCCAAAAUCGAUAGUGAAAUACAAGAGAAUGGCGGCAGUGGUUCAGUGCCCAUGCAAGGAUUUCAGACGAAAAGGGCUUUGUGAGUGCGAGAUUGACGAGAGUGACUGAGCGAGAGACGAGAGUGAGAGUGCCAACACUUGGGGAAAAAAAAUUCGAUGAGUGAAAACUGAAGAGGGUUUUGUUUUUAUUUAGUUUCAAUCUAAACGGUGACGUUUCUUGUCUAAAGAGAAAUUUUUAAUCCAAACGAUCCCGUUUAUUCUUUAUUUAUUUUUUUCAUUCAUUUUAAAAUUUUCAGUCAACCUUGUGAAAUAAAGUCAAAAUAAAAAGCUACUUGAUGAUCAAAAUUAUAUCACAAACUUGUCAUUACUUCUUGAUAAUCAAAUAAUUUAUCAUUAGUCUAUCAUAAGUGUUUGAUAGAUGAAAUUUCUAUCACAAGUAUGUCAUAAAUGAAUGCUAGAAAAAAAUUUAUCAUCCAUCCGUUGUAGUAGCUCUGCAGACCAAAAACUGUCACACAGAGGACUGUCAUGGUAGGUCAUUUUUCUUGUAGUGGCAAAAAAUAUCAAUAAUCUGAAAAAUUAAAAUAAGACCAAAAAGCAAAAACCUGUUGUUUUGGAGGAUCAACGCCAAAGGUAACACCCAUUGCCAACUGGGAACUUGAUUCCUGAUUCCAUCACCAACACAAAUGGAAUAAGGUUUUCAUAAGACAAUUCCUAUAGGUGCUCCACCAAGUGAUAUCUCAAGAGAGACAAAAAAAUGAUUACCGGGUGAUACUGAAGUAGAUUGUUUAUAACUAUCAAACGAAUUGCCUCAAGCACCUCAGGAUCAUCAACUUUCCUACCAGUAUCACUGCACACAAGCAUCAUGACCAAAUUAAUCAAAACCACAGUGGGAAUCUAUUGCAAGAACUGCUCCAAAAAACAACGAUGGCUCUUUGGAUCAUUGAUUUUAGGUUCUAGUAUGUCUAAAAUUUUAACGAUUUCAACAUUAGUGAUAAACAUGUAUUUGCAAUAGACUGAUCAUACUUGUAUAUGGAGCAUCAAAAGUAGGUAUUUACUAUGCUCAUCAAAUAUAGACUAGAAGACGUUGACAAAAAUUAAAGGAAAUUAGUGAAUGAAACUGCAAGCAGAGAAUAUAAAUCAGCUUAGUAAUGCAAGGGCAUGAAAAGCAAAAUGCAUAUGCAUCACAAAAUUAUAGAGAUAUAUAAUUUCACAGUCAUAUGAUGAUAUUGCAGCGGUGAAGCCACGCGUGAGGUUAAGGCAAGCGAUGGAAUGACUUGUGUUACAAAAGAGGUAUGUGAAGUUGCACUAUAAAAAUAAAAUAAAUUUGUAUUUUCAAGUAGUAAAGGUGUAGUUAGUUUAUUUACCAUGAUUGCGUCCUGGAUAGAAAUUGAAUCCAUGUUUAAGAAUUUAUCAACGGAGAGAAAAUGUCAAUACAAAGUCAAUGCGAAUGAAUAGUGAAGUCAGCAGUCGCAAAGGCAAAGUUCUAAACCAAAUGUACUCCAGAUAGAUUAGCGGUAGCAGUUUCACAACUGACAAAUGAACAAAGAGUGGUUGCUUGUCAAAUGGGCUUUGGUAGUUUGUUACAACUGAACCGUGGCAAGCUGAAAAAGAAACUUUGUGGCUAGUUAAUUGAGAUCAUAGAUACUGUGAGGUACUGAUAAAUUUAUGAAAUGAGAGUUAUUACAUCAAUUCUAGACUUAAAUCAAGAUUACUUAGAGAGCAAAUAAGGUGUUUUUAUUACAUUUUGGUCAUAGUUUGCAUAAACAUUCAUUUUAGUUGAGUCUUAAUAAGUUUUGCUUGAAUCAAAGUAAUUUGUACUCAAAACAUGUGCAUAAUUGUAGGUUUUCAAAAAUUCUUAAUUCAUGAAGGGAUGCUGUUAGAGUACAAUUUAUGCACUAGUUUUGCAUUGUUUACUUCUCUUAAUAUCGAUGUUUUGCACUUAAUAAUAGUGAUUUACUUGUGUUUUACUUUUGUAGCUGCAAUUCUAUUGAUUGGUGAUAAAAUUGAGCUAUAAGAUGAUGUUUAAGGAUGAUUGUUCUCUUGGAGAAAUUAUGAGCGUCAGAAGAACUUUGUUGAUAAGGCGUGGGCGCGUGCUGUCAACUGCGGACCUGCAGUUUUUAGUUUAACGUAUUUUGUAUUUUUGGUUAUUUUUGUAAUUACAAAUUUAAUAUUUCAGAUAUUAGUAUUUUAUUUUAAAUAGAAUUCUAAAAGAGAAGAGAGAGAGAGUAUUUAAGGGAGGAAUCUAUUGUGAAGGAUUUGGAUUGGAGAAAAAGAAAGAAACCCUAGAUCUAAUUUUUCUCUUCUCUCUAUGAAGAACUAAACUUAUUUUCUGGUUGAAGGAUAAUGAAGCUUUGAUUCAUCACUACUGUGAGAUCUUUUUUUUAUGCUUUAAUUGUUUUAUUACUUUUUGGGUAUUUGUUUAUUUUCUGAAUUAUUUUCAUGAUUAUGUUUGUUAAUUAGGUAAUUGGCCACUAUUUAAUUAUCAACUUAAUCUAUUGUCAAUUAAAGGAUUCAUUGUAUGAAGAAUUUAAUGUUUGUGACAAAUAACAUAGCAGAGAGUUGUGUUGUGAGAAUAAACAAUCUAAUUUAAAUGAAUCAUCAUAUGUGUUGAUUAGGAUUUGGGUCUCUCUGGUUUUUCAGGCUGUCAAUUGAUUAAAUCAUAUGAUCGUAUCGAGGGUUGUCUAUUGAUUAGGGAAAUAUCCAACGGUCGUACCUUGGUUAUCGACUAGUUAAGGAGAGAUUGGCUAUUAGAGGGUCUCAAUAGCUAUAACCGGUCUAUUCAUAAGUAAUAAUAAUCUAUAUUUGAAUCAAUGAUUAGUAGUCGAAUCAAGCUGAGUUAAUUCCUUCAACCAGAGCUUUCUCCAAUUUGAAUUACAACUUUAAUUUGCAUUCUUGUUAUUUUAAUUUGAUUUUUAUUAUUGUCAACAAAACCCCCAUUUUAUGUUUUACGUUUCAAAAGGAUUUAAAUAAUUACCGAUCUCUGUGGACACGACCCUGCUCAAUCACUAUACACAAUUUAUUUAGAGUAGGAAUUUAUUUUUGUUGGCUUCGACACCCAUCAGAUGCUGAGGCAUUAGACUAGCAAGAGGAUGGAAGAAAAUGGCCGUAAAAGAAGUAAAGCACAAUCGGGAACAGUGCAAUGUUGUAGCUAUUGUUAGAGCAACCAUUGCUGUAGCAAUUUGGGACCACUGAGGGAGAAAACUUAAGCGCGGGUCAGCUGCAGAAUUGUGAUCUGCAUGUUUCCUAAUUUAAUUCAUGCACGCCACGAACUUUUAUUUACCCUAGUUUGCAGUAUAAAAGGGGGGCGCGCACCACAUAAAACUGCGGCAAGGGAAUUAUCAUUAAUACAUUAGAGAAAAGAGAAGAAGAAGAUCGGAAUUAAAGGGGACGGCUUCAGCAGAAUUGAGAAAUCCUGCAGAGUUAUUUGGAUUUGCUUUUUGACGUUCUCAACUUAUACUUUUCUUAUUUCUUUAACUGUUCUAAUGUAUCUCGUGAACAAUAUAUUAAUGUUUUUUUUUCUCAUUCAGUUGACCACCCAUUUAAUAGUUCAAGUUAAGAUAGAGCCGCAAAAGGGCAUGUCUUAGCGGAUAUUAUUAGAGUAUUACUUGAUCUUAAUUUAAGUUUCCUGGAUUAAGUUAUCUUGAAUCCCAUAAGGGCUAUACUUGAAGUUAAGAUUUGUGACACACUAGACAUAGGUGCUCACCUUAUAGGGUGGAGAGACUAAAGGGUCAUAAAGCCAUAUCAUAAGUAGAUUAGCAACUGGUCAUUGCUAGUAUACUUAAGGGUAUGAGAGUUCCAAUACGCAACAGCUGAGGACGCAGAUUCAGAAAUAGCUCUUGACUUGAAUUUUGGUUUUGGCUUUGCAUGAAUCCCAGUGUAAAUCCUGUAGAAAACUUACAAUCUUCAGUGAACCGCGUAAAACGAGACUUACUUGAGUGGGUUGAGACUCUUCUCGAAGACUUUCUUCGCUUCGUCGAUAUCUUUGGAAUCUUCCAAACAUCUGUUAUGACACUCAAGGAAGAGCAGUUUGCUGCCAAAGUUGCUAUAAGGAAAAAAGACGACGUAAAGAUAGCUUCGUAUUUGAAAUCAAGAAAAAGAUUGGCCAAAGAGAUGCUUAAGCUUGUCAGUGAAAUUCGGUGUAUCGGCCAAUACCAGGUACCGCCACCAAUGCUGGCGUCCGUUAUAGAUUCUGAGUUAGCCGGUGUCGUCACUGAUGCUGUUCGAGUGAAAUUUCUCCAUCAUCAUCUAAUUCUAGUACGCGAUCAAGUGGCAGUCUUUUCUUUCUCAACGCCAAAAGCUUAAAAAAAAAAUAUUACAACCCAUUACAGGCCAGCUAAGAUAAAUCCCUGUAUGAUUUUCGCGCCAAGGAUCGUACUGUCACUAGGGAUAAUAUUAUCUUUUCAAAGUUAACUACCAGUCAAGAGAAAAUUUAACUAACGGCAGGGGGUUUUUUUUACAAAUAAAACGAUUUUGGCCAUCUACUUACAAUAGCCUCAAACCUCAGGGGAGGUUUUUAAAAAUUACCCCCGUGGAAAAAUAAUAAUAGUUGAAAAGACAUAGGGUACUUUUUAUUUUCCUUUAUAUUACUAAUAGAUUUCCCACGCGCAACAGACGAAGUCAUUGCUGCUUUAAUAAUUGCCCUAUCACUGUGUUCAUCAUCACAAAUUUCUUUAUUACGUUUGUGAAAUAACCUUAGCAUAACAAAAUUACUCCUCCUUUUUAACUAAUAAUAGAUAUCUCAAAUUUUAUUUUCAGAAUAUGGUAUGUAAUGUAAGUGAUUGAUAGUUCUUUAUAAAAUAUAUAAAUAAAUUAAUUGUGUUAUCUUAGUGUCUAAUAUAUAUAAAUGACUUUCUCCAUAUAUUGCACUAUUGAUAUGGGCUAAAGUUUUAUACUAUGAGACCCAAUUUCUAUAAUUUACACUAUAAGUUACAAGUAUUUAGGAAAAUACUAUUACAAAUCAGAAGGUAUUAUCUAUUUUAUACCUAAAGCAUUUUCACUAUUUAAGACUAGUAAAACUUCUAUAUUAUUAUAAUAUUGGAAUCAAACACCAAUAAACAAGUAAAUCAUCUGGAAUGAGAAUGUUCUAACUUAACCAAGGUCCUCGGUUUGAAACUUAGAAAUGCAACUACAUUAAAUACUUAUUGGGAGAGACUUGCCGCUUUAGUGGUCCUAUCCGGCUCGAAUCUAGAUUAGUCGGGGAUCUAAUGUGGUCUUUGGAUACUAGAUGAUUUAAUAUACCGAUAAUAUUGGAACCAAACUAAUUUACAAUUAUGAAGAGGUUAUAAUUCAAUAGAGGCGUAGUAACAAACUAUUAAUAGAGCGUAUCAAAUUUAAUGUAUAAACAAAAUUCUAUAAUUUACACUAUAAGUUGCAAGUAUUUAGGUCAAUACUAUUGCAAAUCAGAAGAUAUUAUCUAUUUUAUGCCUAAAAUAUUUCCACUAUUUAAGGCUAGUAAAACUUCUAUAUAAUUAUAAUAUUGGAACCAAACACCAACAAGCACAUAAAUCAACUAGAAUGGAAAUGUUCUAACGUCAAGGUCCUCGGUUCCAAACUUAGAAAUGCAACUACAUUAAAUAUUUAUUGAGAGAGAUUUGCCGCUCUAGUAGUUCUAUCCAGGUCGAAUCUGGAUUAGUCGGGGACCUAAUGUGGUCUUUGGAUACUAGAUGAUUUAAUGUACCAAUAAUAUUGGAACCAAACUAAUUUACAAUUAUGAGGAGGUUAUAAUUUAAUAGAGGCGUAGUAACAAACUAUUAAUAGAGCGUAUCAAAUUUAAUAUUGGAAUCCGAUGAUUGGUUGCAACAUAAGAUAUUUGUAAGCUUAGUUAAAGGUUCAUUAAAAAUUAUAGAGAUAUAUAAUUUCGCAGUCGAUGAAGCCGUGCAUGAGGUUAAGGCAAGUGAUGGAAUGACUUGCGUUACAAAAAAGGUAUGUGAAGUUGCACUAUAAAAAUAAAAUAAAUUUGUAUUUUCAAGUAGUGAAGGUGUAGUUAGUUUAUUUGUUGUAGCAGUUUCACAGCUGACAGAUGAACAAAGAGUGGCUGCUUGUCAAAUGGGCUUUGGUAGUUUGCUACAACUGAACUGUGGCAAGCUAAAAAGGAAACUUUGUGGCUAGUUAAUUGAGAUGAUUGAUACUGUGAGGUACAUUUUAGAGUUGAAUGGUAUUAGCUUUCGAACAAGAUCAUCAAAGAAACUCUACCAACUGGGAAAUUUAAACUUAAUCUAUGCUCCGCAAAUUCGGAUAUUCUCUAAUAUGAAACUACUUUUAUGUGUUUUGUUAUUCCUAGCUUUUACCGACUUGGUAACGUUGUUAUGGAAGCAUGACAACUAUUAUGUCCGUGCAAUUUUUAUUGUAUCUUUUGUUAUGUCACGAUAUUGAAGCUUAGUUUUCUGACUCCAAUUACUAAGAACUGCAAUUGCAACAUCUUUUGAAUAUUACAUAUAUGCUUGUAGUAUCUCGACGGAUUAAAACCUGCUAUUUAAGUUCUUCUCCCCCACCCCCCGCCCUUCUUCUUUCAUUUAUACUUGCUGCACCAUUUACUUCACACUCUGUAAAGCCAAAUGAAAGCUUGUUCAUUUAUGUUCACUUGCAAUUCAAAAGCACAGUUUAUUUCAACUGUCAAAUUGACUAGUUGCACGUAUAGAUUUCAGUCGAAACAGGGUUAUUGGUCGAUCAAGAAAUUGAAUCCAUAUGGCCGUUCCAGCGUUAUUCAACCACCUAAUUUCAAAUAUAUAAAUUAAUUCAACCCACUUCUGUGUCAAAGGCGUGGAACAAAUUAUGAAAGAUUUUUCAGCUAUCAUAAAUUCGAACGGGUGUAGUUUGUAUCCUUUCGGACUUAGACAGAUUUUCCUUCCAUUAACCUUACAGUGUUAGUAAUCCUAUUACUUGUUUUUACAGCUUGAAUAGUAUACCGAAAUUUUUGGCUUUUGCAACAUAAACUUGUAUGUAAUGUACAUUUUAUUGUUCUUUACAAAUUAAUUGCUGCUAAAAUAAUUGUUUCAAUGGCAUGAUCUGCAUCCCCGGUUUGCCUCUUGGGCUACGAACCUGCUUAACAGCUGCACCAUCUUGCUCCUUUUCAUCGAACGGCAACUUCCCUACAGACAAAAAGACGGGGUACACGGUACACUGCCCAGGGUCACCAUAAACGCAGCCCAAAAAGAUGAUUUUGUCUUUCCAUGUCUUAGUAUUUUAACCAAUAAUAAUAAUAAUAAUUCUUUAUAUCAUCAAUUAUUGCACUUGUAAGCCAGGCAAUAGUAUUUUUAUUAAAUAAAAAAUUAAUGUCAAAAUUUAUUUAUUUAUUUAUUUUUUUUAUCUAGCUAUCAUUGACUUAAUAUUUUGAAUCUUCAUCCAAAGUUAAGGCACAAAACUUUUAUUCUAAAUAAAUAUUCUCAAUAUAAAUUUAUCACUUAAAUAAUAAAUAAUAAGAUUUAACAUUAAUUCUGUCGUUACUGAAAUGAAUUGUAAAUUUUAUAUGACAUGUAAACGUAUCAUUAUGUUCUUGAUAUUUGACAUAUGAAUUAUAAAGCAACAAAUGUAUCAUAUUUUUAUUUCGGUAUUGUGCUUCUCUAAAAGUAACCCUCACCAAAUUAGCUUAAUUCUUUUCGUUGUACUCAUUGCUUCUCUUCCUCUUUUCGUCAACGACAAUGGGUAACCUAAUCUCAACCUUCUUACCAGCAGACUUAUUUGAUCGUUUUUCAAACUGCGUUGGUGAACAAGCAAAAUAUGUAUGGGGUCUCGAAAAAAAUCUUCGGAUCUUGGAGACUGAAUUGCACAAAUUGACUCGAGCAAGGGCCGAUCUGAAGACCAGGGUUGAGGUCGAACAACAACGACCUCGAACCAGACGAACGAACCAGGUCGCAGGGUGGCUUGAAGAUGUGCAAAAUCUUGAAACUGAAUUUGCCGAGCUGGAACGAGUCAGAGCUCAAGAAAUGGAUAGAUUGUGCCUUGGAGGCCUCUGUUCCAAAAACUUCGUUUCAAGCUACAAUUACGGGACUAAGGUGGUCGAGUUGACGGAUCGAGUCAUCAAUUUAAAGAAAGACGGAGAAAAAAUUGAAGUCGUUGUUGAGAAGGCGCCGGAUGGUGCAGCAAUUGAAUUACCUCUUGAUCACACAGUUGUUGGUCAAGAACUAUUACUUGGUCAAGUUUGGAGAUGUAUCACUGAUCAGGAAAAGAACAGGGGAAUUAUCGGCUUGUAUGGUAUAGGGGGAGUCGGCAAAACUACCCUUUUAAAACAAGUCAACAACAACUUCUGCCAUCAACAGCAUAAUUUUGAUGUUGUUAUCUGGGCGGCUGUGUCAACACUUCAAGAUGACAUUGGAAAAAGGAUUGGCUUUUCAGAAGACAGAAACUGGCAGGAAAAAAGUCUUCAAGACAAGGCUAUGGACAUCGCUAGCAUUCUAAGCGGAAAGAAGUUUGUGUUGUUAUUAGAUGAUAUAUGGGAGCCCAUUGAUUUAACACAGUUGGGUGUCCCUCUUCAAAAUCUAAAUGAUGGGUCCAAAAUAGUCUUGACAACUCAUUCAGCUGGUUUUUGCGAUCAAAUGGACGCUAAAAAGUUGGAAGUGUCUAGUUUGGCACAUGAUGAAGCCUGGAAAUUAUUUCAGGAGAUGAUCGAAAGAUCCACUCUUGACAGUCAUACCAGUAUUCCAGGGCUAGCCGAAACCCUGGCAAGAGAGUGUGGUGGGUUGCCGCUGGCGCUUAAAACAGUGGGUCGAGCCAUGAAAAGCCAAAGGAAAGUUGGAGAUUGGGAACGUGCAAUUAAGAAAAUGAGAACAUCAGCUUCUAAAUUCUCAGGUAUGAAAGAAGAGGUGUUUUCGCGUUUAAAGUUCAGCUAUGAUAGUUUGUCUACGGACGAACUUCGUUCCUGUCUCCUGUAUUGUUGUUUAUAUCGUGAAGACUACGAAAUUCCUAAAAGGGAAUUGAUUGAUUACUGGAUUAGUGAAGGAUUUGUGUGUGAUUUUGAUGAUGGAUGCGAUUUUAUUGAUGACCUUCUUCAAGCAUGCUUAUUGGAGGAAGAAGGCGAUGAUCAUGUAAAGAUGCACGAUAUGAUUCGUGAGAUGUCAUUAUGGAUAGCGUGCACGGUAGACAAGGAGGAGCAGAACUUUCUGGUUCGCGCUGGAGUUAAAUUGACCGAAGCACCAAAGGUUGAAGAAUGGGAAGGUGCCAAACGGAUAUCUCUGAUGAAAACUGGAAUUCAAAGCCCAUCGGAAAUUCCCACGUGUCCUCGUCUCGUCACUUUUCUUCUGGAUGGAAAUUGGAUUGAGGAGAUUACUGAUGGCUUCUUUCGAUCGAUGUCUUCUCUUAGAGUAUUAAGUCUACGAAGAAAUCUUGCCCUAAGUAAACUACCUUCAGGGAUUUCAAAUUUGGUUUCAUUGCAUCAUCUUGAUCUAUCAUGGACUCGUAUACGCGGGUUGCCGCAGGAGCUGAAGGCGUUGGAGAAGCUGAGAUAUUUGAGCUUGGAGGGUACACGGCACUUGUCUAUAAUUCCACAUCAAUUGAUAUCUGGCUUUUCAAAGUUGGAGGUACUCAGGUUGCUUUGGUGCGGUCUCUGGAGCAGAAAAGAACAAGAAGAAGGUAGCGUUCUAUAUGAUGAUGCUGAACCUUUGAUGAAGGAAUUGCUGGGUUUGAAGCAUUUAAAUGUUUUAAGCUGGUCCUUGCACAGUUCACUUGCUGUCCAAAAGUUUUUGAAAUAUCCAAAGCUGUUGAGCAUCACUCAAUCUGUAGGGGUUUACUUCUGUCAAAGUCCACCGCUCAAUGUCUUACAUCUAGCAUACAUGGAGAAUCUUCAGGAGUUAGUCAUUUUAAACAGUGAUUUGGAAGAGAUGAAGAUUGACAGCGCAGAAGAGGUAAAGAAACUUUUUCGAAGUGGUUUCCGCAGUCUCAACACAGUUAGCGUAGAUUAUUGCCAAAAAGCGAAGGACUUAACGUGGCUUGUUUUUGCUCAAAACCUUAAGGAGCUGCGUAUAGAUUCUUGUUAUGAUGUGGAAGAAAUAAUCAGUGUUGAUAAAUUGAGUGAUAUUUCAGAGAUAAACGGGUCAGAGCAUAACUUUUUCGCACGACUCGAAUAUCUAACCAUGUGGCGGGGACCAAAUUUAAAGAGCGUUUACCCGAAUCCCCUGCCCUUUCCAAAGCUGAAGAAAAUUCAAGUAUUUCAUUGCCGACAGCUGAAGAAGCUCCCACUCAAUUCCAGCAGCGCGAAGGGACGUCGAGUUGUCAUCGAGGGAACGAAAAAAUGGUGGGAAGAACUACAAUGGGAGGAUCAAGCCACCCAAAAUGCUUUCUUUUCCUGUGCUGUACUUUGGGAGCAUCUUUAUUAUUAAUAUGUUUGAAUAUGUAUUUCCUUUUUUCUUUUUUUUCUUGCUAUAGAGUUGCAUGAUUGUGAUAUCCUUAUUAUUAUUAUCCUUUUUUUUUUUCACAUGAAGUUCAGUAACUACUUCCGAGAGUAAUAAGAUCCAACUCGUUUUUGGUUUGGUCAAAAACUUUUUGUGGCCCCAAAUCCUUUUUAACACCAGGCCAGGCAUAGCCACUUAGGCUUGUGGCUCAGUGGUAAAUCAUUGCCCUUAAAAUUAAGAAUGAUCCUUAUUAUUAAAAUGUUGGCAUAUUUAUGGAUUGGAAACUCAGAUGCUGAACUCAUAGUAAAUAUUUAGUUAAUUUGUUAUAAUUAUAUUUGGUAAAAAAAAUAAUUAAAUUUUUUUCUUUUCCUUUAUAGUGUGUUUACUUGUCAGUAAUCGGAAUGGGCUGGAAUUGGAAUGGGUUAGAAUCAGAAUAAACUGGAAUGAGAAUGAGGAAUAGGAAUCAAAAUAAGUUGUUUACUUGAACUGUAGGAAUUGGAAUCAGAAUGAGUUAGAAACCCAUUGAUGUGUUUACUUUAUCUAAGAAUCAGAAUUGGAAUCGGAAUAAGUUAAGUUGUUUUAAGUUACUAAAACACCCUUAGUUGUUAAUAAUAAUAAUAAUAAUAAUAGUUGUCCUUUGGUAUUAAUGAUAAUAAUAACAAAUUUAAUAAUAACAUUAGAAAGAAAUAAAUAAUAGUAAUAAUUAAUGAUAAUAAUGAAAUUAAAUAACAACUACUAAUACUACAAUAAUAAUAAUAAUAAUAAUAAUAAUAAUAACAUUAAUAACAAAUAAGCAAACAAUGAAAUAAUACAAACACCAAUCUAUAUAAUUUUAGUGUACAAUCAGUGGCCAAACAAUAUAAGAAAUUAAUAAUUUAAAAUAUAAAAUUAUAAUUCCCAAAACAAACAUCGUGCUCCUCUUCAACGGAGGUAGUAGAUCGCGACGGCAAACGGCGGCAGGACGAGCGCGACCACGGCGGCAACAGAUCGAUCGCGACUAAUCGCAGCAGCAGAUCGUGACGAACGGAAGCAGCAGAUCGCAACCUUUUGACACCCCCGCUAAGACCCUCCUUUAAAUUCCUUAUAACUCUUUAAUUAAAAUUAUUUAAAUAAUUAAAGAUAAAUUAAUUCCAUUUUAUUUUGAUUGAAAAUUUAAUUAAUACUUAAAUAAAAUUAUUCUUUUAACAUUUUUCCACCCACCUCAUAUUAUAUAUAUAUAUAUAUAUAUAUAUUAGAAACUUUUAAUAAUUUAUAAUCUUUUUAAGGUGAAAUUUAAUGAGAAGAUUAUUAAUUUUAAUUUAUGGAUUAGUAUUUUAUAAAUUAAACCAAGGUACUUUGAUAAAUAAAAAUUAAAACAAGUUUUAUAAGGAUUUUGGAGUGUAGGAAUUCAGAAUAUAGAUUUUCAUGGGGACGUUGAAUAUGCUGAAGCUGAAGCUAUGAAUUUUAGAAUAAAAAUGGCAAUAGACUUUGGUUUAAUGCCAUUAAUUGUUGAAUCAGACUCGAAGACUAUUUUAAACUUGGCGAAAGGUUUUGAAAGAACUAUGAAAGAAAUAUCAUGGUUAAUUUUCGAGAUUCGAAAUUGUAUGGUUGUGAAAGACCACUUCAAAAUCAAUCUUAUAUUGAGAAGUAGUAGUGAGACCGCUCAUAAAUUAGAUAAAUAUGAUGUUAAGAAUUUGGGCUGUGUAAUUUGGUUGGAGGAAAUUUCAACUCAUGUAAGUCUUUUUCCUUUAAGUGAUUAAUUGAAGCUUUCCAUUUCCAAAGAGAGAUAGAGAGAGAGAGAGAGAGAGAGAGAGAGAGAGAGAGAGAGAGAGAGCUCAACUCAAAUGAAAGUAUGAAACAAAGAGUAAAUCCUGAUAGCAGAAAAAUGAGCCAUGAGUAGAACUAUUCGCACCUUUGAAAGCCCUCAUAAAAGUCUUUAUUCAAUAUGUCCCGCUACAUCAUUCAAAAAAUAAUAUUAUUUCUAAGGGCAGAGCUAUUUGCACUCUAAAAUUAUUCUCAACGUUUUAUUACUAUAUACACUUAUUUAUUAAUUUGAAAAAAUGAACUAUAUUUUGUACACUCCUUAAAGUACCAAAAAUGUACUUAUUUAAUCCUUUUUAAAUUAAUUUACUCUAACACACUCAUGAAAACGCCUUACAUAUUCAAAAUAUUUCUCUAAACACUCUUUUAUCAUUAAAAUUUAAUUAUUUGGUUGUAUAAUAUAUUUCUCCAAUAAAUGAAGAAUGAUAAAGCAGCAACUAAAAAAAUCCAUCAAAAUAUUUCACCAAUGAAAAGAUCGUGAGAAAUAAACAUUAUAAUCCGAACAAAUAAAUCAAUUAACCAAUAUAUCAUUUAGCUAAAUAAAAGACGCAGCUUGCGCUUCAUAGUUCUGAGCUUAGAAUCAAGAAGAGAAGUGAAGAUGAAAUUUUUAAUUGCUGAGAAUAUGAUUUUGAGGUUGAUGGAGGACUUGAAAGAGAGGGAGAAGAAAGAAUGAUUCAGAGUAGGUGCCUGUGACCCUGAUGACGAUCUUCUUCAGUACAACUAUGAUGCCACUUCCACCUCCAAUUGAAUGUCAGAAAAUUCAAAGUUUGUCAAAAGAGGAUGGUAAAUUAAGCCCCCUUUUUUUUUUUAAUCUGGAUUUGGUUGAACAUUUUUAUGUCGCAAAAAUGUUUGCUGGGUUGUAAUGCCUCAGUUGCAGACUAGUUUGUAAGAGUCUGAAUAAUUGUCCAUGUUACACUGGUAUUGUGGAAUGGCAAGUAUUUUUUGGCCAAAAGAAAAAAAUCAAGCAACCAAUGUAAACUUGUUUAAUAUCAUCAUAAUAUAACUAAAAAGGAAGUAAUUAUAAUCAUACAAAAAAAAUUAAUAACUGCCAUGUCCUUAAUAGUAAUUUAAACCAUGGAUAUUAUUGUAAUAAUUUUUUUUAUAAAAUUAUGAGUAUUUAGUGUAAUUUUUAGAGGGGUGGGGCUAUUUGAACCCACUAAUUUACUCAAUAAACCCACUUUAAAAAUAAUUUUUUAUCAUUAAAAUACCCCUAAAUUAAAUUACAGUUAUGGACACUAGAAUAUAAUUAAAAAAAAAACAGAAUUUUUACUCUUUAAACCCAUCUUUAUAUUCAACAUAGUUUUAUAGAACCCUAAUCAAAUUUUCAUUAAACCCUAAUCAAUCAAGAGGUGAGAUUCUUCUCUCAAGCCAUAUAUAUUGUUAAAUAGGCACAUGUGAGUUGAUUCAGAAUAACAAAAUUAAUUGUUAUUGAUUUGAUGGAUAUUGAUUUUAUGGAGGAUUAAUUGUUUAAUUGCUAUGAUUCGUUUGGGAAUGACCCCUCACUCAAAAUUGUUUAAUUAGUAUUGAUGAUUAAAUUUUCAAUUAAUAAUCAAUUAUUGUUUUUUCCCAAAUUCUGAAAAAAAUAUUUUUUCUCAAAUUCCUCAUAUUAGAUUUUCAUACCAUCAUACAAGAUUUUUCUCACCACACUAUAAUAUAACUCAAAAAAAUAAUUUCAUGAUAACAACUAUUUUCUCCAUUUAGAAUGUUUUGAUUCAUUUGUCCUUGAACGAGGGCCAUUCACUCAAAAUUGAUUAUUAAAUUUCCAAUUAAUAAUCAAUUUCCAAUCUAAUGGGUUUAUAAAUGAACAUUAUGGGUUUAAUGAGUAAAAUUACUAUUAUUAUAAAAACUGGGUUUAGAAAGGGCAUAUUAGGUAUUUUAGUGGGUUUACUGAGUAAAAUUUAAAAUUUUAAAAUUUAAAGAUGGGUUUAUUUAUUAAAUAGGUUUAUUGAGUAAAUUGGUGGGUUCAAAUAGCCCCACCCUUUUUAGAGUGUAUAUAACCUCACCCUAUUUCUAAACCCACAUAGAUUGAUUCCAAAAACACCCUUCGCUUGCACACCAACCGCAUUUUCACAUUUUCUUCGUCUUGACGAACUUGAAACCCAAAUCUGAUGGCUUCAACUUUCGAAUAAUCAUUAUCUCCACUAGAACUUAUAAUUUUAAAAGGGGGUUCCCCUAUGAUGCUGUAAUUUUUUUACAACAUCAAUAAUGUUUUUAAUUGUGCACCAUUGGAUUUAAUCAACGGUACACAAUAUUUGUAGGCAAAAAUAAAAAUAAAAAAUAAUGGUAAACGGUUAACAAACGUAUAAGGGGUGGAGAAGUUUGUAAAAUAACUAUGACCACCCUUAGAGUUUGAAAUAAUUUCACUUAAAUAGCAUAUUUUAUUUAAAAUUAUUUUUCAAUCCCCCUUUAAAUUUGAAAUGUGAUAAUCUUUUUUAAAUAAAUCUUCCAAAAUCUAUUACCAUUAAGUAUAAAAUAUAAUGGUAGGUUAUUUAACACAAAUCAAAUAAAUAAGUUGCAAUUGCAAAAUUUAUAUAUGAUAUAACACUAAUAAAUAACACAACUAAAUACAUAUACUUAAGUAAAUGUCAUAGUUACAUCAAUAAACUCAUUGUUCAGAUUGCUUGUAACAUAAAAAUUACUUGAUCACACAUGUUUUAAUAAAAUUUAAUAUCGUAUAUUAAAAUACUAAUUAUUUUAUAAAACAGUAAGGGUCAUUGUAUAAUUGAUCAUGAAGUAUGUAUUAUUUUUAAUACCCAUUUAACAUACUUAUUUUCUUAACUUUAUAUUUAUCUUACAGUUAAUAUCCUUACAUGGUAGGAGUUUUAAGUUUUAUAAGCUUAUAUAUUUUCAUUUUAUUUUCAAAUAUCACUUUGUUAAUUUCAUAAAAGUUACUUUUGUUAUGAUAGUUAAUAGUGAUAAUAAAUAAAAUAUUGCCUUCAAUAAUAUUUACGUGGGAAAAAAAGUGAAAGAAAAUCGUUUAUAUUUUUAGAUUUUUAUUGACAUGGUAGGAAAUUAUCUCAGCCUUAUAAAACUUAACUUUCACAAGCUUGUUUUUAUUUUAUUUUCAAAUGUCACUUUGUUAAUUUCACAAAAGUUAAAUCUAACACAUAUUCCUAAUUAACUUUAGUUUAUGAAUCAUGAAAGAUUAUUUUAUUGUUAUUCUUUGAUAGUAAUUAUAAAAUUUAUAUGCUACGAAGAGUCAUUACUUUUAUUAUGAUAAUUAAUAGUGACAAUAAAUAAAAUAUUACAUCAAAUAAUAUUUAAUGGACAAAACGAGGAAAAAAAUCAUUGUAUGUUUUUAUAUUUCCAUUAUAAAGAUAUGGUUUGUGAUACUUUAACUUAAAAUUUUGGCACAAUAUUUGAGCCACUAAUAUCUCAUAUUCUAAUGGUUGAUAUUGAAAGUCAAAGCAUCAUUUUAUAAUGUUAUAUCCUCCACCAUUGAAUAGCAUGAAAUAAAUAGUUUAAUUUUUUGAUAAAAAUUUAAAUCAAAAUAUUUCUCACUCUAUAGUUAUAUAAACAUAUAUAUUUUUCAAUAAUAAUUGGUGAAUAAAAUAUUUCUCAUUUGCUGUGACUCAUAUAGUAUUAUUAAUAAAACACAUAUAAAAUAGUUUAUUGCAAUACUUUCUAUUAUCAUUAUUGUUUAGGUAUUAAUGGUUUGUAAUUAAAUUCAUACAAUACAAAUUAUUACAAGACUUUGUGUUAAAUAGCCUACUUGAUAUUAUAUUUUAUACUUAAUGGUAACUGAUUUUGGAAGAUUUAUUUAAAAGAAAUUAUCAUAUUACAAAUUUAAAGGAGGGCUGAAAAGUAAUUUUAAAUAAAAUAUACUAUUUAAGUGAAAUUGUUUCAAACUCUAAGGGUGGUCACAAUUAUUUUACAAAAAUUAUCUACCCACUUGAACGGUUACCAUUAUUUUUAAAUUUUUUUUUAGUACAAAUAUUGUAUACCAUUGAUUAGAUCUAAUGGUUCACAAUUAAUACAUUAUUGAUGCUGUAAAAAAAUUUACAGCAUCAUAGAGGAACCCUUUUAAAAGCAAUUUCCAUAAUAUUUUCAUUAGAAUUUCUUAUAACAACAUCCAACAUUGGUUAUUGAUAUUUUAAGGUUUCAUCUUAAAUAAUAAUAACAAAAUAAUUAAAUUUUUAUCAAAAUUUAAGGAAAUACAUUGUGCUAUGAUAAACAAGGAAUGUCAACUAAAUAUCGUCAAAAUAAAUAAUAAAAUUUUAAGUCGAGUUUUGGUUUCACAUAAUUGUAAUUAUGGAGACUAGUUAUUCGAAUAAAAUUUAAUUUCUUCUGUUUAUCAUUGUAAAUUUAAAUAGGGAUAAGUGCAUGAUUAUAAAGGCAGGGUUUGAUAAGGAUUUUUUGGAGGUACCAAUAGGACCACUCAUGGGCCAUGACAAAAUUAAGCCCAUGCAAGGCCCACCUAAUCCAUUUUUACAUUUAGCCUGAAGAAUAAGACGAUAAUAAACAAUAGGCCUAAAUAAUAAGAUGAUAUAAAAGUAAGAAUAAUGUUAAGAUACCAAUUUUUUAGUCUUAACUUCUUAUGUCUUAAUGUCACACGUCAUUCAUUUAUUAGACGAUAAAUUUUAUAACUUGUAAAAUUAUUUAACCACCAUCUAAUAAAUGAUUGCCAUAUCUAUUGAAAUUUAAAUUGAAACUUAAAUUUUAGAAUGCUUAGCAUUGAGCUGAAUCUAAACGAUUUCAUUUUCUAUUAUUGUUAUUUUAUUUUAAUUUUUUUUCACAAUCGGAUUUUUCUUUGAGACAAUAGAAAGCCUUUUGGCUUUAAGCAUGUAUAGUAAAUUGAAAAAAAAAAUUAUCCAUGAGUUUCUGAAAACCAAUUAACUUCAAAAUCUCUUCCAGCGGUAGGAGGAACAUCUUCAAUAACUUUUUCAUGGCCUUUUGGGUAAUAAAUCCCAGUUCUUUCAUGAGGAACCCAGCCACAAUUCCCUUCAUUUUCUCCCACAUUAUUAUUCAUCUGCUGGCUCCUCAUCACAUUUCCCUCUUCUGCAUUGGAUUUCAAUGUCGUUUCUCUCAUUAUAUCAUGAGAACUUGCUUUCCUUGGAAAAGAUUUUUUCAUAAUUGGCCUGUGUGUUUGAAAAGCAUUUAACAAAUUAACAACACAAAAACAAAAGACUAGAAGAUUCAAAUGCUCAAAGGAAUGAAAGUAAUCUUUUUUAUUGUGAGGAUAGUGGCGAAAUCAAGAUUUUGGUUCGACAAAUGUCAUCAAUAAUAGAGAAACAAUAAAUUUAAGUAGGUUAUAACACAAAAAUAUAAAAAUAAGAGGGCUACAAAAUAAAAUUGUCAAGACACAAAGAUAUAUUUAAUUGAAGACUUUCAUAUUUCUUGAAUUUUUUUUCAACAUGGAGCCUCUGUGGAGAACUAUUGAUUCAGUUAAUAAAACAUUUAAUUCUAUUUACUUAACCAACCACUCAUAAUUAGUAAUUAGAUAAUUUGAAACUAUUAGGCCUAUUUCGAACGAACUGUUUCAUAAUAAAAUCAAUUUAAAUAAAGUGAAAAGAUUUAUUUACAAACACACCAUGCAAUAACAUAGAUUCUAUAAUGAAGUGAGAUUGUCAAAAUGAAAUCAUGAAAUUGCAAUAUAGAUAGAUAAUGGAAACAUUACUUGAAAAACAUAGAAUUAAAGGUGGGAGCUCCUCUAGCAAACGAUCCUGUCAUUUUUUUCCCCCUUUUUUCUCUCACUUUCUCUCUUUCCAAACAAUGUGGGUGGAUUGAAUUGAAUUAUGAUUUAGAUAGAGAGCUCUUUGUAUAGUGAAGUUAAAUAAGAGAAUAUUGUUAUCCAUUUCUCGGGUCCGCCUACGUUACAUGUAGUGUAACGUACACUCAGCCUGUGAAAUUUCAUCUAGCCCCUUAUACUUUCUGUUAUUUAUAUUUUAUUCAUAAAUAUUAUAAAUUUUUUGAAAUGUACAAUUUUGUUUAACCCCUUAUACACUCAAUUUUAUUUUAUUAAAACCCUAGAGUAUGAAUUCGCCCCUAUAAUAUUAAAUUCUCAAAAUAACCUCUAUUUAAUUAAAAAAUAUAAUUAUUGUUAAAUGAAUUAUAAUUAUAAUUAUUAUUUUAUUAUAAUCAUAAAUAUUUUUUUAAUAGAUUAUUGUUAUUAUUAAUAACAAGAAUAAAAAGCAUUAUAAUUAAUCUAUUAACAAUAAUUAAUAAUAUUUUUUUAUUAAAUUGUUAAUAAUAAUAAUCAAUGAUAAUUAAUAUAUUUAUGAUUAUAAUAAAAUAUGAAAGGAGAGCGGAGACUUUUAUUUUGAAUAAACUAGUUCCGAUUAACAUAUUUAUGAUUAUAAUAAUAUUUUUUGAGUUGUUUGGGCAAGGGGGUCUCAUGCGUGUGUGGACUUUUAGGCUGCCAGGAGAGCGGAGGCUGGAAAAAUACCUUGCGUUUAGAUAGUGACUUGUGUGUGAGUAAUAACAAUUUUUAUUAUAAAAAUAAGUUUUAUACCAAAUAUUAAAAAAAAUCUAGAUAAUCAUUAAUUAUUAUUAUUAUUAACAAUUUAAUAAAAAAUAUUAUUAAUUAUUGUUAAUAGAUUAAUUAAUUAUAAUGCUUUUUAUUCUUGUUAUUAAUAAUAACAAUAAUCUAUUAAAAAAUAUUUAUGAUUAUAAUAAAAUAAUAAUUAUAAUUAUAAUUCAUUUAACAAUAAUUAUAUUUUUUUAAUUAAAUAGAGGUUAUUUUGAGAAUUUAAUAUUAUAGGGGCGAAUUCAUACUCUAGGGUUUUAAUAAAAUAAAAUUGAGUGUAUAAGGGGUUAAACGAAAUUGUACAUUUCAAAAAAUUUAUAAUAUUUAUGAAUAAAAUAUAAAUAACAGAAAGUAUAAGGGGCUGGAUGAAAUUUCACAGGCUGAGUGUAUGUUACACUACAUGUAACGUAGGCGGACCCCCAUUUCUCUCAUCUCUAGGGAGGUCAUUUAUUGUUCCCGUGUACGUCAUUUUCUGUUUCGAUAAAUAUUAAAUUAUAAUACUCUUUCUUGAUCAUUGGGGAGCACUCAUUGCAGAGCAUGGCCUUCUUUUGUUCCCUUUUGUUUUGUUUUUGUUUUUUAGUCAUCUAAGUUAUGGGACAUGGCUUGUGGACUCAGCUUUUAAAAACUUUCCCUAGGUAAGUAGUUGAAUCUAGGGGAGGUACUUUUUAGUCAUAACGAGAUUACACGAUAUAAAAUGAGAUAUAGAGGUGGAUUCACCUCAUGAUUAGUGGGACAGAGAGAAUAGUUAAAAAAAAUUAUUUGAGUUAUUAAUUAAUUCUGUUGAAUAUAUUAAAAUAGGCAAGUUAAAUUUAUAAAAAUAGUCUCAUAAAUUUAAAAUUUAUAAAAUUUUAACUUUGAGAAUUACAAAAACCAUACUUUAAUUAAAAAAUAAAAGGCUAUGAGGUAACCCAUAUAGGUGGUUUUACUAUUAUUUAAUUUAGUUUCCAUUAAAUCUAUAAAAAUAAUUUAUUUAAACUCAUCAACCUAUAAAAUUUGAGUUUUCGCGUCGUGUCGUUAUAUAAUUUAACCAUCAAUAAAUUAUUUUUCUGAAUCCACCACUGAUAACAUAAAUAUAAAAAAAUUAAGUGCUCGAUUUACCUCACGCAAAUAUGACAUAAUAUUUUCGUUAAGUGUCAGAAAAAACUUAAAAAUGGUAGCCAAUUAAAUAAACUAUGACCAUUGACAAAAAAUUAAUGAAAUUGUAACAGAUAUACAAAAAGAUUUUAAAAUCCUUUUGCCCUUAAGUUGAUAUAAGAUGAGUCGUUAAUAAUUGCACGUGCAAACAUCGUAUAUUCUUUAUAAUUAAUUGUGCAGAUUUUGAUGACCAAUGCACCAAAACCACAUGGUAAAAAUCUCCUUAAUGUUUCUGUUUUGUGAAAGUUGCUGAAUCAAUGUCAUGACGCUAAUUUUCAAAGCAUGAAAAUAGAAUGAAAUUAAAGAAACCAUAGUGAUGUAUCUUGUUUGCAUACUGGAAUGUGAAAAAACUUGUUUUCAUUUCUUAAAAUAAAACAUUAUACACUGAGAGUUAUUUAUAGAUGCAGAGACUACAUUUUGUCAAAGUUUACAUAUGUGAAUACGGAAGGAAAUGUGUCAAUCCGUUCGGCGCGGAUCUUGUCUUUGACAAGUGCAGAUUAUCCCUUUGACAAGUGCGGAUUAUGUCUUUGAAAACUUCAUUCAAUGCCGUUUUAUUUGAUUCUCAACACUCCCCCUCAAGCUGGUGCAUAGAUGUCUUGCAUACCCAGCUUGUCUAGGAAUUUUGUAAAUGCCCUGCUUGAAAUGGCCUUCGUUAAAAUAUCUACAAGUUGAUCUUCUGAUCGAAUUUUCAGCAGUUCUAAGAUUUUUUCAUCUAAUUUCUCCUUGAUGAAAAAUCUAUCUAUCUCGACAUGUUUUGUUCGAUCGUGUUGAACUGGGUUAUGAGCAAUAUCUCGUGCAGCUUUGUUGUCACAGUAUAGUUGUAUUGGUUGUUGUGAUGGAUAGCCCAAAUCGUUUAAGAUAAAGCUUAUCCAUAGCCCUUCACAUACCCCAAGGGCCAUGCCUCGAUAUUCUGUUUCAGCGCUCGAACGGGCAACGACAUGUUGUUUCUUGCUUCUCCAUGUGACAAGGUUGCCUCCCACAAAGGUAAAGUGUCCUGAAGUAGAGCGUCUAUCACUAACUGACCCGACCCAAUCUGCAUCAGUAUAAACUUCUAUGUUGCUGUAAUCUUCAUUUUUGGAAAAUAGGAUUCUUUUUCCUGGAUUUGUCUUCAGGUACCUCAGGAUCCGCAUUACUGCUUUAAUGUGUUGUUCUCCGGGAUUAUGCAUAAACUGACUUACAACACUCAAUGCAUAAGCAAGAUCUGGCCUUGUGUGCGACAAGUACAUCAAUCUUCCAAUCAGUCUUUGAUAUCUUCCUUUGUCUACUGGAACUUGGUCUGAGGUAAUACAAAACUUCAGUCCUUCUUCUAUUGGGGUGUCAAUAGGCUAACAAGCUGUCAUUCCCGUUUCGUGCAAUAGAUUUAAGGCAUAUUUCCUUUGAGACAGAAAGAUUCCUCCCUUAGAUCAAGAAACCUCAAUUCCAUGAAAGUAUUUUAAGGCUCAUAAAUCCUUCAUCUCAAACUCUCUUGACAAGUACUUCUGAAGAGCCUAUCUUUCUUCCUCGUCAUUGCCUGUAACUACCAUAUCAUCCACAUAGACAAUAAGGACAGUGAUUUUACCUUGUCGUUUUUUAAUGAACAAAGUAUGAUCUGAACUGCUUUGGUUAUACCCAAAAAGAACCAUAGCCUUUGUGAAUUUCCCGAACCAUGCUCUUGGGGAUUGCUUCAACCCGUGUAAUGAUUUCUUCAAUUUGCAUCCUUUCUGAUUGAGUCGUUCUAGUCCACUGCAUCCUAGUGGCAGAUCCAUAUAAAUUUCUUCAGAUAGGUUUCCAUAGAGGAAAGCAUUCUUUACAUCAAACUGUUGCACUGGCCAAUCCAAGUUGACUGCUAAUGAUAAUAAGAUAUGAAUAGUAUUAAUUUUUGCUACCGGUGCAAACGUAUCGGAAUAAUCUAUUCCGUAGGUUUGAGUGUAACCCUUAGCUACGAGUCUUGCUUUGUAUCGUUCAAUAGAGCCAUAUGCUUUGUACUUUAUAGUAUAGAUCCAUCGGCAACCCACUGGUUUCUUUCUUGGUGGAGAUCAACUAGUUCCCAUGUUGGAUUUUUCUGAAGAGAUCUCAUUUCAUCAUUCAUAGAUGCUUUCCACUUUGGGUCUUUUAAGGCUUCUUGCACACUGUUAGGAAUAGAUACAGUAGAUAAUUGAUUCACAAAUGACUGAUUUGAUUCUGACAAGCGAUGGUUAGACACAAAAUGACUCAUAGGGUAUUUGACUCUGCUAGAGAAGUCAAGCUCAUAUGUGGUUUUAGGGAUACCUCUAUUUUGACGCUGGGGAAGAAUUCUUCUGAUUGGACUUGUGGUAGGAACAUCCUCUGCAGACGAUUAGUUAGGUAUUUCUUCAUGUGACUCAUUCUCGAUUGCAGUUGUGUCUGAGUUAUUGUGCUCCCCAAAUGUGUCUUCACUUAUCUCAGCCUGAGAAUCAUCACCAUUAUCUUUUCCAGUAUCUUGAAGGUUUACUAUCUCAAUGGAAAAUUGACCUUCUUCAAGUGGAAGAUGUGUAAGAGUAUGAAUUUCCUCUUCAUUAUACUCCCCCUGAAAUUCAGGCUCUGACAAGUAGUACAUGAUAUCUUCAUGAAAGACGACAUCUAUGGUGAUGUAUAUUUUUCUUGAUGGUGGAUGAUAGCAUCGGUAUCCCUUUUGAUAUAAGGCAUACCCUACAAACACACAACGUAGUGCUCGAGGAGAUAAUUUGUCUUGUUGUGACAAAUGAACAAAGGCAACACAGCCAAACACAUGUGGGGGUAAAUUCGGCAAUAAGAUAGUGGCAUGUGGGCUUGGAAAGGAGUCUGGAAUCCAAGAGAGCUUGAAGGUGUUCGAUUGAUCAAGUAUGUUGCGGAUGCCAGUGCUUCUCCCCAAUAAGAUAGUGGCAUGUGGGCUUGGAUUAGUGAUGCUCGAACAACUUCUAGUAAAUGUCUGUUUUUUCGUUCAGCAACGCCAUUUUGUUGGGGUGUCCCCACACAAGUGGUUUGAUGGACAGGUCCUUGUGAUUUCAGAAACUGUUGAAUUGUUGUGCUCAUAUACUCGUCUCCAUUAUCAGUAUGUAGAACUCGAAUUUGUGUCUGAAAUUGAGUCGUCACCAUCUUAUGAAAUCUUUGAAAUAAAGAGUUUACUUCGUCUUUUAAUUUCAUCAUAAAAAUCCAUGUCAUUCUGCUACAAUCAUCAAUAAAUGUAACAAACCAACGAGCACCUCCAAUUGUAGAAACUUUAGAUGGCCCCCAUACAUCAGAAUGUACUACCAUGAAAGGAACUGGAUUUUUAUUUAAGGAAAAUGAAAAAGUAGUUCGAUGGUUUUUUGAAAGUUCACAAACAUCACAUUUAAAGUUACAAAUAUCAAAUUUCAGAAACAAACUAGGAAAUAAUUUUUUUAAGUAACCAAAUGACAUAUGCCCUAAACGUUUAUGCCAUAACCAAAUUUCUGAUUUCCCUUUUUUUAUGGAACUAUCUGCGACUAGUACGGGGAUUAGCUUUCCAGUGUUUGUUGAUGACAUCUCCAAGUAGUACAAGUUGCCUCGUCUAAUACCAUAACCAAUCGUUUGCUUCAUUUGAAUGUCCUUAAACACACAAUGAUCAGGCCAAAAACUUACAACACAUGAUAAGUAAGUUGUUAAUUGAGACACAGAUAAAAGAUUAUAAUCUAAAGAUGGAACAAUUAACACAGAGUCUAAAUUUAAUUCAUCUGUGAGUCGUAAAGAUCCUUCCCCAAUAACUAAGGUUGUGGUUCCAUUUGCAGUGGAAAUAUGUUUUUGUGAAGAUGGUUUCAAUUGAGAAACUUGUUGAGAAUCAAAAGUCAUAUGAUCAGUUGCCCCAGAAUCAAUUAUCCAUGUACUAUUAAUAACAGGUGUAAGAGUUUUAAGGGCCUUACCUGGACUGACAGAGGUUGCGAUUUGCACUGAAGAUUCUUUUCUAAGAUCUGUAGUGGAUGUGGAUUCAGCUACUGCAGUUUUUUAUCCCUGCUUGGUGUUCUUCUUUCGAGUAUCCCACCAGUCAGGAUAUCCAAUGAUUUCAAAAUAUUGUUCUUUCGUAUGACCCUUCUUUCUACAAUGAGUUCAAUGGAGUGAUGACUUGUCAACAAGCUUCCUUUAAGGCUGCUGUCGUGCUAUCAUAGCAGACGUUUCUGAGUCGACCUUCUUAUUUAGUUUGCUUUGCCGUACAUCUUCUCUUCAGAUAAGAGAAUAACAUUCUUCUAAGUCUGGGAUAAUAUCUUUUCGUAGAAUUUCUCCACGAACUUGGUCAAAUUCUUCAUCUAGCCCAGCAAGAAAAAUGUGCACUCUCAAUCUUUCAACAGACCUUCUGUAUAUUACAACAUCUUCUGGAUCCUUCAUGACCACUUUAUCUCGGUGAUCAAGUUCUCGAAAUAUUUCAAUCAAUUCUCCGUAGAAUUUAGAGAGUGGUUGUCCAUUUUGCUUGAUUGAGAAUGCCUUCUGAUUUAGAGUGAAAACUUGUAAUUCAUCGCUUCCAUCAUAGAAGGCUUUUGAUAAUGCAUCCCAAAUUUCGUAGGCUGUAGGAAUUCGUAAAUAUCGCUUCAUGAUCUCCGGAGACAUGGAUAUGAGUAACCAUCUUUUCACUUUUUGGUUCUCACUAUACCAUUUCUCAUAUUCCUUUGAAGAUUCCUCAGAUGGCUUUGUGUAGCUACAAAUAUAUGAGAGUUUUUCUCUUUCUGCAAGAUGCAUCUCCAUUAUUUGAGACCAAACAUCGUAGUUUGUCUCAAUGAGGAUAAUUCCAGCAUUAAAUACUCCAUCAGAUUGAACAGAUUGAAUGACAACAGGAGCAGAUUCAGUUGGAGUUUUCUCCAUUUUUUUGUUUUUUUCUUUUCUUUUUUUUUUUGUUUUUUGUUUUUUAUUUUUUUAUUUUUUUAUUUUUUUUUUUUUGCGUCUAGAUUGAAAGAAGAAAAAAAAUAACCUUUUUAGAUCAAAAAACGACAAGUUGUUUGGCCUCUGCUUGACGAAACGAUAUGUCGGCUCUGAUGGAAUAGAAACGACAUGUCGUUUUAGGACUGCUGCACUCUGGAGAUAAAAAACGACAUGUCGGUUGAAGUCUUCUUCAACCUCUGGAGCGCGUGAGAGCGCGUAAAGAUGACAGAGGCGCGUGGUUGAUUGGCCGUGGUUUCGGGUGGCGCGUGGAAGCGCGUGGGUAUGUGUUUAAAUGCGAAAUUUUUACAGUUUACUUACUGGAAACUGAGAAAUUUGAUGGUAUUCUUGGUUUUUGAGGAACACACUCUUGGAAAAUUGAUAGGAUUGUUGAUAAAUUUGUAAACUCAAGUUUUUUACGUAUGGGUGGCUUGUUUUUUGAUCGGCAUGGAUUUCGGAAAUGGUAGGAAUGGUUGUAAGGAAGAAAAUUGUGGGAAAAUGGUUGUGGGAAGAAUUUGGUUUCCUCUGUUUUUGUUACAAAUAGAGCAGUGAAACUGGAAGAAACUUGAGCGUAUUCAUGGCUCUGAUACCAUGAAGAAACUUGUUUUCAUUUCUUAAAAUAAAACAUUAUACACUGAGAGUUAUUUAUAGAUGCAGAAACUACAUUUUUUCAAAGUUUACAUAUGUGAAUACGGAAGGAAAUGUGUCAAUCCAUUCGGCGCGGAUCUUGUCUUUGACAAGUGCAGAUUAUCCCUUUGACAAGUACGGAUUAUGUCUUUGAAAACUUCAUUCAAUGACGUUUUAUUUGAUUCUCAACAUAAUGAAAUGUUGAUAUCGGCAAAUCUAGGAUGUAAACUAAGGUUCACAUAAAAAAAAAAAAACUAAUAAUAAUAAUAAUAUUAUUAUUUUAAUCCAUGAAUAGAAAAAGGUUGUAUGCUCAUCAACCCAUUGCAAACUUUUGGCUUAAGAUUAAUAUGAGUAAUACAACACAGCUAUAUCAUAUCCCUAAACUUGAAAAUUAUUUAAAAAGGACCAUGUCUUGAUGAGGAUGAUAAAAUUAGCAAGGUUUCUAUUUUAUAAGUGUCUUCAACAACAGCUCAAAAACUUGCCUCCUCGGUUGUUGGUCGCCUCAAGAAAUAUCGCAAACUGUUAGCAAGAACCUGCAAAUUUGAUCAAGCAAAGUCUAAUCAGUACAUCAACGAUCGUGCAAGUCUUCAGGCGCACCGUGUGAUCAUUAGCACGUUAAUGUUCUUACCGCCCACUUCAAAGUUUAAAUUCAAAUCUUUUAUAUAAGAACAGUUUUGCAACUAGAAUACCGAUUUUGAGUAGAAAUGGUAAGUCUCUUUAUUCUUCAGAGCAAACAAUCUAUAAAGCAAUUUCCGAUGUCCUAUAUGUAGGCCUGUUUUUUUUACCUGUUGGAGAGGCUUGAUAAUGGCUUCACCCUUGUAGCUGACAUGAAACUUUGCCUUAGCCAACAACCCCUGGGUGCGAAAACAAAAAUUAGAACAAAAUAUAUUAAUAAGGGAAGGCCACUCUUUUGUCAAUAUAUAUAUAUUAAUAAGGGAAGUGGGACGUUAUCCUUCCCAUAAUAACUCAUAUACAUAGUUUUUAACAUUCAUGACAACAUGAUAUUAAUUUCAAUGGCAGGCAAAUUGAAUAUAAUGUCUUUAAAGAAAAUGAGGAUAAAAGGGAAGUAAUAUUUGGCCUAAGAGAACUCUAAAAACAACUUAGUUUCCUAUUCAAAUGAUCCACUAGUGAGAAGAGCCAAAAAUAUCAAUAAUCUGAAAAAUCAAAAUAAGACCAGAAAGCAAAAACCUGUUGUUUUGGAGGAUCAACGCCAAAGGCAACACCCAUUGCCAACUGGGAACUUCAUUCCUGAUUCCAUCACCAACACAAAUGGAAUAAACUUUUCAAUAAGAGAAUACCUACAGGUGCUCCACCAAGUGAUAUCUCAAGAGAGACAAAAAAAUGAUUACCGGGUGAUACUGAAGUAGAUUGUUUAUAACUGUCAAACGAAUUGCCUCAAGCACCUCAGGAUCAUCAACUUUCCUACCAGUAUCACUGCACACAAGCAUCAUGACCAAAUUAAUCAAAACCACAGUGGGAAUCUAUUGCAAGAACUUCUCCAAAAAACAGCGAUGGCUCUUUGGAUCAUUGAUUUUAGGUUCUAGUAUGUCUAAAAUUUUAACGAUUUCAACAUUAGUUAUAAACAUCUAUUUGCAACAGACUGAUCACACUUGUAUAUGGAGCAUCAAAAGUAGGUAUUUACUAUGCUCAUCAAAUAUAGACCAGAAGACGUUGACAACAAUUAAAGGAUAUUAGUGAAUGAAACUGCAAGCAGAGAAUAUAAAUCAGCUCAGUAAUGCAAGGGCAUGAAAAGCAAAAUGCAUAUGCAUCACAAAAUUACAGAGAUAUAUAAUUUCGCAGUCAUAUGAUGAUAUUGCAGCGGUGAAGCCGUGCGUGAGGUUAAGGCAAGUGAUGGAAUGACUUGCGUUACAAAAGAGGUAUGUGAAGUUGCACUAUAAAAAUAAAAUAAAUUUGUAUUUUCAAGUAGUGAGGUUAACGUGGCUUGUUUUUGCUCAAAACCUUAAGGAGCUAUAUAUAAAGUUUUGUAAUGAUGUGGAAGAAAUAAUUAGUGUUGAUAAAUUGAGUGAUAUUUCAGAUAUAAUCGGGUCAGAGCAUAACUUUUUCUCACAACUCGAAUAUCUAUUCAUAAGGUGGGGACCAAAUUUAAAGAGCGUUUACCCGAAUCCCCUGCCCUUUCCAAAGCUGAAGAAAAUUGAAGUACGUGGAUGCCCACAGCUGAAGAAGCUCCCACUCAAUUCCAGCAGCGCGAAGGAACGUCGAGUUGUCAUCGAGGGAGAGAAAAAAUGGUAGGAAGAGCUACAAUGGGAGGAUCAAGCCACCCAAAAUGCUUUCUCUUCCGGUGCCGUAAUUAAUGAGGGUCCUUUUCAUUAAUAUGUUUGAAUAUGUAUUUCUUUUUUUUUUUAAUUUUCAUUAGAUUUAAUUGCAUCUUGUUCUUGUUGUCUGGUGUGUCAAUCGUUCCCUAUUUUCAGUUAAUAAAAUUUCAGCAGUGGAUUCUUGGUUUAUUAAUGUUUAUAUAACUGAAUUGUUCAGCAGAUGUACUCUGCAUAUGUACUCUGCACAACUAACACAGAAAUAAACACAGAAAUAAAUAUAUGUAAGUGGGUACAGGACUGACUCUGCUUCUGGCUGCGAAUUGCAAAUAAAAGAAGCCGAUAUAUUAAACCCAACUGACAUUAUUAUUGCAAAUAAGAGAAGUUAAUACAUUGUCUACCCACUCUGCAGACUGUCAACAAAUGUUCAACCACCACAAAUGAAAAAAUGGAACUUGAUUUUUGUCUAACCAAAUACAAGCCAAACAGGAUUUUGCGCAGAUAUUCUACCAGCAAAUUCUAAAUCCUCUUUGACAUAAUCCAUCUUAGAAUAAUUGCUCCUUACUUCAUCUCUGAAACCAAACUCUUAGCUCUUGCUUUUCUAAUAGGUUGCAGGCCGUUUUAGUAGACACCCCAUGAAAGGAUCGGCUAGAGUGUAAACAAGCAUUGCCCCUUCCUUGGUUGCUUGCUUUACUAUCUCCAUCAACUGCUCAACAUCAUUAAAUUAACAAAAUUGUUGCAAUUACAAUAUGUCAGUGCUCACAUUUUAGCUGAUUAAAUUAAAUGAGGUUUCAACAUUAAGCAAAACAAUCCAGAUUAUAAUAAUAAAGCAUUUCCUCUAGUACACCAACAACAAUUAUUGUUUUCUGUGAUCAAAUCACAUACAGAAAAUAACUAAAUUGACAAGAGUUGAACUGAAGAGUCAGCUUUCCAAUUUUCUACUUCUACAAUUUUAUUCGGAAUAAAGAAAAACAGCCUAAUAUAGAAGGGAAAGAAAUAAAAAGUUCAGCAUGGUCAAAUGGGUCAAUUUUCAUCCUCCCUUUACUGCUCCACUUUGCUCAAUCAAGUGGAUUUACAUUCAAUUCUUGAGGAUUUGAAUUAAAAAAACAAAAAAAAAAAAGCAACAGUUUAUAUUCAUCUAUAAGCGGGCUAUGUAAAGAUCAAGGUCUGUGUCUGUAAAACUUAAGUCUUCCGGCUUCAAAGGAGAAUGAGGCAAAAGCUGAACAUUUGUGGAGUGAUAUAAAAAAUUUGUGGUUCUGGAUCCAUUUCACAUUAGGCAUUGUAAUGUUUAUGGAUGGUAUACAGGAUGUCACGAAUAGUUAAACGAAGAAGGUAUUUGAUUGAAAUGCGCAGAUGUUCGAUGAAAUGUAUCUGCGUUUCAGCCUCAGCGGAAAUUGUUGUGAGUGUGUGAUGGGUAUUUCAAAAUAUUGAAUCCAAGACAAUUGAAUUUGAAUUAAAUUGAAGGAGUUUAAAUUUAAUUAACUAAAGUUAAUUGACUCAUUUUUAAUAAUGUUAAAAUUUGGUUAGAGGAAGUUAUGGUAGUUAAGAAAAUAAAAUUAAAAGAAGUUGAAGUGGAUUAAAGAGAGAUAAAUUAAAUGGAGGCUAUUCAAAGAUGUAUUUGGAACAGACACCGUUAAUUUAUAAAUAGUAGCCUACAUAUUAUUAUUCGAUAUUGAUUUUUUCUCUACCACUUCUUCAACUCUACUUCUUCCAUAUUCCAAAUACUAACACAUAAAUCAUCAUAUUUUAUAUUUAAUUAUUUGUUAUUCCAAAUUGUUGUAUUGAGUGUGCACUAAUACAAAAAUUACAGUUGUAUCCUAGGAACUAUCUAUCAACAAUCUAUUUGUACCAAAAUAUUAUUUUGAGAGGCAAAAACAGUCUCAAAAACAGCGUAUACCACAUCUUAACUCUUACUUAUUUUAUUCAUAACCAUAUCAUAUUUUUUUGCAAUAUCUUAUUUAUUAUCUUAAAUUUUUACAACUAUCUUAAGAUUAGUUCUUAUGGAUGUUGUAACUAAUGCUGCAAUGAUGGCUGUCGCUAAAGCUCUACUUGACACACAAAAACUGAACGUUUGAUAGGAAUUUUCUAAGGCAAUGGCAUGAUCAUAUCUAUGGCACAUUGGAUGUAAUGAAUUAUGCUUAAUUUCUAUAGAGCCUCCACCAGAUUCUGAAUCUAAAAAUUAUGAGGUAUCAUAUCAAAAUUAGACUAAAGCAAAUAAGAUAUGCUGAAGUACCAUUCUGAACACUGUUUCAAAUGAGUUAUAUGAUGUUUGUUCACAACACAAGUUUGUGUAUGAAAUUUGGACUUAAUUGCAUAAAAAUAUAUCAUAGAAGAUGCUGGAGCCCAAAAAUAUUUAAUUGCUAAUUUUUUAGAUUUUAAGAUGAUAGAAGAUAAGGAAGUGACUUCUCAAAUUCAUGGAUUCCACAUGCUUAUUAAUGAUUCGAAAAAUGAAAAUAUAAAUCUUCCUGAGUUUUUUGUGGUUGGUUACCACAUUGAAAAAUUGGCUGACUCAUGGAAGGAUUAUUAGAAAAUAACAAAGAAAAUAAUAAGCACAAAAUGAAAGCAUAAGAAUUUGGAGGAUGCUAUUGUUCAAAUCCGAAUUGAAGAAAAACAUAGACAAAUGGAUCAAUUGGAGAAAGCCAAGGAAAUUACUUUUAAGGCUAAUUUGAUUGAGAAUGAGGCUCAUCCAAGCAAGAAUCAAAACCCUAACAACAACAAGCUUUUCAAAAAUAAAAAGAUCACAUUAAAAAAAAAAAAAGGCAAUUGUUAUGUUUGUGGCAAACCUGGAUAUUUUGCUAUCAAAUGCAAGUAUAGAAAAAGAGAUCACAAGCCUCUUAAGGCCAAUUUGGUCAAUAAAGAAGAAAUUAUUGCUGUUGUGGUGGUCACUCAAGCGAACUGCUACCGAGGGAAAAAAAAUGGCGACAAAUUCUACUGCUACCAAACACAUUAGUAGUGAUAGAAAUUCUUUCUUUAAGUAUGUUCAAGAGAGCGAUUUGGAAGAAAAAGUGCAUUUUGGUGACUUCCACUCGAUUCCAAUCAUAGGAAAAGGUAAAAUUCUUCUCAAAUUGACUUCCGGAAAAAUCUUCUCAAUGAAAAAUGUACUUAAUAUUCCUAAUAUUAGAUAUAAUUUAAUUUCCUAUUUCUACUUGGGAAGGGUUGGUGUAAAAGUCUCCUUUGAAUGAGAUAAAAUUGUAAUGACUAAAAAUGGGCUCUUUGUUGGGAAAGGAUAUGUCUAUGGAAAUUUGUUCAAGAUUAAUGUACUUGACACAAUUAUUAAUAAUCGAGUCUCUACUUCUCCUUAUAUUUUCUUACUCUGUUGAUUUACGGCAUGCUAGAUUAGGCCAUGUGAAUUUUUCUUGAAGAAAAUGAAAGGUAUUGGCUUACUGUCUGGUUAAUGUAUCAAAGAUUGAAAAAUGUUGUGUACGUGUGGAGCCUAAGUCUGUAAAAAGGACAUGUAAACAAAUUCUUAUGAGAGAAACUAAAAUAUUCAGUUUAAUUUACAGUCACCUUGGAGAUUUAAAACAACCAUGACUAUAGGAGGUAAAAGAUUUUAUGUAACCUUGAUUAAUGAUUUUUCAAUAUAUACUAAGUUGUAUUUACUAAGAAAUAAAGAUGAGGCGGGUGAAAAUUUCUCAAUUUAUGAAAAUGAAGUUGAAAAUCAACUUGGGAAAAGAAUUAAAAAAAUUAAGAACUGAUAGAGAAGGGGAGUAUGCGUCUAAUAUGUUUUUGCCCUUUGUGAGGAUCAUGGCAUUAUUCAUGAAAUGACACCUCCUUAUUCACCUGAAUCGGAUGGGGUUGCUAAGAGGAAAAAUAGAACCCCAAAAGAAAUGAUAAAUGCGAUGCUUGUAAGUUCUAGGGUCCCUUUGAAAUUAUGGGGGGAAGCUAUCCUUGAUUUACAUCAGAUGGAUAUGAAGAUAACGUUUCUCAAUGGUGACAUUGAUGAGACUAUCUAUAUGGUGCAGCCUGAAAACUUUGUAUCAGGAGACCCAAAUAAUAUGGUUUGCAAACUUAAUCAAUCUAUCUUUGGACUCAAGCAAGCAUCUCGACAAUGGUAUUUCAAGUUUCAUCAAGUGAUCAUCUCAUUCAAUUUUGAGAUGAAUUUGGUCGAUGAUUGCAUAUACUAUAGGUUCUGUUGGGGCAAGUAUAUUUUUUCGGUUUCGUAUGUCGAUGAAAUAUAAAUCCAUCUUGUUAGCAAUGAUAUAUGCUUAUUACACAAUACCAAGAAAUUUCUAGCUAAUAAGAUGAAACAGCUAUAUCAAAAAAUAUUCUCAAGAGAUAUGGCUUACAAGAUUGCAAGAAAUUUAGUUUUUAUGGAAGAUUGUGAAUUUAGAUGCUUUUAUGAUAUAGACAUUUUUCAGUUAUUUCAGUUUAUGGAUAUUUAAAGUUAUUUUCUACAAAAUUAAAUGUUUUGAUUAUUCACACUCUGAUUUUAAUAUGGUUUGAUCUUACUAACGUUUAAAGUGAACCAGUUAGAAAUAGGCAUAUUAAGAUCACAAUGUAUGAAAUUUCCAUGCUAUACAUCCAUAUCAUGAUCCAUGUCAUUGGCAUAGUGACCAUUGAUGAGUCGAGUUAUGAAAGUUGUUAUAAAGGCCGCUUUGAUCUUAUGUUGAUAUGAUUAAUGAACCGGAUUAGUUAUGGAUGCAUUUAAGUAAUGAUAGUAAAGUUCAACUUAUACAAUUAUUUUUGCAAAGAAUAAUUAUAAGGUUACACAAUUAACCCAAGUAGCAUAUUGUUGGAUCUUGAAUCCAGUAUUAUUGGAUCCUUAAUCUAACAUUGGGCUCAUAUGUGAAUAAGUAUGAGUUGCAGAUUGUCAUAUAUGAUUAAAUCCAAUGAAAAGUAAUCUAAAAUUUUUUUCAGUGAUUUGAACUUUGAUGUAUCAAAUUGGGUGUGAGCCUUUAAUAAGAACAAUUUCUAUUUGUAAGAUGGGUUAAAAUAGAAAUACCUAAAUAUAACAAAAAAGUGUCUAUAUAAGUAGUUACAGUCCCAAGGCACUACUAGAAAAAUGGUCUUUACUGAUACUUGUGUUCUGACACUUUGUUUAAAAGUAUCAGUAUAUACAUAUAUUUGGAUCAUUUUUCACGUUUAACAGAUAUGUAUCAUUAAUUACUAAUACUGAAGUAUCAAUAGUUUUAGUAAUAACGAUCAAUGACGCUUAGGUAUCAGCAAUUAAAAAUUAUCAUUUUAAUUUUGUUUUAGUCCAAAUUCGAACCCAAGACCUCUUAAACCUAGAGCUUUUACAUUGAAUCAAAAGACCACUAGGCUACAAAUUAUUUUUAAUUUUUUUAGAGUUGUGCUUUUUAAGUGGAUAAAAACAAAACAAAUGGACAAGUCUUAUCUUAUCCAAAAUACAACUUUUCAACUCCCUUUACCAAAGUAUUCGUUCCCUUCUAAGCUCCCCAGAUCUGAAAAAUCCCUAACAUCCAAAUUGUCAAAAAGUGCUCAGCCAUGAUCCUAUCAAACUAGUGGCACAGAUUCACCAUUUGCCUUCAAAAUCCUAACUUAUUGUUUCUUUUCUUAUUUUAUGAUUUCGGGUCUCUCUUGUUGUCAUUAGAUCUUGAGUUUUUUUUUGUUUUAAUUGUUUUUUUAGGUUUAAAUAAGUGAUUUGGAGAAGAGCUUCUAUGUUUCUUUGGCUACUUGGAAGAAACUAGAAGGUAUUAUUUCUUUGGCUACUUGGAAGAAACAAGAAGGUAAAGAUUUAGCUUUUAUUGUGUUUUUUUCUCUACUACUUUCUUUUCUUUUAUUGGCACCAAAUAGCCUUCAUUAUAUCUACUUUGGAAAAUAUUGUGUUUAGGGUGAUCGUCACUGUAAGGUUAACUUUAUUUCGCUGAUGAACGACAAUAAACAUUUUUUACAGUAAAACCCUAAAAUUUUCUAAUUUGGGAAUUCUUAAGAGCAGCAUGAUUAUGCUAAAAUUGAUGGUUUAUAUUGGUUCAUAGUAGUUCUAUGUUGAUAUAACUUAUUGCUUAUUAACUAUUUGUUCAUGUGUUAUUAGCUUUUUUUUUCAAAAGCAAUCUUUUCAUUUUUUUUGGCUGUUAUUUUUUAGUUUUGUUCAUAUCGAAUAGAUUUCAAUUUUUAUUUGCUAUAAAUAGUCUCAUUGGAUGAUUACUUAUUACAAACUAUCAAAUAGAUGCUUUUACAAAGGAAAAGUUUGAAGUAUGUGGCUUAGGUUGAGAAAUGAGGUGUCUUUAUCAUUUCUUUAAUGGAUUUGUUUACAGGGCAAAACAGAAUUUUGUUUCUUCAAUUCAUUACUAAGGCAAUAUUAGAUUUGUCUUAUUUAUAUUUAUGUUCAUAAUAAGGCAAUAUCUACUUUAAUUGUUUAAUUUUUCUUAUUUAUAUUUAUAUGACUGAUGGCCAAAAUCAUAAGACUUGUUUAUAAGUAAUGAUUUUGGAAUGAACUCUCAAAUUAUUGAAAUAUUUUGUCCAAAGUUUACCAUAUGUUUGAAAUAAUUAAAGUUAAAUGUGUAUGUUUCAGUUCUGGAAAUUUGGAAUGAAUUGGGUCUAUAACUAAUUUUUAAUCGAUUUUUCAAAAUGGUUGGUUGUUGUCCAAUCUUUCAUAAAUUACUCAUGUAUCAUGUUUGGUGGUGCAAAACGAUAGUCUAAACAUGUCUGAAUGAGCUGAAAUUCGGAGAAACUAAAGUUCUAUAUGAAUACUUCAAAUUUGAAAAAUUUUAUGUUGAUUGAACUUGCAAGUUAUUUUUAAUGAUUUUUUAAACUCUGCUGCUCUGCAGCAAGUUCUUUUGACAUAACUAUUUAUUAACUUUUGUUCUUACAAAACACGAGCAUAAUAAUAUCAGAAUAACCUCAAAUUUUAAUAUGUUGUUCAUUCAUAUGUGUUGUUAAAAACUGGAAAAUAUCAUUCCAAUGUAUUAAGUAUCUUAAAUUUUAUAAGAUUCAUGGCCAAAAUCAUAAGACUUGUUUAUAAGCAAUGAUUUUGGAAUGAACUCUCAAAUUAUUGAAAUAUUUUGUCCAAACUUUACCAUAUGUUUGAUAUAAUUAAAGUUAAAUGUGUAUGUUUCAGUUUUGGAAAUUUUGGAAUGAAUUGGGUCUAUAACUGAUUUUUAAUCGAUUUUUCAAAAUGGUUGGUUGUUGUCCAAUCUUUCAUAAAUUACUCAUGUAUCAUGUUUGGUGGUGCAAAACAAUAGUCUAAACAUGUUUGAAUGAGCUGAAAUUCGGCGAAACUAAAGUUCUAUAUGCUUACUUCAAAUCUGAAAAAUUUUAUAUUGAUUGAACUUGCAGGUUAUUUUUAAUGAUUUUUUAAACUUUGCUGCUCUGUAGCAAGUUCUUUUGACAUAACUAUUUAUUAACAUUUGAUCUUACAAAACACCAGCAUAAUAAUAUCAGAAUAACCUUAAAUUUUAAUAUGUUGUUCAUUCAUAUGUGUUGUUAAAAAUUGGAAAAUAUCAAUCCAAUGUAUUAAGUAUCUUAAAUUUUAUAAAUAUGUAUUUAAGUACCAAUUACUACUGUAGUUUUUCAUUGACAAUUUUGAAUUACACACAAAUCUACUUAAUUAUUUUUAGGAAUCUGGUUUUAUUAUUUAAUUGUCCCACAUACCUCUUGUUGUGCAAAUUUUAAUGAACUCGCAAGUGCACGAAUCUAUUGUAGUAUAGAUCAAUGGUGACGAGUGUCGAUCCCAUGAGGAGGUGGAUUUUAAUUAUAUGUAGAAUUAAUUUUGUAAAUGGGUGGUUGGAAUUGUGGUGGAAGUGAUUUAAAUUAUCCUAAAAUUGGAAUUGAAAUGGCGAUAAUCAAUUCUAAAAUUGGAAUUGCAAUGGCGAGAAUAAAUUGAAGCGAAAUCUAUUGAAAUGACGUACUUGGGUAUCUGGAUCCGUAUCAACAUGCACCAUGGGCUAAAUAUUCCUUAUUAAUACCAAUUAAAUCAUGAGGGGGGGAAUCCACACCUCAUGAACCACACUUUAAUCAAUAUGGUGCUAAGGGCUUAUCGUGCCAAAUAAUAAUAACCUUGUACUAGGGGGCCGGUGAAACUAAGGUGGUACUAGACAAGAUUAGUAUUAUUUGUCGACGAGAAGUUAAAACAUCCACAAAAAUUAGAGGGGAAGAGAAAAUAAAUUUACCAAAUAAAGCCCAUGACACAUGUUGAGACUUCACCUUCAACCCAAGCUUGAAAGAAAAUUAGCUACUCAUAAUUGAACUAGGGGCAAAAUGGAAAUUUAUUAAAAUACGAAGAAAAUACAAGAUGGAGAAGGAAUUACAAAAAAUGGAUUCAGAGAUAUCAAAUUAGGGGGGGGAGGCCCCCUUUUUAUAGAUACAUGGAGUAAAUCAUUGUCAUCGGAUUAAAAACAGUUUGGACGCUCAGGAUUGCGCCACAUCAUCAGUCAACAGUACGCGGUUUGACCACGUGGAUGAACAGUAACACGGUUUGACCCGAGUUGAACAGUAACGCAGUUUGGUUGAAAAUAAUCCUGUGUGAUGCGUGUACCGUACGCGAGAUUUUUCGUCCACUGAUAUGCUGCCACGUCACCAUCAACAGUACAUAAGAAUUUUAGUCCAACAGGAUCAUGACACCUCAUCAGUCAAUGCCACAUCAUCGGUCAAUGCCACGUCAUCGAUCCGUCUAUGUGAACAGUGUCGUGAACAGUAACAUAUACAAUACCGUACAUGUGAAUAGUGUCAUUUUUCCUUUUAUACUCCUCCUAAGGUUUUCAACCAUCUUGAGUUCAAAAGUGAUGUCUGUUUUGCCGUCUGAUCUCUCCUUUAUUGUGAAAUGACUAUAAUGCCCCUAAAAUACAUAAAAUACUUAAUUAAAAUAAAACACAUGUAAUUAAAUCACAAGAAGGUUAAAUACAUAAAAGUAAAGGUUGUUAGUAAUACUUAAAAUGUAAAAUGACGGGUUUCUCCUUUAUAAAUAUGCAUUUUCUAACACUCAACACACCCCCCAACCAACUUAUUGCUAGUCCCUAGCAAAUAAAGUGAAAACAAAAUUCAAAUUCAAAAUAAUUUUUUUUUUAAUAGAAACACUCGUAUUCCAUCAGAUUAAUGAUAACAAUCAAAUAAAAGUAUAAGCAUGAUCUCCAGUCUAAAGCAACAUCAUACCCACAUCAACCAUCCACAUGAAUCAGCCCAGUAGACUUUGUUAUAGCUACUUUUAAUAAUGACAUGUCAAACCCCAAAAUCUCACUGGAAGUAGUGACACUCUCACAAAGAAAUUAAAACCAAUAAAAAUAGUCACUCCAAUGAAUGGUAAUUGAGAGAGAAAAUAAUAAAGAAGUGAUAUCACAUGCUCUCACCAAGAUGAAAUAAAUAUGCCCUCAGCUUAGAAAUAAUACGAUCUCAAGUUAAAUAAAAAUGCUAGUCAACCCAAUUUAUUUAUCUUUUUAUUUAUUUAUUUAUUUUUAUUAUGCACCACUACAUCUUUUUAGCCCACAUAACUAGCUUCUACUUCAUAUUAUAAUUCCCUAAAAUUAGGAAGGACUUUUAUUAGGAUGUAACGUAGGCUAGGGACAUGGUUAACAAAGAAGGGAAAUAAGGAAAACAAAGUGUAUGUUUGAGAAAAAUGCAGAGGAAUUUUUUUUUUGCUUUUACUUGGCACAACGUCACUAAAUAAAAUAAUUAUUUACAUUUUCUCAAACAUAAAUAGGUGAUGGAACUUAUAAGACAUCGGGUAAUACUCCAAAUCGGAGUGGGUUAAGAUGAUAAGUUGACAAAGAAAAUGUCUUUUUUUUUUUUUAAAGGCUCAAAAGGGUUAACUAUGGAUAUUUAAUAAAAGGGAUGGCUAGAAAGGCUCAAACGGAUCAAAGAUGGCCUUUCCAUCGUCUUUUAGGGCUCUAAAUAAUCAUCCAUAUCUACUAGUUAGAUGGGCCUCCAAAUGUAGCAACACACAUUUUUUUUUUCUUUUUUUUUUAAUUUUACAAUUUUUUUUUUAAGGGUUAACUCAAAAGAAAUCUAGAGAUCGUGUAUACAAUAAUAAACUGCUAAGCUGUAUAGAGAAUGGGCAAAAUGGUUACUCUCCAAGAAAAUGAUAGGCUCAACAACUCACUUGGCACUUAUUUAUGACAUGUUCAUUCCUUCAACCAACUCAUAUAUAUCUCCGACAUCAACAUGUAAAAUAGCAAACAUAGCGUAACAUCACUUAAGACCAAAGAUAAUACAACUACUAAAAUUUAAAAUUAAUCAUGUCAUCCAAUGUUAAAACAAAUCACACAAAUUUUUUUUUUUUUUUAAACAACAUUCUACCCCCCAACCUAUUCUAAGCAUGAAAGGAAAAUAUGCAUGCAGAAAUGUGAAUAUAAUGCAGAAAAACUAAUUAGAAAAGUUACACUUAAAAUGAUAGAAAACGAAAAUAAUUUUUUUUUUUAACUUAGAAGAUGCGUUUCUAGAGGCACUACACUCCAUAUUCAGCCAUCUUCGACUCACAAGUUGGAAAAUGUAUAUUUAUGGAGGAGAAAUUAAAAAGAAGAAAAAUAAACAUAAAAACAUAAUAAAGAAAAAGAAAAUGUUUGAAUUUUUUUUUGUUUUUUAAUUUUUUUUAAACGAUGAAGAUGCGUUUCUAGAGUCACUACACUCCAUAUUCAGCCAUCUUCAACACAAAAAGUUAGCAACAAUUAGUUUCUACAACAAAAAAUUAGUAAAAACUUAACCAAAAUUCCACAAUUGUCGACUAUUCCCUCCCCCCAACCAGAAUGAAAUAUUGUCCUCAAUGUUUGAAAGGAAAGAAGUAGAGUUUAGAAGACAUCACCUAGGUGGUGCAACACAGAAAAUAAUAUUUACAAGCGGAGAGUUAAAUCUAAUUUGUACUUCUUACUGCGGCUACGGUUACCAUAAUUAUUUGGAUGCUCCAACACAAAAGUCCAGGGGUCUGGCUCCGGUCUAUAAACUUGUAACAUAUCAAGUAGCUCAUUAGCAGUGUGAGCACAAAUAAAGAGUUUUUUCGCAUUAGAGGGAAUGAAAUAGUUUUUUAUUGCAUGGUUAAGAAAUGCGAUAAAGCCAUCAUAAAAGUUAUUGACAUUUAACAAACCGAUAGGUUUCUGAUGGAUGUGCAUAUGGGCCCAAGAUGCUAGUGUGAUAAGUGCCUCUAGUGUUGCAAGAUCUCCUGGAAGGAAAAUAAAAGCAUCAGCAUGAUUAAGCAUUUAAGUUAUUCUUUCUUGCAUACCUGAGACGACUAACUCUUCUCCAGUUGAUGAGUCAGACGAACUGCCCAAUGGUUUUAGGGCUCUUGGGAUGAUGCCUAACACUUGGCUGCCUCUGACAAAAGCUGCUUCUGAGACCAUUUUUGAUAACCCUCGAUUACCUCCUCCAUACACCAAGUGUAAUUUUCUCGCUGCUAUGCUUCGACCAAGAUCGAUGGCUGCCUCAACGAACUCUUUAUGUUUGCCAUAGGUAAAUCCAGAAAGCACACAAAUGUUCUUGAAUUGUCUAUUUGGAGUAGCUGCCAUUGUGAUACUUCUCAAAAAACAAUUUGUGAGUGCUUGACAAAAAAAAAAUCACAUUUAAGAGUCUUGGUGACAGUGGGUCACAGUUGUGUAUGAGGUAACAUGUCAGUGUCAAAUAACGCGUAAAGCACGUGGCUCGCGAGUCAAAAAGGAAACAGUAAAAAGGAAAAAGCAAACAGUAAUAAAAUUAUUAAAGACAAUAAUACACACAAUAAAACAAUAGUGAAAUAAAAUAACAGUAAAGUGAAAGGAUAUUUACAGGUAGUUGCGACAGUGGCUCACAUCUUCCUCUGGUUUUACGUCCAGAAACGGCUUGAACGCCCUCUAUGGGUCGAUGAUAGGCUUCCUAUCCAGUUUUCUUAUAAACUGGCAAACAAUGUCGUUUAUAGUCAGAUUCCCGAGACUAUAUCGUGCAUGCUCUUUCUGGAAUAAUGGCCAUAACUGGAGAAUCGCUCCUUGCACAUAUCCAUUGGGAUGCGUUUCAAGAGACAAAAGGAUAUCAUCCAAUGACUCCUUAUUCAAGCCAUCCCUAAUGAAUUGAAUCUUAUCUUCCCUGUUAUCAGACACCAUUCCUAAAGAACAUUGGUUUUUUUGCAACUCAUUCUGGCACACUUAUGACAAGCAACAGAAAUUCUUCGAGCUCGUCAUUUUCUUGCAUAAUUUCCUUUACCACAACCAGGCAUGUAUGCAAUAAAUUUUGGAGGUAACUCACCUGCCGAUCGUACUUUAGCCUCAAUUAACCAACGGAUGUCAGCAGGUAUGUUAUUCCUCAUGAGUAAUCGCAUGCGUUCGGACCGAGCUUUAUAGAUCAUAAGGAGGGCAUUCUGAGGAAGUGAAGGGAAUCGCUUGUGAAGCUUCACUAGAAUCUCGUUUAUGUCCAUACUUUCGCCUCAGAAUAUCAGUUAUUAUGAGAAACUGAAGUAACCGACUUGAUUGUCACGGAGUACCGUUAUCCGCCAUUUAACCGGGGUAACAAACUAAAGCACACAAACAGAAAAACAAAUUAAAACACAAAAAAAAAAUUAAAAUCGUCCUCUUAUUGAAUUUACCUCAAGCUCCAACUGGAUGUCGUAAACACUUCUCUCAAUAUCUCUGAGUUGGCUUUCUAGACCCUCAACAUAGGAUACUAACUCUGGUGGUUGUAGAGCCCAAAUGCGAUAUAUUUUACAAAAUUGAAUCUGCCUUUUGAGAUGAGUUUUGACAUGUUGAAGUGGUUUAAGAAUGUUCAGGAGGAACGGUCUAAGUAAGGUACUCAUGAUUAAAAAUGAUAAGAGAAAACUUAAUAGUUAAACAAACAUACUUAUGCAAAAAUAAUUUCAAAUUAGCAAAAGAAUAAUAAAAAGAAAGAAAGAAAAAUCAAAUCAAUGAAAAGGAAAAAAAAAUCAAUUCAAAUCUGGUGGGUAACUCAAAUUUAUUUCGGUGUUUUCUCCAUGUGGUUGGUACUCUAGAUAUGGCUUUAAUCUUUGACCAUUAACUUUAAACGUGACACCGUUCUUUGGGUCCUUAAUUUCAAUUGCCCCAUGUGGAAAAAUAGUAUGUACAAUAAAUGGGCCAGACCAACGAGAGCGUAACUUACCUGGGAAUAGGUGCAAGCGAGAAUUGAAUAAAAGCACUUUCUGACCUGGAGUGAAAGAUUUUCUCAUAAUUUGCUUGUCAUGGAAGACUUUCAUUCGUUGCUUGUAAAUCUUGGCAUUUUCGUAUGCGUCAUUGCGAAUUUCUUUAAGUUCUGCCAGUUGUAAUCUUCUUUCUGAGCUGGCUUGCUGCAUGUCAAAGUUGAAUUUCUUGAUGGCCCAAUAUGCACGAUGCUCGAGUUCCACAGGUAGGUGGCAAGCUUUUCCAUACACUAACCUGUAGGGUGACAUCCCAAUCGGGGUCUUGAAAGCCGUUCUAUAUGCCCAUAAUGCAUCAUCAAGUCUUAAUGACCAAUCUUUUCUGUCUGGCCUCACCGUCUUUUCUAAUAUGUGCUUUAUUUCUCGAUUGGAGAUCUCAACUUGGCCACUGAUUUGCGGAUGAUAUGGGGUCGCCACUUUAUGAGUGAUUGAAUACUUUGUCAAAAGAGCUUUGAAUGCUUUGUUACAAAAGUGGGCACCACUAUCACUGAUUAUUGCUCGAGGGAAUCCAAAGCGUGAGAUAAUAUUACUUUUCAAAAAUCCUAUCACCACCUUGUGAUCAUUGGUUCUGCAUGGAAUUGCUUCUACCCAUUUCGAUACAUAGUCAACAGCAACGAAUAUGUAUUGAUGGCCAAAAGAAAGGGGAAAGGGUCCCAUGAAGUCGAUACCCCAUACAUAAAAAAUCUCAACCACUAAAAUUGGAUUUAGUGGCAUCAUGUUCCUUCGUAUAAUGCUCCCCAUUCGUUGACACAUAUCACAUGAAGAACAAAAAGUGUAAGCAUCUCGAAAUAUAGUUGGCCAAUAAAAACCACAUUGUAAAACUUUAGUUUCUGUUUUCUUAGCACUGAAAUGGCCUCCACAAGCUUGUUCAUGGCAGAAUGAAAGAAUAUUCUGAAUUUCAUUUUCUGGGACACAUCGUCUAACAAUUUGAUCAGCACAAUACUUGAACAAAUACGGGUCAUCCCAAAAGAAAUUCUUUAUCUCUACAAAAAAUUUAGCCUUAUCUUGCUUGGUCCAAUGCUCUGGAAGUUUACCUGUAACAAGAUAAUUAACUAUAUCAGCAUACCAAGGUAAUACUUCCACACUCAUUAAUUGUUCAUCUGGAAAUGACUCAUUUAAUAUUAAUGGCUCUGUAAUUGUGUCAAAAUGGUGACGAGAGAGAUGGUCCGCCACGACAUUUUCUGUCCCUUUCUUAUCUUUGAAUUCCAAGUCAAAUUCCUGCAAAAGUAAUACCCAACGAAUUAGUCUAGCUUUUGCAUGUUUCUUUGUGAGAAGAUAUUUAAGAGCAGCAUGAUAUGUGAAUAUAAUUAUUUUACAACCAAUGAGAUAAGAUCGAAAUUUCUCUAAUAUAAACACUACUGCUAGCAUUUCUUUUUCAGUAGUUGAAUAGUUCAACUAUGCAUCAUUCAAUGUCAUACUAGCAUAGUAAAUAACAUGGGGAAUUCGAUCAACUCUUUGUCCUAAUACUGCUCCUACUGCAUAAUCAGAUGCAUCGCACAUGAGCUCAAAUGGUAAGCUCCAAUUUGGGGGCUGAAUGAUGGGUGAUGAUGUCAACAACUGCUUUAACUUUUCAAAUGCCACAAGACAUGAAUCAUUAAAGACAAAAGGUACAUCCUUAGCAAGUAAAUUGCAUAAGGGUCUAGAAACAUUGCUAAAAUCUUUAAUGAAACGUCUAUAGAAACCAGCAUGCCCAAGGAAAGAUCUUACUUCUUUGACUAUUUUGGGUGAAGGAAGAUUAGAAAUGAGAUCCACCUUGGCUUUGUCAACCUCAAUACCUUUGCUCGAAAUGAUGUGACCGAGAACAAUACCUUGUUUUACCAUAAAAUGGCAUUUCUCCCAAUUUAAAACUAAAUUCUUCUUGAUACAUCUCUGCAGAACUAAUGUUAGAUGAUGUAAACAUUGAUCAAAUGAAUCACCAAAGACAGAAAAGUCAUCCAUAAAGACUUCAAGGAAUUGUUCAACCAUAUCAGAAAAAAUGAUUAACAUGCAUCGUUGAAAUGUAGCAGGUGCAUUACAUAAUCCAAAUGGCAUUCUCCUAUAUGCAAAAGUGCCAAAAGGGCAAGUGAAAGUGGUCUUCUUUUGAUCUUUUGGUGCUAUGGGAAUCUGAUUGUAUCCUGAGUAGCCAUCUAGAAAGCAAUAAAAUUCAUGGCUUGCUAAUCUAUCAAGCAUUUGAUCAAUAAAUGGUAAAGGAAAAUGGUCUUUACGUGUGACAGAAUUCAACUUUCUAUAAUCAAUGCAUACACGCCAUCCUGUAGUCACUCUAGUUGGUAUCAAUUCAUUAUCAGCAUUCGUAACUACUGUGACUCCUGACUUUUUGGGGACAACUUGUACAGGACUGACCCAUGAACUAUCAGAAAUUGGAUAAAUGAUACCUGUAUCUAAUAGCUUAAGGACUUCAGUUCUAACAACUUCUUUCAUAUUAGGAUUUAACCGACAUUGCAUUUCCCUAGUAGAUUUAGCAUUUUCAUCAAGGUGAAUGUAAUGCAUGCAGUCUACUGGGUUUAUACCUUUUAUGUCCGCUAUGGUCCAUCCUAAUACUCCUUUGUGCUCUUUUAAAACAUCCAACAACUUACCUUUUUGUCCGUCAUUUAGGGAUGAUGAGAUGAUUAUCGGUAGAGUACUUUCUUCUCCCAAAAAUGCAUAUUCCAAUGUGUUGGGCAAUGGUUUGAGCUCGAGUUUUGGUGGUGAUUCUGAUGAUGGGAUGAGUUUCUUCUCUGAUGGUGCUAGUUAUUCAACUCUUGACUUCCAUUUAUUAGUGUCCAUGGAUGGUGCUGAGUCAAGUAGGGCGUUGACCUCAUCGACUGAUCUGUCAAUAUCAAAAUCCAAACCAAAGUGAGUUAAACAUGUUUGUAAAGGAUCAUCACUAAGGUUUGAAAGAAAAGUGUCAUCAACUAUUGUUUCUAUUAAAUCCACAUCAACAAUUCCAUCAUCUGCAUUGUGAGGUUGUUUGACAAUGUUGAAGAUGUUCAGCUCCAUAGUCAUGUUGCCGAAGGACAACUGCAUAUUUCAUGUCCUACAUUGAAUGUGAACAUCCGCAGUUGCCAAGAAAGGUCGGCCUAGAAUAAUGGAGAUGUGCUUCCUUGAAUCCUGUAUUGGUUGAGUGUCAAUUACAAUGAAAUCAACAGGAAAAUAAAACUUGUCUACCUGGAUAAGCACGUCCUCCACAAUACCAUGAGGUAUUUUCGUGGACCAAUCUGCAAGCUGUAACACCACUGGAGUUGGGUGUAAUUCUCCCAGUCCAAGUUUCACAAAUACUGAAUAAGGCAACAAAUUUACACUAGCUCCUAAAUCCAACAAAACAUUCUCAAUUGUGUGGUUCCCUAUACUACAUGAGAUAGUGGGGAAGCCUGGGUCUUUGCAUUUUAAAGGAAUUUUAUGUUGGAGUAUAGAACUAAUAUUUUCUGUUAAAAAUGCAUUCUUUUGAACAUGCAUAUUUCUCUUUUUAGUACAAAGGUCUUUAAGAAACUUGGCAUAAGAUGGAACUUGCUUAAUAGCAUCAAGCAAUGGGAUGUUAACACUUACCUGUUUGAAGAUUUCAAGAAUCUCACCUGUGGAUUUUCCCUUAUUUCCUUUAGCUAACCUUUGAGGAAAUGGAGCUUUAGGAAUGUAUUCCCGUGGGUUGGUUUCUUCUUUCUCCUCCGGUGAUGAGUCCUCAACAUUCACAGGUACAAUUUGAUUUUCUCUUGUCACCGGCAUCUCCACUUUGUUGUCGACUUCUUUUCCUUUUCGCAAGGUCAUGACUGCUUUGACUUCUCCAUGCUGCUGUGGUGAGCUGGUACUUGCUUCAUGUACUCCUUUAGGAUUAGGCACUGGUUGACUUGGAAACUUGCCUUUGUCAACAGUCAUUGCCAAGGUCUGAACUGAAGAAGCAAGCUGUCCCACCAUCUUCUCGAGGCUUGAAACUGAUUGGGCUUGUGAAUUGAAGCUUGCUCUCAACUCAUUUCGUAGUCCAUCAAUGGUGCGGUUCUGUUGCUCAAUCGUGGAGUGAGUAACAUUCUUGAAAUUUUGGAAUGCAUCCUCCCAUGAUCUGGGUUGAGAGUAGUUCUGGUUCUGAUUGUAUGGUCUAAAUGGGGGCUGAGAGGCUUGAGGAAUUUGAGGAAUUGGUUGCAUUGGUGGAGCUGGAGCUGCUGGUCCAUUCUGUUGGAGUCCUUGAGACCAUGAAAAAUUGGGGUGGUCUCUCCAUUCAGGGUUAUAUGUGUUGGAGUAUGGGUUGUAAUUUGAUGGCUUUCUCAUUACACCUAUGGCAUUGGCUUGAUCUGAGUAUGAGUCAGGGUCAUGUGGCUCUGUUGAUUUAGCAGUCGAUAACGAUGCUAUUUGUCGAGCAAGACCUUUAACCAUCUCCUUGACUUCUUUGAUUCCCGAAGUUGACUCGCCAAUUUGAACCUCAUUUACUCCCUUAAUUCUUCUAGUAUUCCUGAGUGAUCGACUCCGUUGUUGGGAAUUAUCCGCUUGUCCCUGGAAGAAUUCCCAAAUCUCUGAUGCACUUUUUGACAUUAGCUCUCCUCCACUUGUUGCCAUUAGCCAUUCUUCCACAUUCGGCAAUAAUUCCUCCAAAAAGUAUUGGCAUUGGUGCCAUUUCUCGUACCCAUGAUGUAGACACUUCAAGAGUAGCCCAUUGAAUCGCUCCCAUGUUUCGAAAAAUUGCUCGUCCUCUCUCUGUGUAAACUCUGAAAUUUCCCUGCGAAUAGCAUUGGUUUUAUGCACUAGGAAAUAUUUAUUCAAAAAUUUUGUUACCAUUUGUUCCCAUGAUGAAAUGCUAUUAGCAGGUAAAGUAUUUAACCAUGAACGAGCUCUAUCCUUUAAAGAAAAUGGGAAUAAUCUGAGUUUAACAUCAUCGUCUGAAAAAUUUUCAUAUUUAAAAGUUUGACAAAUGGCAUGAAAAUCAUUCAGAUGAUUAUAUGGGUCCUCAUUUUCUAGGCCAUAGAAUGUUGGGAGACAAUUUAGCACACUAGGUUUUAAUUCAAAACUCCUAGCAGCUACAUUUGGGUAUCUUAUACAUGAUGUGCUCAAAUUAGCUAAGGGACUGAAAUAAUCCUUAAAUGGCCUCUCCUGUGGUGCUUGUAAAUCCAUUCCAAAUUUAUUUUUAAUGUGCUUGUGUGUGCGGAGUGUUUUUUCUAAUUCAAGGUCUAUAGGUUCAAGAUUAGGUAAUAAUGACCUACGACCAUGCAUGCAAAACAAAUAAAAUAAAAAUAAAGAUGGGAACAAAACAAAUAAAAAUAAAUAAGAGGGAGAAAUUACGAUACUAACCUUAUCGCGAUGUUACAACCUUUCUAUAAAAACACACUAAAACAAAUACGUGAAAUAAAUUAACUAAGAAUAAAUUAAUAAGAUAAAAAAAAUUUACAAAGAAAAAUAAAUUGAAAAUUAAAUUACAGAAUUUUAAAGAAGAGAAAAAGAAAAGAAAUAUUAACCUUUAAAUGUAGAUUCACUUUUUUUUUCUUUUUUUUAAUAAAAAAAUUACAAGAAAAUAAUUAAAAGAAAUUAAUCACAAAAAUUAAUUCUAUGAAUUAAAAUUACUUACCUCCCCGGCAACGGCGCCAAAAACUUCUUGUGCAAAUUUUAAUGAACUCGCAAGUGCACGAAUCUAUUGUAGUAUAGAUCAAUGGUGACGAGUGUCGAUCCCACGAGGAGGUAUAUUUUAAUUAUAUGUAGAAUUAAUUUUGUAAAUGGGUGGUUGGAAUUGUGGUAGAAGUGAUUUAAAUUAUCCUAAAAUUGGAAUUGAAAUGGCGAUAAUAAAUUCUAAAAUUAGAAUUGCAAUGGCGAGAAUAAAUUGAAGCGAAAUCUAUUGAAAUGACGUACUUGGGUAUCUGGAUCCGUAUCAACAUGCACCAUGGGCUAAAUAUUCCUUAUUAAUACCAAUUAAAUCAUGAGGGGGGAAUCCACACCUCAUGAACCACACUCUAAUCAAUAUGGUGCUAAGGGCUUAUCGUGCCAAAUAAUAAUAACGUUGUACUAGGGGGCCGGUGAAACCAAGGCGGUACUAGACAAGAUUAGUAUCAUUUGUCGACGAGAAGUCAAAACAUCCACAAAAAUUAGAGGGGAAGAGAAAAUGAAUUUACCAAAUAAAGCCUAUGACACAUGUUGAGACUUCACCUUCAACCCAAGCUUGAAAGAAAAUUAGCUACUCAUAAUUGAACUAGGGGCAAAAUGGAAAUUUAUUAAAAUAUGAAGAAAAUACAAGAUGGAGAAGGAAUUACAGAAAAUGGAUCCCAAAAAUGGAUUCAGAGAUAACAAAUUAGGGGGGGAGGCCCCCUUUUUAUAGAUACAUGGAGUAAAUCAUGGUCAUCGGAUUAAAAACAGUUUGGACGCUCAGGAUUGUGCCACGUCAUCAGUCAACAGUACGCGGUUUGACCACUUGGAUGAACAGUAACACGGUUUGACCCAGGUUGAACAGUAACGCAGUUUGGUUGAAAAUAAUCCUGUGUGAUGCAUGUACCGUACGCGAGAUUUUUUGUCCACUGAUAUGCUGCCACGUCACCAUCAACAGUACAUAAGAAUUUUAGUCCAACAGGAUCAUGAAACCUCAUCAGUCAAUGCCACAUCAUCGGUCAAUGCCACGUCAUCGAUCCGUCUAUGUGAACAGUGUCGUGAACAGUAACUUAUACAGUACCGCACACGUGAAUAGUACCGUACAUGUGAAUAGUGUCAUUUUUCCUUUUAUGCUCCUCCUAAGGUUUUCGACCAUCCUGAGUUCAAAAGUGAUGUCCGUUUUACCGUCUGAUCUCUCCUUUAUUGUGAAAUGACUAUAAUGCCCCUAAAAUACAUAAAUACUUAAUUAAAAUAAAACACAUGUAAUUAAAUUACAAGAAUGUUAAAUACAUAAAAGUAAAGGUUGUUAGUAAGACUUGAAAUGUAAAAUGACGGGUUUCUCCUUUAUAAAUAUGCAUUUUCUAACACUCAACACCUCUUUCGUCCUAGGUUUUCAAUAAUGGGAGCAAUCGCCUCCAUAAAUUACAUAGAAAUAAUUAUUAUUAGCUUUAAUUUAUUUUAAAUAAUAUGAAAAGGAAAAGAAGUUGAUAAAUAUUUUUUAUUUGUGUCUUAUCUAUUCAUGUCACCGUGACAAAUCUUUAGGGAAUCUUUUUAGUCAUUAAUUAAGCUUUGUUCAAUUGCUUCGUUUUUCAGCUCGCUUUGACUAAAUCAAAGGAACUACAUGGUCAUAAAGCACUUAAGUAUAAUAGCUCAAAGAUUAUCUGCUACCCGCAAAGCUAAUUAAAUUAAUAUGACUCUCCAAGUCAACAGGGCGGAUUUUUCUUUUUCUGCUGUGCAUAUAUUUAGCCAUCUCCUUCACCACAGCGAAAGUGUUUUUUUUUUAAUUUUUUAAAAACUUUUUUCCUAGUGAUGAAGGUUGAAAUUAAGUUAUUAAAUAAAAUAGAAGAGCUUAAGGAAAUUAACAAGAAUGUGCUUAAUCGAUCAAGUAGACGGUUAAUUUAUAAAAAAAAAUGCUCUGUGUGAUUAUCUGAAAAUUGCAGAAACGCUAUCAGUUUGUCAUUUCUAUUAACUUUCUUUCUCUGCAGCAAAAUAAUUAAGCAUUGGAAGUAUGCAUAUAAAUAAGGAGGCAGCAAGGUUAUUGGAUUUUUUUAAGGCAAUGAAUGAAGUCAGUCCCUGCACUAACUACUUGGCUGAUGCCUUAGUAAUUAAUUGCUCAACAUUAUGAUGUAGUUACUGGGAAUAAACUGUAUUUCUUUAGUAUUUGUAAGGAAAUAAACUACAACUUCCUUUCUUUAGUAUUUGUAAGGAAAUAAACUACAACUUCCUUGUUCACUAAUUUUUCUUUGAAAUAACUGAGUUUACUUAUAAAUAGUGUAUGAAUAUUUUUUCUUUAGAACAAAAUAGAUUUAUUUAUAUUAACCAUUGUUUCUCUAAUGGUUGGGAAUUGGCAGCUAAUUUUUUCUCCCUUUUCCAUGUAUGCAGAUUUGCUCAAUGUGUUUGAAGUGUUUAUUCCUCAACUUCACUUGUAUCCUAACCCAUACAGUCUAUUGAAUGGAGAAGCUGCUGGUGUGAUAACGCAAUUAUACUACUCAUAUUCAAAGAGUGAAAGACAGUCAUCAUUAUCAAUUUAGCUUCUAGAUUUAUUAAAUUUGGCCACAAGUAGUAGACAUUUGAUUGGAUGGUGAAAUUUUUAUGUAUUGAAUUUAGAUUAUUUAGUUAUGAGAGUAGGAUAUCUCAUUUUUUGGCUAUUGAAGUUGAAUUUGUAAUAUAUACUAAUAAUAUUUAAAUGUGAAAUGAAAGAUUUUGUGAUAUAAAUCAAUUUCUUUUUGUUAUUUUGUGGUGCUUUUAAUUUUACCAAUAAAUCAAUAGGCAAUGAUCCAAUUCAAUUUUUUAAAAAAAAUAAAUUAACUAGUGAUACCAUAGUAACAAUAAUUAUAGACACAAAAAAAAUAUCAAUAAUUACUAACACUAUGCUAUCAUAAUAUUGGUGAUAUUGUAGUAAUAGUAAUCACUGACACCACUUACAAGUGUCACUAUUUUUCUGACUCCCAGAUUACUGACACAAUUAACAAGUGUCAGUGAAAGUAAUUUCUGACACUAUUCUAAAGUCAGUAAAGACUGUUUUUCUAGUAAUGAGGUCUCACGUAUCGUUUUAUUUUUUUUCUGACAACCGAUCAUCAGAGAGAGAGCAGAGAACAUUAAAGGAUUUUUUAAGAGAAUAUGUUGAUCUGGAAGGCUAACCACACUAUUCUAAAAAGCAAUUAAGCAUUAUGGAUCCAGAUAUACUUCUACAUAUCAUAUUAUUGAUUCUUGUUGAUAUAACAUUAAUGUUCCUAGACUAUAGGUAAUCAUUUUAAGUAUAGGAUUAUUAUCGUUCUAAUAUUUUCUUGUGAAGAGCUUUACUGGGUAUUCUUCCAACAUCUUAUAAUUUAUUUAAAAGGAAGGUAAUGCAAUCUCAUAUUUGUCAAAGGUCCAAUAGAGUGUAGGAGGAUAGCUUCCAUGCUUUAGUGGCAUGUAGAGUUGUUAAGAAGGUAUGGCGAUUAUCAAUCUUGGCAAAUUUUGCGAUUAGUUUUGAAAGCACCAAUUUCUCAUGCUUUGCUCAAUCAUUGGCUGAUUAAAUGUCUAAGGAGAAUUUUGAGUCUUUUGUGGUCUUGCCUUGCUCAAUUUGGAGGGACAAAAACUUGAUUCUUCACAAUGAUGUGGGAAAUGACAUUUUGAGCUUGAUAAUCAGAGCUGAAUCUAUUAUUGAGAACUAUAAGUUAGUGCAACAAUCUCUAGCGACCGUGCCUUCUAUGAAUUAGAAUUAUAAGGAAGAAAAAUAGGUUGCUCCACCAAAUAAUCGGUAGAAACUUAAUACUGAUGCAGCUAUUAAAUCUUUAGAAAGUAUUUCUAGCCUUGGUACUAUUAUUAAAAACUCAAGAGGAGAAGUUAUGGUAGCAUCAGUCAAUAUAAAGUCCUUUUUUUGUAGGGAUGUGGAAUUUGCAAAAGCUUAUGCAGUUGUUCAGGGGGUUAAGCUAGCAAUUGACUUAGGUUUAACUCCCUUGAUUGUUAAACUUGAUUCAGUAAAUGUUGUUACUUUGAUUAAUGGAAGUUUGUCUAGCAAAAAAAAAGAGAUUGGCUGGCUAGUAUGGGAGAUCAAAGGUCUUAUAAUUAAUAGAGCUGCCAUUAAAGUUAAAUUGGUUGGCUAUUAUAGGAGAUCAAGGGUCCUAUAUAGAGCUUCCAUUAUAGUUAAACAUGCACCUAGAUGUUAUAAUGAGGUGGCUCACAUUUUAAGCAAAUUGGAAUUUUCUUUUCCAAAGUUAGCAUAUUAGAAUAGAAGAUUGUCUUGUUGAAAUUGUCAGUCUCUUGUGAUGUUUUGUUAUUCAACAUGUAGUCAGCUUUUCAAAAAGCAAAAAAAUGGCAGUACAAAUAAAGUCCACAUAGUACAUGUUGCUUAAUGCGCACUAAUUCUACAAUCUUGAUUAUGAGUAAUUUAUCUGUCACCAUUUGCAAUAUGGCCAUCAAAACCCAUUUAUAAAUCGAGGCCAGUAAUAGAUUGUCAUCACAACUGGGGAGAAAGCUACGAUUCAUCCAAAUGGAUCCAACGGCUGGAUGCAACGGUGAUACCGUAUCACCGUUGCACUGUAGUCGGACCCCACAACUGGACCCAUGAUGAUGAUAACAAUAAAUAAUAAAUAAUUUUUAAUUUUUUUGUUAUUUAAUAGGUUAGCUUUUAGGUCAAAAUGAUGGAAGGCGCCCAUUGGGUACCGUAUUCAGGGGUGGGUAAAUUAUUUGACCUGACUUAAAAUAUUUCGGGUUUAGAUCGGAUCGAAUUGUAAAAAAAAUCCGAUCGGAUGAAAACGGUAAAACCCGAUCAGGUUCUUUAAAAAAAAAAAUAAACACAUACACGCACGCCAGACAGAGUCACACAAAAUACAAAUCACACUUACAAAUUCAUUUACAAUACACACACAACACAAAUCUCACACACAACACAAAUCACACUCACAGAUUCAUUUACAAUCCACACACAAACACAAGUCAGUGAAAUCACAGUGAUUCAUUUACAAAUCACACAAAAUACAAAUCACACUUACAAAUUCAUUUACUUGAGAUCGUAUUAUUUCUAAGCUGAGGGCAUAUUUAUUUCAUCUUGGUGAGAGCAUGUGAUAUCAUUUCUUUAUUAUUUUCUCUCUCAAUUACCAUUCAUUGGAGUGACUGUGUUUAUUGGGUUUUGAUUUCUUUGUGAGAGUGUCACUACUUCCAGUGAGAUUUUGGGGUUUGACAUGUCAUUCUUGAAAGUAGCUAUAACAAAGUCUACUAGGCCGAUUCAUGUGGAUGGUUGAUGUGGGUGUGAUAUUGCUUUAGACUGGAGAUAAUGCUUAUACUUUUAUUUGAUUGCUAUCAUUAAUCUGAUUGAAUAAACACGAGUGUUUCUAAAAAUAUAUAUAUAUAUAUAUAUAUAUAUUGAAUUUGAAUUUUGUUUUCGCUUUAUUUGCUAGGGACUAGCAAUAAGCUGGUUGGGGGGUGUGUUGAGUGUUAGAAAAUACAUAUUUAUAAAAGGAGAAAACCGUCAUUUUACAUUUCAAGUCUUACUAACAACCCUUACUUUUAUGUAUUUAACCUUCUUGUGAUGUAAUUACGUGUGUGUUAUUUUAAUUAAGUAUUUUAUGUAUUUGAGGGGCAUUAUAGUCAUUUCACAAUAAAAGAGAAAUCAUACGGCAAAACGGACAUCACUUUUGAACUCAGGACGGUCAAAAACCUUAGGAGGAGCAUAAAAGGAAAAAUGGCACUAUUCACAUGUACGGUACUAUUCACGUAUACGGUACUGUCUACGUUACUGUUCACGACACUGUUCACAUAGACGGAUCGACGACGUGGCAUUGACCGAUGAUGUGGCAUUGACUGAUGGGUGUCAUGAUCCUGUUGGACUAAAAUUCUUAUGUACUGUUGACGGUGACGUGGCAGCAUAUCAGUGAACGAAAAAUCUCGCGUACGGUGCAUGCAUCACACAGGAUUAUUUUCAACCCAACCGUGUUACUGUUCAUCUGGGUCAAACCGUGUUACUGUUCAUCCACGUGGUCAAACCGUAGACUGUUGACUGAUGACGUGGCGCAAUCCUGAGCGUCCAAACUGUUUUUAAUCCGAUGGCCAUGAUUUACUCCAUGUAUCUAUAAAAAGGGGGCCUCCCCCCCCCCCUAAUUUGAUAUCUCUUAAUCCAUUUUUGGGAUCCAUUUUCUGUAAUUCCCUCUCCAUCUUGUAUUUUCUUUGUAUUUUAAUAAAUUCCCAUUUUGCCCCUAGUUCAAUUAUGAGUAACUAAUUUUCUUUCAAGCUUGGGUUGAAGGUGAAGUCUCAACAUGUGUCAUGGGCUUAAUUUGGUAAAUUUAUUUUCUCUUCCCCUCUAGUUUUUGUGGAUGUUUUGACUUCUCGUCGACAAAUAAUAAUAAUCUUGUCUAGAUACCGCCUUGGUUACACCGGCUCUCUAGUAUAAGGUUAUUAUUAUUUGGCACGAUAAGCCCUUAGCACCAUAUUGAUUAGAGCGUGGUUCAUGAGGUGUGGAUUCCCCCCUCAUGAUUUAAUUGGCAUUAAUACAGAUUAUUUAGCCCAUGAUGCAUGUUGAUACGGAUCCAGAUACCCAAGUACGUCAAUUUAAUCGAUUUUCUCUACAAUUUAUUCUCGCCAUUGCAAUUCCAAUUUUAGCAUAUUUAUUAUCGUCAUUUCAAUUCCAAUUUUAGCAUAUUUUAAAUCACUUCCACCACAAUUCCAACCACCCAUUUACAGAAUUAAUUCUACACACAAUUAAAAAUCCAUCUCCUCGUGGGAUCGACACUCGUCACCAUUGAUCUAUACUACAAUAGAUUCGUGCACUUGCGAGUACAUUAAAAUUUGCACAACAAGUUUUUGGCGCCGUUGCCGGGGAGGUAAGUAAUUUUAAUUCAUAGAUUUAAUUUUUGUGAAUAAUUUCAUUUAAUUGUUUUCUUGUAUUUUUUUUUUUUUGUUCUUUAAAAAAAAAAAAAAGUAAAUCUACAUUUAAAGGUUAGUAUUUCUUUUCUUUUUCUCUUCUUUAAAAUUCUGUAAUUUAUUUUUCAAUUUAUUUUUUUCUUUGUAAUUUUUGUUUAUCUUACUAAUUUUUUUUAGUUAAUUUAUUUCAUGUAUUUUUUGUUUUUGUGUGUAUUUUUAUAGUAAGGUUGUAAUAGCGCAAUAAGGUUAGUAUUGUAAUUUCUCUCUCUUCUUUAUUUUUAUUUGUUUUGUUCCAUCUUUAUUUUUAUUUUAUUUAUUUUGCAUGCAUGGUCGUAGGUCAUUAUUAUCUAAUCUUGAACCUAUAGACCUUGAACUUGAGAAAACACUUCGCACACAAAAGCACAAUAAAAAUAAAGUUGGAAUGGAUUUACAAGCACCACAGGAGAGGCCAUUUAAGGACUAUUUUAGUCCCUUAGCUAAUUUGAGCACAUCAUGUAUUAGAUACCCAAAUGUAGCUGCUAGGAGUUUUGAAUUAAAACCUAGUGUGCUAAAUUGUCUCCCCACAUUCUAUGGCUUAGAAAAUGAGGACCCAUAUAAUCAUCUGAAUGAUUUUCAUGCAAUUUGUCAAACUUUUAAAUAUGAAAAUUUUUCAGACGAUGAUGUUAAACUUAGAUUAUUCCCAUUUUCUUUAAAGGAUAGAGCUCGUCCAUGGUUAAAUACUUUGCCUGCUAAUAGCAUUGCAUCAUGGGAACAAAUGGUUACAAAAUUUCUAAAUAAAUAUUUCCCAGUGCAUAAAACCAAUUCUAUUCGCAGGGAAAUUUCAGAGUUUACACAAAGAGAGGACGAGCAGUUUUUCGAAACUUGGGAGCGAUUCAAUGGGCUACUCUUGAAGUGUCCACAUCAUGGGUAUGAGAAAUGGCACCAAUGCCAAUACUUUUUGGAGGGAUUAUUGCCGAAUGUGCAAGAAUGGCUAAUGGCAACAAGUGGAGGAGAGCUAAUGUCAAAAAGUGCAUCAGAAAUUUGGGAAUUCUUCCAGCGACAAGCGGAUAAUUCCCAACAACGGAGUCGAUCACUCAGGAAUACUAGAAGAAUUAAGGGAGUAAAUUAGGUUCAAAUUGGCGAGUCAACUUCGGGAAUCAAAGAAGUCAAGGAGAUGGUUGAAGGUCUCGCUCGACAAAUAGCAUCGUUAUCGACUGCUAAAUCAACAGAACCACAUGACCAUGACUCAUACUCCGAUCAAGCCAAUGCCAUAGGUGUAAUGAGAAAACCAUCGAAUUACAACCCAUACUCCAACACAUAUAACCCUGGAUGGAGAGACCACCCUAAUUUUUCAUGGUCUCAAGGAUUCCAACAGAAUGGACCAGCAGCUCCAGCUCCACCAAUGCAACCAAUUCCUCAAAAUCCUCAAGCCUUUCAGCCCCCAUUUAGACCAUACAAUCAGAACUAGAAUUACUCUCAACCCAGACCAUGGGAGGAUUCAUUCCAGAAUCUCAAGAAUCUUACUCACUCCACAAUUGAGCAACAGAACCGCACCAUUGAUGGACUACGAAAUGAGUUGAGAGCAGGCUUCAACUCACAAGCUCAAUCAGUUUCAAGCCUGGAGAAAAUGGUGGGACAACUCACUUCUUCAGUUCAGACCUUGGCAAUGACUGUUGAGAAAGGCAAGUUUCCAAGUCAACCAGUGCCUAAUCCUAAAGGAGUGCAUGAAGCAAGUACCAGUUCACCACAGCAGCAUGGAGAGGUCAAAGCAGUCAUGACCUUGCGAAAAGGAAAAGAAGUCGACAACAAAGUAGAGAUGCCGGUGACCAAAGAAAAUCAAAUUGUACCUGUGAAUGUUGAGGACUCACCACCGGAGGAAAAAGAAGAAACCAACCCACGAGAGUACAUUCCCAAGGCUCCAUUUCCUCAGAGGUUAGCUAAAGGAAAAAAGGGAAAAUCCACAGGUGAGAUUCUCGAAAUCUUCAAACAGGUAAGUGUCAAUAUCCCUUUGCUUGAUGCUAUAAAACAAAUUCCAUCUUAUGCCAAGUUUCUUAAAGACCUUUGUACUAAAAAGAGAAAUAUGCAUGUUCAAAAGAAGGCUUUUUUAACAGAAAACGUUAGUUCUAUACUCCAACAUAAAAUUCCUUUAAAAUGCAAAGACCCAGGCUCCCCCACUAUCUCAUGUAGUAUAGGGAACCACACAAUUGAGAAUGCUUUGUUGGAUUUAGGAGCUAGUGUAAAUCUUUUGCCUUACUCUGUAUUCGUGAAACUUGGACUGGGAGAAUUACACCCAACUCCAGUGGUGUUACAGCUUGCAGAUCGGUCCACGAAAAUACCUCGUGGUAUUGUGGAGGACGUGCUUAUUCAGGUAGACAAGUUUUAUUUUCCUGUUGAUUUCAUUAUAAUUGACACUCAACCAAUACAGGACUCAAGGAAGCACAUCCCCAUUAUUCUAGGCCGACCUUUCUUGGCAACUGCAGAUGCUCAUAUUCAAUGUAGGACCGGAAAUAUGCAAUUGUCAUUCGGCAACAUGACUAUGGAGCUAAAUAUUUUCAACAUUGCCAAACAACCUCACAGUGCAGAUGAUGGAAUUGUUGAUGUGGAUUUAAUAGAAACAAUAGUUGAUAAUACUUUUCUUUCAAACCUUAAUGAUGACCCUUUACAGACAUGCUUAACUCACUUUGGUUUGGAUUUUGAUAUUGACAGAUCGGUUGAUGAGGUCAACGCUCUACUUGACUCAGCACCAUCCAUGGACACUAAUAAAUGGAAGUCAAGAGUUGAACAACUAGCACCAUCAGAGAAGAAACUCAUUCCAUCAUCAGAAUCACCACCGAAACUCGAGCUCAAACCAUUACCCAACACAUUGGAAUAUGCAUUUUUGGGGGAAGAAAGUACUCUGCCGGUAAUCAUCUCAUCAUCCCUUAAUGACGAAUAAAAAGGUAAGUUGUUGGAUGUUUUGAAAGAGCACAAAGGGGCAUUAGGAUGGACCAUAGCAGACAUAAAAGGUAUAAACUCUGCAGAUUGCAUGCAUUACAUUCACCUUGAUGAAAAUGCUAAAUCUACUAGGGAAAUGCAACGUCGGUUAAAUCCUAAUAUGAAAGAAGUUGUUAGAACAGAAGUCCUUAAGCUAUUAGACGCAUGUAUCAUUUACCCAAUUUCUGAUAGUUCAUGGGUCAGUCCUGUACAAGUUGUCCCCAAAAAGUCAGGAGUCACAGUAGUUACCAAUGCUGAUAAUGAAUUGAUACCAACUAGAGUAACUACAUGAUGGCGUGUAUGCAUUGAUUAUAGAAAGUUGAAUUCUGUCACACGUAAAGACCAUUUUCCUUUACCAUUUAUUGAUCAAAUGCUUGAUAGAUUAGCAGGCCAUGAAUUUUAUUGCUUUCUAGAUGGCUAUUCAGGAUAUAAUCAGAUUCCCAUAGCACCAAAAGAUCAAGAGAAAACUACUUUCACUUGCCCUUUUGGCACAUUUACAUAUAGGAGAAUGUCAUUUGGAUUAUGUAAUGCACCUGCUACAUUUCAACGAUGCAUGUUAAGCAUUUUUUCUGAUAUGGUUAAACGAUUCCUUGAAGUCUUCAUGGAUGACUUUUCUGUCUUUUUGAUUCGUUUGAUCAAUGUUUACAUCAUCUAACGCUAGUUCUGCAGAGAUGUACCGAGAAGAACUUAGUCUUGAAUUGGGAGAAGUGCCAUUUUAUGGUAAAACAAGGUAUUGUUCUCAGUCACAUCAUUUCGAGCAAAGGUAUUGAGGUUGACAAAGCCAAGGUGGAUCUCAUUUCUAAUCUUCCUCCACCUAAAACAGUUAGAGAAGUAAGAUCUUUCAUUGGGCAUGUUGGUUUCUAUAGACGUUUCAUUAAAAAUUUUAGCAAAGUUUCUAGACCCUUAUGCAAUUUACUUGCUAAGGAUGUACCUUUUAUCUUUAAUGAUUCAUGUCUUAUGGCUUUUGAAAAAUUAAAACAAUUGUUGACAUCACCACCCAUCAUUCAGGCCCCAAACUGGAGCUUACCAUUUGAGCUCAUAUGUGAUGCAUCUGAUUAUGCAGUAGGAGCAGUAUUAGGACAAAGAGUUGAUCGAAUUCCCCAUGUUAUUUACUAUGCUAGUAUGACAUUGAAUGAUGCACAGUUGAACUAUUCAACUACUGAAAAAGAAAUGCUAGCAGUAGUGUUUGCAUUGGAAAAAUUUCGAUCUUAUCUCAUUGGUUGUAAAAUAAUUAUAUUCACAGAUCAUGCUGCUCUUAAAUAUCUUCUCACAAAGAAAGAUGCAAAAGCUAGACUAAUUCGUUGGGUGUUACUUUUGCAGGAAUUCGACUUGGAAUUCAAGGAUAAGAAAGGCACAGAAAAUGUUGUGGCGGACCACCUCUCUCGUCUCCAUUUUGACACAAUUACAGAGCCAUUAAUAUUAAAUGAGUCAUUUCCAGAUGAACAAUUAAUGAGUGUGGAAGUAUUACCUUAGUAUGCUGAUAUAGUUAAUUAUCUUGUUACAGGUAAAUUUCCAGAGCAUUGGACCAAGCAAGACAAGGCUAAAUUCUUUGCGGAAAUAAAGAAUUUCUUUUGGGAUGACCCAUAUUUGUUCAAGUAUUGUGCAGACCAAAUUGUUAGACGAUGUGUCCCUGAAAGUGAAAUUCAGAAUAUCCUUUCAUUCUGCCAUGAACAAGCUUGUGGAGGCCAUUUCAGUGCUAAGAAAACAGCGACUAAAGUUUUACAAUGUGGUUUCUAUUGGCCAAUUAUAUUUCGAGAUGCUUACACUUUCUGUUCUUCAUGUGAUAGGUGUCAACGAAUGGGGAGUAUUAAACGAAGGAACAUGAUGCCACUAAAUCCAAUUUUAGUGGUUGAGAUUUUUGACGUAUGGGGUAUCGACUUCAUGGGACCCUUUCCCUCUUCUUUUGGCCAUCAAUACAUAUUGGUUGGUGUUGACUACGUUUCAAAAUGGGUAGAAGCAAUUCCAUGUAGAACCAAUGAUCACAAAGUGGUGAUAGGAUUUUUGAAAAGCAACAUUGUCUCACGCUUUGGAUUCCCUCGAGCAAUAAUCAAUGAUGGUGGUGCCCACUUUUGUAACAAAGCAUUCAAAGCUCUUUUGACAAAGUAUUCAAUCACCCACAAAGUGGCGACCCCUUAUCAUCCGCAAACCAGUGGCCAAGUUGAGAUCUCCAAUCGAGAAAUAAAGCACAUAUUAGAAAAAACGGUGAGGCCAGACAGAAAAGAUUGGUCAUUAAGACUUGAUGAUGCAUUAUGGGCAUAUAGAACGGCUUUCAAGACCCCGAUUGGGAUGUCACCCUAUAGGCUAGUGUAUGGAAAGCUUGCCACCUACCUGUGGAACUCGAGCAUCGUGCAUAUUGGGCCAUCAAGAAAUUCAACUUUGACAUGCAGCAAGCCAGCUCAGAAAGAAGAUUACAACUGGUAGAACUUGAAGAAAUUCGCAAUGAUGCAUACGAAAAUGCCAAGAUUUACAAGCAACGAAUGAAAGUCUUUCAUGACAAGCACAUUAUGAGAAAAUUGUUCACUCCAGGUCAGAAAGUGCUUUUAUUCCAUUCUCGUUUGCACUUAUUCCCAGGUAAGUUACGCUCUCGAUGGUCUGGUUCCUUUAUUGUUCAUACUGUUUUUCCACAUGGGGCAAUUGAAAUUAAGAACCCAAAGAACGGUGUCACGUUUAAAGUUAAUGGUCAAAGAUUAAAGCCAUAUCUAGAAUACCAACCACAUGGAGAAGACACCGAAAUAAAUUUGAGUGACCCACCAGAUUUGAAUUGAUUUGUUUUUUUCUUUUCGUUGAUUUGAUUUUUCUUUCUUUCUUUUUAUUAUUCUUUUGCUAAUUGAAAUUAUUUUUGCAUAAGUGUGUUUGUCUAACUAUUAAGUUUUCUCUUAUCAUUUUUAAUCAUGAGUACCUUACUUAGACCGUUCCUCCUGAACAUUCUUAAACCACUUCAACGUGUCAAAACUCAUCUCAAAAGGCAGAUUCAAUUUUGUAAAACACAUCGCAUUUGGGCUCUACAACCACCAGAGUUAGUAGCCUAUGUUGAGGGUUUAGAACGCCAACUCAGAGAUAUUGAGAGAAGUGUUUACGACAUCCAGUUGGAACUUGAGGUAAAUUCAAUAAGAGGACGAUUUUAAUUUUCUUUGUGUGUUUUGAUUUAUUUUUCUGUUUGUGUGAUUUAGUUUGUUACCCUGGUGAAGUGGCGGAUAACGGUACUCCGUGACAAUCAAGUCGGAUACUUCAGUUUCCCAUAAUAACUGACAUUCUGAGGUGAAAGUAUGGACAGAAACGAGAUUCUAGCGAAGCUUCACAAGCGAUUCCCUUCACUUCCUCAGAAUGCCCUCUUUACGAUCUAUAAAGCUCGGUCUGAAUGCAUGCGAUUACUCAUGAAGAAUAACAUACCUGCUGACAUCUGUUGGUUAAUCGAGGCUAAAGUACGAUCGGCAGGUGAGUUACCUCCAAAAUUUAUUGCAUUCAUGCCUGGUUGUGGUAAAGGAAAUUAUGCAAGAAAACGACGAGCUCGAAGAAUUUCUGUUGCUUGUCAUAAGUGUGCCAGAAUGAGUUGCGAUAGAAACCCAUGUUCUUUAGGAAUGGUGUCUGAUAACAGGGAAGAUAAGAUUCAAUUCAUUAGGGAUGGCUUGAAUAAGGAGUCAUUGGAUGAUAUUCUUUUGUCUCUUGAAACGCAUCCCAGUGGAUAUGUGCAAGGAGCGAUUCUCCAGUUGUGGCCAUUAUUCCAGGAAGAGCAUGCACGAUAUAGUCUCGGGAAUCUGACUAUAAACGACCAUGUUUGCCAGUUUAUAAGAAAACUGGAUAGGAAGCCUAUCCUCGACCCAUAGAGGGCGUUCAAGCCGUUUCUGGACGUAAAACUAGAGGAAGAUGUGAGCCACAGUCGCAAUUACGUGUAAAUAUCAUUUUACUUUACUGUUAUUUUAUUUCAUUUCACUGUUGUUUUAUUGUUUGCAUUAUUGUAUUUAAUAAUUUUAUUACUGUUUGCUUUUUCCUUUUUACUGUUUCCUUUUUGACUCGCAAGCCAUGUGCUUCACGCGUUAUUUCACACUGACAUCUUACCUCAUUCACAGCUGUGACCCACUAUCACCAAGAUUCUUAAAUGUGAUUUAUCUUUUGUCAAGCACUCACAAAUUGUUUUUGAGAAGUAUCACAAUGGCAGCUACUCCCAAUAGACAAUUCAAAAACAUUUGUGUGCUUUCUGGAUUUACCUAUGGCAAACAUAAAGAGUUCGUGGAGGCAGCCAUAGAUCUUGGUCGAAGCAUAGCAGCGAGAAAAUUACAUUUGGUGUAUGGAGGAGGUAACCGAGGGUUAUCAAAAAUGGUCUCGGAAGCAGCUUUUAUCAGAGGAAGUCAAGUGUUAAGCAUCAUCCCAAGAGUCCUAAAACCAUUGGGCAGUUCGUCUGACUCAUCAACUGGAGAAGAGUUAGUCGUCUCAGGUAUGCAAGAAAGAAUAACUGAAAUGCUUAAUCAUGCUGAUGCUUUUAUUUUCCUUCCAGGAGAUCUUGCAACACUAGAGGCACUUAUGACACUAGCAUCUUGGGCCCAUCUACACAUUCACCAGAAACCCAUCGGUUUGUUAAAUGUCAAUAACUUUUAUGAUGGCUUUAUCGCAUUUCUUAACCAUGCAAUAAAAAACUAUUUCAUUCCUUCUAAUGUGAAAAAACUCUUUAUUUGUGCUCACACUGCUAAUGAGCUACUUGAUAUGUUACAAGCUUAUAAACCGAAGCCAGACCCCUGGACCUUUGUGUUGGAGCGACCAAAUAAUGAUGGUAACAGUAGCCGCAGUAAGAAGUACAAAUUAGAUUUAACUCUCCGCCUGUAAAUAUUUUCUUCUGUGUUGCACCACCCAGGUGAUGUCUUCUAAACUCUACUUCUUUCCUUUAAAACAUUGAGGACAAUGUUUCGUUCUAGUUGGGGGGAGAGAAUAGUCGACAAUUGUGGAAUCUUAGUUAAGUUUUUACUGAUUUUUUGUUGUAGAAACUAACUGUUGCUAACGUUUUGUGUUGAAGAUGGCUGAAUAUGGAGUGUAGUGACUCUAGAAACGUAUCUUCAUCGUUUUAAAAAAAAAUUAAAAAAAAAAAUUCAAACAUUUUCUUUUUCUUUAUUAUGUGUUUAUGUUUAUUUUUCUUCUUUUUAAUUUCUCCUCUAUAAAUAUACAUUUUCCAACUUUUGAGUCGAAGAUGGCUGAAUAUGGAGUGUAGUUCCUCUAGAAACGCAUCUUCUUAAAAAAAAAAAAAAUCAUUUUCGUUUUCUAUCAUUUUACGUGUAACUUUUCUAAUUAGUUUUUAUGCAUCAUUUUCACAUUUCUGCAUGCAUAUUUUCAUUUCAUGUUUAGAAUAGGUUGGGGGAUAGAAUGUUGUUUAAAAAAAAAAAAAAUUGUGUUAUUUGUUUUAACAUUGGAUGACAUGAUUAAUUUCAAAUUUUAGUAUUUGUAUUAUCUUUGGUCUUAAGUGAUGUUACGCUAUGUUUGCUACUUUACAUGUUGAUGUCGGAGACAAAUAUGAGUUGCUUGAAGGAAUGAACAUGUCAUAAAUAAGUGCCAAGUGAGUUGUUGAGCCUAUCAUUUUCUUGGAGAGUAACCCUUUUGCCCAUUCUCUAUACAGCUUAGUAGUUUAUUAUUUUAUACACGAUCUCUAGAUUUCUUUUGAGUUAACCCUUUAAAAAAAAUGGUAAAAUUAAAAAAAAAAAUGUGUGUUGCUACAUUGGGAGGCCCAUCUAACCAGUAGAUAUGGAUAAUUAUUUAGAGCCCUAAAAGACGAUGGAAAGGCCAUCUUUGAUCCGUUUGAGCCUUUCUAGCCAUCCCUUUUAUUAAAUAUCCAUAGUUACCCCUUUUGAGCCUUUAAAAAAAAAAAAAAAAAACAUUUUCUUUGUCAACUUAUCAUCUUGACCCACUCCGAUUUGGAGUAUUACCCGAUGUCUUAUAAGUUCCAUCACCUAUUUAUGUUUGAGAAAAUGUAAAUAAUUAUGUUGUUCAGUGAAGUUAUGCCAAAUAAAAGCCAAAAAAAAAAACAAAAAAAACAAAAAAACAAAAGUUGUUGUUUCAAAAGAAUAAAAUAACAAUAAUAGGUGAAAUCCACCUUGCAACUUCAAAAAAAAAAAAUAUAUAUUUCUGCUUUUUUCUCAAACAUACACUUUGUUUCCUUAUUUCCUUUCUUUGUUAGCCAUAUCCCUAGCCUACGUUACGUCCUAAUAAAAGUCCUUCUUGAUUUUAGGGAACUAUAGUUUGAAGUAGAAGCUAGUUAUAUGGGCUAAAAAGAUGUAGUGAUGCAUAAUAAAAAAAGAAAAAAGAUAAAUAAAGUGGGUUGACUAACAUUUUAUUUGACUUGAGAUCGUAUUAUUUCUAAGCUGAGGGCAUAUUUAUUUCAUCUUGGUGAGAGCAUGUGAUAUCAUUUCUUUAUUAUUUUCUCUCUCAAUUACCAUUCAUUGGAGUGACUAUGUUUAUUGGGUUUUGAUUUCUUUGUGAGAGUGUCACUACUUCCAGUGAGAUUUUGGGGUUUGACAUGUCAUUCUUGAAAGUAGCUAUAACAAAGUCUACUGGGCCGAUUCAUGUGGAUGGUUGAUGUGGGUGUGAUAUUGCUUUAGACUGGAGAUAAUGCUUAUACUUUUAUUUGAUUGCUAUCAUUAAUCUGAUUGAAUAAACACGAGUGUUUCUAAAAAUAUAUAUAUAUAUAUAUUUUGAAUUUGAAUUUUGUUUUCGCUUUAUUUGCUAGGGACUAGCAAUAAGCUGGUUGGGGGGUGUGUUGAGUGUUAGAAAAUACAUAUUUAUAAAAGGAGAAAACCGUCAUUUUACAUUUCAAGUCUUACUAACAGCCCUUACUUUUAUAUAUUUAACCUUCUUGUGAUGUAAUUACGUGUGUGUUAUUUUAAUUAAGUAUUUUAUGUAUUUGAGGGGCAUUAUAGUCAUUUCACAAUAAAGGAGAAAUCAUACGGCAAAACGGACAUCACUUUUGAACUCAGGACGGUCGAAAACCUUAGGAGGAGCAUAAAAGGAAAAAUGGCACUAUUCACAUGUACGGUACUAUUCACGUAUACGGUACUGUCUACGUUACUGUUCACGACACUGUUCACAUACACGGAUCGAUGACGUGGCAUUGACCGAUGAUGUGGCAUUGACUGAUGAGGUGUCACGAUCCUGUUGGACUAAAAUUCUUAUGUACUGUUGACGGUGACGUGGCAGCAUAUCAGUGGACGAAAAAUCUCGCGUACGGUGCAUGCAUCACACAGGAUUAUUUUCAACCCAACCGUGUUACUGUUCAUCCAGGUCAAACCAUGUUACUGUUCAUCCACGUGGUCAAACCGUGGACUGUUGACUGAUGACGUGGCGCAAUCCUGAGCGUCCAAACUAUUUUUAAUCCGAUGGCCAUGAUUUACUCCAUGUAUCUAUAAAAAGGGGGCCUCCCCCCCCCCUAAUUUGAUAUCUCUUAAUCCAUUUUUGGGAUCCAUUUUCUGUAAUUCCCUCUCCAUCUUGUAUUUUCUUUGUAUUUUAAUAAAUUCCCAUUUUGCCCCUAGUUCAAUUAUGAGUAACUAAUUUUCUUUCAAGCUUGGGUUGAAGGUGAAGUCUCAACAUGUGUCAUGGGCUUAAUUUGGUAAAUUUAUUUUCUCUUCCCCUCUAGUUUUUGUGGAUGUUUUGACUUCUCGUCGACAAAUAAUAAUAAUCUUGUCUAGAUACCGCCUUGGUUACACCGGCUCUCUAGUAUAAGGUUAUUAUUAUUUGGCACGAUAAGCCCUUAGCACCAUAUUGAUUAGAGCGUGGUUCAUGAGGUGUGGAUUCCCCCCUCAUGAUUUAAUUGGCAUUAAUACGGAUUAUUUAGCCCAUGAUGCAUGUUGAUACGGAUCCAGAUACCCAAGUACGUCAAUUUAAUCGAUUUUCUCUACAAUUUAUUCUCGCCAUUGCAAUUCCAAUUUUAGCAUAUUUAUUAUCGUCAUUUCAAUUCCAAUUUUAGCAUAUUUUAAAUCACUUCCACCACAAUUCCAACCACCCAUUUACAUAAUUAAUUCUACACACAAUUAAAAAUCCACCUCCUCGUGGGAUCGACACUCAUCACCAUUGAUCUAUACUACAAUAGAUUCGUGCACUUGCGAGUACAUUAAAAUUUGCACAACAAUGACUCUAAUCCAACGAUUGGGAUUUUAAAACUGAACAAUGAUGUGAAGUGGGCAAUUGUACAAUGACGUGAAGUGGGCAACUGUCCAAACCCGUUUCAGCUACCAAAUUAGUUUUAGGGUUUUAUAAACCCUUGCUCGUAUUUCAACAAACGUCAGUGAAAUUUUUCAAGCAGUAAUAUUUUCUUAAUUCUGGAUAACUGUAACUGAAGCAGUGAUGCCGCGAAUUUUUAAAGUGGAUUAUGGUGACUUGUAGUUUGUUGCGGUAGUAUUGAAUGAAACGAAAGGGAUUGCGUAUACUAAAACUUAAGGUAAGUGUAUUUUUAAUAUGAGAUUUUUUAUGUGAAUCAUUUUUUUAUCAUAAUAUAGUUGGUAGGAAACUAGAUUUCAUACUGAUAAUGGAAAAAUUGGGGAGCAAAAAUUUUUUUUAAAAUAAAUUUAUGGAUAUUUUCUCAACAAUAUAGUAAUGUUUAUUUUAGUAAUUUCAUGUAUUAAAAUGAUAUUCGAAUCCAUAGCAAUAAGUCCCAGUUAGCUUGGGUUUUAUUAAGUUUUACAAUGAACAUUUUCAAAAUUAGGAACAGGAAAAUUAAUAUUCCAACAACCAAUAUAGUAGAGUCCAUGGUUAGCAUUAAGAUGGUAACACAGGCAAAUGAUACAUGCUUACCCUUCGUUCCAGAUCUCCUCUGUUUAUUUUUUCCCCCAAUUUUUUUGUUUGUUUUGGGGUUAAUUAUAUGUAUUUGUUUUGUGCUGGACUAGGAAUGUAAGCUGUAUGAUGCUAUGAACUUUAGUUUGAUUAUAAUAAAUAAAGGUAUCGUUGAAUUUCAUAAAUUAAGUUGGUGGGAAGUAAUAAGCAUAAAUCAUGUGAGAUUGAUGGCGGUGCUAGAGAAGUUGGUGGUGAUCAAAGCAUUAAAGGAAGAAUAAAAUGGCAAUGUCGUGAUGAGUUCAUAAGACAUUUGUAAGCUUAGUUAAAGGUUCAUUAAAAUUUAUAGAGAUACAUAAUUUCGCAAUCAUAUGAUGAUAUUGCAGCGGUGAAGUCGUGCAUGAGGUUAAGGCAAGUGAUGGAAUGACUUGCGUUACAAAAGAGGUAUGUGAAGUUGCACUAUAAAAAUAAAAUGAAUUUGUAUUUUCAAGUAGUGAACGUGUAGUUAGUUUAUUUGCCAUGAUUGUGUACUGGACGGAAUUGAAUCCAUGUUUAAGAAUUUACCACUCGAAAGAAAAUGUCAAUACAAAGUCAAUGCGAAUGAAUAGUGAAGUCAGCAGUCGCAAAGGCAAAGUUCUUAACCAUAUGUACUCCAGAUAGAUUAGCGGUGGCAGUUUCACAGCUGACAGAUGAACAAAGAGUGGCUGCUUGUCAAAUGGGCUUUGGUAGUUAAUUGAGAUGAUUGAUACUGUGAGGUGCAUUUUAGAGUUGAAUGGUAUUAGCUUUCGAACAAGAUCAUCAAAGAAACUUCACCAACCAGGAAAUUUAGACUUAAUCUAUGCUCCGCAAAUUCAAAUAUUCUCUAAUAUGAAACUUCUUUUAUGUGCUUGUAGUAUCUCGACGAAUUAAAACUUGCUAUCAAAGUUCUUCCCCCCUUCUUCUUUCAUUUAUACUUGCUGCACCAUUUACUUCACACUCUGUAAAGCCAGAUGAAAGCUUGUUCAUUUAUGUUCACUUGCCAUUCAAAUGCAGUGUUUAUUUCAACUGUCAAAUUGACUACUUGCACGUAUUGAUUUCAGUCGAAACAAGGUUAUUGGUCGAUCAAGAAAUUGAAUCCAUAUGGCCGUUCCAGCGUUAUUCAACCACCUAAUUUCAAAUAUAUGAAUUAGUUCAACCCACUUCAGUGAUCAAAGGCGUGGAACAAAUCAUGAAAGAUUUUUCAGCUAUCAUAAAUUCGAACGGAUGUAGUUUGUAUCCUUUCAGGCUUAGACAGAUUUUCCUUCCAUUAACCUUACAGUGUUGUAAUUAAAAAAAAAAAAAAACUUACAGUGUUAGUAAUCUUAUUACUUGUUUUACAGCUACAAUAGUAUGCCGAAAUUUUUGGCUUUUGAUACAUAAACUUGUAUGUAAUGUACAUUUUAUUGUUCCUUACAACUUAAUUGCUGCUAAAAUAGUUGUUUCAACUAAUAUAUUUAUUGUUAUAAUAGAUAAACAUUUUCUUGCAACUCAAACAGUUCUGAUGGCAUGAUUUGCCAUCAAACGGCAACUUCGUUACAGACAAAAAGAGGGGUACAGUGCCCGGCGCACCGUAGGCGCAGCCUAAAAAGAUGAUUUAGUCUCUCCAAAUCUUAGCACUUUAACCAAAAAUAUAAUAAUAAUUCUUUACAUCAUCAUUCAUUGCACUUGUAAAUCUGAGGGAUUAGAAUUCUGUACUGAAUUUAUUUUUUAUUAAAUAAAAAAUUAAUGUUAAAAUUUAUUUUAUUUUAUUUUUUAUCUAACUAUCAUUGACUUAAUAUUUUGGAUCUUUAUCCAAAGUCAAGGCACAAAAUUUUUAUUCUAAAUAAAUAUUCUCAAUAUAAAUUUAUCACUUAAAUAAUAAAUGAUACGAUUUAAUAUUAAUUCUGUCGUCAUUACUAAAAUGAAUCACAAAUUUUACAUGACGUGUAAACGUAUCAUUAUGUUCUCGAUAUUUGACAUAUGAAUUAUAAAGCAACAAAUCUAUCAUAUUUUUAUUUCGGUAUUGUGCUUCUCUAAAUAUAACCCUCUCCAAAGCAGCAUAAUUCUUUUCAUUGUACCCAUUGCUUCACUUCCUCUUUUCGUCAACGACAAUGGGUAACUUAAUCUCAACCUUCUUACCAGCAGACUUAUUUGAUCGAACUUCAAACUGCGUUGGUGAACAAGCAAAAUAUGUAUGGGGCCUCGAAAAAAAUCUUCGGGUCUUGGAGACUGAAUUGCACAAAUUGACUCGAGCAAGGGCCGAUCUGAAGACCAAGGUUGAGAUCGAAGAACAACGACCUCGAACCAGACGAACGAACCAGGUCGCAGGGUGGCUUGAAGAUGUGCAAAAACUGGAAACUGAAUAUACCGAGCUGGAACGAGAUAGAGCUCAAGAAAUGGAUAGACUGUGCCUUGGAGGCCUCUGUUCCAAAAACUUCGUUUCAAGCUACAAUUACGGGACUCAGGUGGUCGAGUUGACGGAUCGAGUGAUCAAUUUAAAGAAAGACGGAGAAAAAAUUGAAGUCGUUGUUGAGAAGGCGCCGGAUGGUGCAGCAAUUGAAUUACCUCUUGAUCACACGGUUGUUGGUCAAGAACUAUUACUUGGUCAAGUUUGGAGAUGUAUCACUGAUCAGGAAAAGAAGAGGGGAAUUAUCGGCUUGUAUGGUAUAGGGGGAGUCGGCAAAACUACCCUUUUAAAACAAGUCAACAACAACUUCUGCCAUCAACAGCAUAAUUUUGAUGUUGUUAUCUGGGCGGCUGUGUCAACACUUCAAGAUGACAUUGGAAAAAGGAUUGGCUUUUCAGAAGACAGAAACUGGAAGGAAAAAAGUCUUCAAGACAAGGCUGCGGACAUCGCUAGAAUUUUAAGCGGAAAGAAGUUUGUGUUGUUAUUGGAUGAUAUAUGGGAACGCAUUGAUUUAACACAAUUGGGUGUCCCUCUUCAAAAACUAAAUGAUGGGUCCAAAGUAGUCUUGACAACUCGUUCAGCUGGUGUUUGCGAUCAAAUGGACGCUGAAAAGGUGGAAGUGUAUAGUUUGGCGCAUGAUAAAGCCUGGGAAUUAUUUCAGGAGAUGGUCGAUAGAUCCACUCUUGAUAGUCAUACCAGUAUUCCAGAGCUAGCCGAAGCCUUGGCAAGAGAGUGUGGUGGGUUGCCGCUAGCGCUUAAAACAGUGGGUCGAGCCAUGAAAAGCCAAAGGAAAGUUGGAGAUUGGAAACGUGCAAUUCACAAAAUGACAACAUCAGCUUCUAAAUUCUCAGGUAUGAAAGAAGAGGUGUUUUCGCGUUUAAAGUUCAGCUAUGAUAGUUUGUCUACGGACGAACUUCGUUCCUGUCUCCUGUAUUGUUGUUUGUACCCUGAAGACUCCGAAAUUCCUAAAAGGCAAUUGAUUGAUUACUGGAUUAGUGAAGGAUUUGUGUGUGAUUUUGAUGAUGGAUGCGAUUUUAUUGAUGACCUUCUUCAAGCAUGCUUAUUGGAGGAAGAAGGCGAUGAUCAUGUAAAGAUGCACGAUAUGAUUCGUGAGAUGUCAUUAUGGAUAGCGUGCACGGUAGACAAGGAGGAGCAGAACUUUCUGGUUCACGCUGGAGUUGAAUUGACCGAAGCACCAAAGUUUGAAGAAUGGGAAGGUGCCAAACGGGUAUCUCUGAUGGGAAAUGGAAUUAGGAGCUUAUCGGAAAUUCCCACGUGUCCGCGCCUCGUAACUUUACUUCUGGGUGGAAAUCGGAUUGAGGAGAUUACUGAUGGCUUCUUUCAAUCUAUGUCGACUCUUAGAGUAUUAAGUCUACGAAUAAAUAUUUCCCUAAGGAAACUACCCUCAGGUAUACGCGGGUUGCCGCAAGAGCUGAAGGCGUUGGAGAAGUUGAGAUAUUUGAACUUGGACUAUACACGGUUUUUGUCUAUAAUUCCACAUCAGUUGAUAUCUGGCUUUUCAAAGUUGGAGGUACUCAGGUUGUUUGGGUGCGGUUUUUGGGUUGUAACAGAAGAAGAAGGUAACGUUCUAUGUGAAGAUGCUGAACCUUUGAUGAAGGAAUUGCUGGGUUCGAAGCAUUUAAAUGUUUUAAGCUGGACCUUCCGAAGUUCACUUGGUGUCCAAAACUUUUUGAAAUAUCCAAAGCUGGUGAGCAUCACUCAAUCUGUAUUGGUUAAAUCUGGCGUACAUACAAGUCCACCGUUCAAUGUCUUACAUCUGGCAUACAUGGAGAAUCUUCAGAAGUUCGAACUUGAAUCCUGUAAUUUGGAAGAGAUGAAGAUUGACAGCACAGAAGAGGUAAAGAAGCUUUUUCAAAGUGGUUUCCGCAGUCUGAACACGGUUAGCGUACAUUAUUGCAGAAAAGCGAAGGACUUAACGUGGCUUGUUUUUGUUCAAAACCUCAAGGUGCUGCGUAUAGGUGAUUGUUAUGAUAUGGAAGAAAUAAUUAGUGUUGAUAAAUUGAGAGAUAUUUCGGUGAUAAUCGGGUCAGAGCAUAACUUUUUCGCACAACUCGAAUAUCUAAGCAUAAGUUGGGGAACAAAUUUAAAGAGCGUUUACCCGAAUCCCCUGCCCUUUCCAAAGCUGAAGAAAAUUGACGUAUGUCAUUGCCCACAGCUGAAGAAGCUCCCACUCAAUUCCAGCAGCGCGAAGGAACGUCGAGUUGUCAUCGAGGGAGAGAAAAAAUGGUGGGAAGAGCUACAAUGGGAGGAUCAAGCCACCCAAAAUGCUUUCUCUUCCAGGUGUCGUACUUGGGGAUGAUUUUCAUUAAUAUGUUUGAAUAUGUAUUUCUUUUCUUUUUUUUUUAAUUUUCAUUAGAUUUAAUUGCUUCUUGUUCUUGUUGUCUGGUGUGUCAAUCGUUCCCUAUUUUCAGUUAAUAAAAUUUCAGCAGUGGAUUCUUGGUUUUAGAAUCCUCCCACUGGAAAGAAUUCUUGCCAUAGAAUUGCACGAUUUUGAUGACUUGUAGAUUUAUUGCUCAGCGACUAUCUUUUUUUCUUUCUUUUUUUUUUCCACAUGAAGUUCAGUAACUACUUCCGAGGUUAAUUAGAUCUAACUCGUUCAGCACGAUUUAUUGUUUUUAACACCAGGCCAGGCGCCACUGGGCUACAUCAUUGCCGUCAUAGUUGCCUUCAAAGUUAAACAUGACUAUGAGGGCAAUGGUUCAAGUUUCCACGGACUCAACCUCCCUCAAUUAAAUAUAAUUGUGUGAAGACUUCUUAUAACGUCUUUCUCCCUUGUGAAAUGCGAGUGGAGUAGAGACAUCCUCCUCCGUGAGGAGUAUUUAGAUAGGCAUGUACUUUAUAGAAUAAAAAUGUAAUAAUAUAAGUCUUAUGUAUAUAUCUAAUUGUAAAUAUCAGUGUAAUAACAUGUUGUCAUAAUAGUUGUAUAUAUAUGAUGCUUAAUCAGUUAAAAAAAAAAACACCAGGCCAGGCAUCCACAAAUAUAUUGACACCGUUUUAUUUAUUUAUUAAUGUUUAUAAAACUGAAUUGAUUACAAAUUACCCUUUUUGUCCAGUGUGUUCAGUACUUCAGUAUAUACUCUGCACAACUAACACAGAAAAUAAACAUGUACACAUGCUAAUAGAAAACACAAAGGCCUUUUUCUUUUCUUUUUUUAAUCCCGAAAAGGGUUAUAGUUAACAACAAACUAAUAAUAGAAGAGAGAGAAAUAACGGUAAUAUUUUAUCUUCCUUUUAACUGCUCUCCUUUGGCUUAUAAUGCGACCUUUACACUCGUGGACAAAAUUGUAUUUGUCGCUUAAGUCUUGUUUGUUUUAAAAUGCUGGCAUAUUUAUGGAGUGGGAACCCAGAUGCUGAACUCAUAGUAAAUAUUUAUUUAAUUUGUUAUAAUUAUAUUUGGUGGGAUAAUUUUAAAUACUAAUUUAACAAGAUAGUGAUGUUUGCCUUGCCCUACGUGAAAAAAAAAAAAGUAAUUGAAGAUUUUUCUUUUCCUUUAUAUUAGUAAUAGAUUUCAAAUGGAAAACAGACAAAUUUCAUUUUUGUUUCAAUAAUUACCCUAUCACUGUGUGCGUGCGUGAUCACAUAAUUUUGUACUACCGUUUGUGGAAUAACUUUAGGAAAAGAAAAUUAAUUUUUUUUAAGCAACGAUAAAUAUUUUAAAAUUUUAUUUUAAAUUGUUUUCUUCUCUUAUCAAUUGUUUUUUUCUCCUAUCUUCCAAUAAAAGUGCAGGACCUCAAUUAUUUUAAUAGAGAUGUAGUAAUAAAUUAUUAAUAAAACAUGUCAAAUCCAAUGUAUAGAUAAUAAUAAAAUGAGGCUAAUAUAUACAUGGUUUCAAAAAAGUUAGCACAUGCUUGUUGCAAAUAUAAAAAAUUAUCUUAAAAGUCUCUGAACUUUUGUGUUCUCUUUAAUAUUUUUCUCUUAUGUUGUUAUUGUACUAUAUGGAUACAAGGGUGCGUUUGGCACGCUGUAUUAUAUUAUGUUGUAUUGCAUUAUUUUAAUGCAGGUGUAUUGAAUUAUGUUGUGUUGUAUUAGUAAUGUAUUAUAAUAAUGUUGUACAAUGUUUGGUACUACAUUGUACUGUAUUAAUUUUUUGUAACUAAUUUAAAUUAUAUAUUUAGAAAAUACUAAUGAAUUGUGCUAAACAAUCUAAUAAUUAUAUAUUUUAUUAAUUUUUAAUUAAUAUUAUUCAAAUUUAUUCAUAUUUAAAUAUUUAUUAUUAGUUAUAUUAAAUUAUUUAAAAAUACCUUGUUUAAUUAUUUUAAUAUAAUUAAAUAAUAUAAUAUUAUAUUAUUUAAGUAUUUAUUAUUAGUUAUAUUAACUUAUUAAAAAUCAAUCAAUUAUAUAUAUUAAUUAAUAUAAUUUUACAUAUUAAUUAAUAUAAUAUAAUUUAAUAAUACAUUUUUUAGUUGUACAUUUACUAUAAUAAAAAUUAAAAUAUAAUAUAAUAUUAUUAAACAAUAAAUUUAUUAAUUUAUAUUAAAAUUAUAAUGUAAAAAUAAUAUUAUAUAAUAUAAUAUUAAAUUAAAAAUUAUAUUCAUUUAUUAUUAUUACAAAGUAUAAAAAAAAAAAAAAAAAAGGAAGCUAAAGUUAAUGCGGUAACUGGACGCAUUAGCUAAACCCGACUAUAUGUCGGGUUUAGCUAAUACAGCCAUUUGGUACCCCAAACAUGGGGGUGCAUUGCUAAUGUAACAUAACAUACUUUUUUUUUUCUAUAUAUAUAUAUACACUACGUGGAGGUGAGCUCCUUAAUGUGAGAUUUAGCAAAAUUAUAAAUUAUUACAACAUGAAAUUUAUUCUUAUUUAUAAUUGGCCUAAUAUAAAUUAGGACCAUUACUUUUAUAGCUAUAUGAAAUUAUUCUUAUAUAAAAUAUCACUACAUAAAUGUUUUAUUGCAAUAUUGAUCUCUUUUUUUCUUUAUUGUAUUUAUCUCUUCAUAAUCUUUUCCUUUUUAUAAAAAAAAAAAAUCAACUAAAAGAUUCAUCAACAUCUCAGUCCAACAGUCUACUAGCGAAAAUGAGUGUCCAUGCUUUUGAACCAAGGCCCAAUAUGUGAGGGAGAGAUUGUUGGGCUGUCUUAUAUCGGUUGUGAACUAGGAUGGUGGUGAUUUUACAAGUGUAAGGGAAAGCCUCACCCCUUAUCCAUCUUUUGGGAUUGAAUGAGACCCAAAACCGCUUAACAUGAAUUCUAUCACUAGGAUUUUUACCCAGUAUAACAAACAUAACAACACAAUGAAUUACCAAUUUAUCACCUAAUGGCUCUAACUUUAGUGAUGAUCACCUUACAUGAACAUGAAAAUUAAUCCCAUUGUUUAACUCAACAAUGUCGAUAAUCACUUAAACUCUUAUGCACCAAAGGAUAUACUCAGCUACAGGGAAUCUUAACUCAUAAAGAUGCUCCCAAAUCUUCCAUUAAGUUUCCAUCGAACAACUAUUCAUAUCAUUUGAUGAAAAAUUAAUUUUAGUGGGGGCCAAAAGAGCACGAGUGAUCCAAACCACUAAACAACAUCAUAACCAACACAAAAUUUAUACUAAACAAACCAUUACCAAAACAGCAAAGCUAGACAUAAAUUUGAACAGAUACACAAGCUACAUUCAUUACCAUAAUGUAUCGACUAAAUUUCCAAGCUCUACAUUUUGAACAAAGAAUUUAUAACAUUAUAUAAUCUAAUAAAUUAAUAUAGAAAUAAAAUUGGCAUCAGAUCAAAUUACUAUUAAUGUACCUUGCAUAAACCAUUCUCUUCUAUCGGCAUUCACCUCCGCGCUCGAUUGGCUCUCCUGUGCUGCUUGUCUAACUGAUUAGUGGCCAUUAGUGGGAAACCUUUAUAACCUGCACUUAGAGCCCUAGAGCAUGUGCAAUAUGCCAGAUAUGCUUUGAGAGCUAGUGGGAGAUUGUUGGGAAAUUAUGCUCUUUAAAAGCAUAUGUGUUUAUUUAAUUGUAAUAAACAAUUUUUCUGAUUAAUAAAAUAAAUGAGGUAUUUUAUUCAAAUAUCUUAAUUGCAUUAAUAUUUGUAUUAAAGUCCAUUUAAUCAUAUUAUAUGUAUUUAUGUGAUCACCAUGUGGAUUCACAGAAGACAUAAAUACAAGUUAUCUUAUGAUUAAAUAAAUUUAGUUUGCAGUUGAUAAAUAAAGUUGGGCACUUUAUUUAGGUAUAGACUGUAAUAAAUUCAUUGAAUGAUUUGUCUUAAUCAUGUAUGAAUUUAUUGAUGUAGUACGACUACAUUGAACAGGAUCACAUAUGAGAUUUAAUUAACUUUGUAAUAACUGUCAGACUUAUUAAAUCUCAUAGGCGUUGAUUUUACUGUAAUCUUAAUCUUGAGUUAAUUAUGAUUUCAUGAUUGUAAUUGUUAUUUCAUUUGAGUUACCAAUGGGCACGACACAUCCUUGUGGUCAAGAUUACCCGGUAUCUUGGUGGGAGCAAUUAUGAGUAUUGGAGUUAUGGAUUAACAAUAUAGAAUUUUUACAACACAUCUCUUGAUAGGUUUUCGGUACUUGAUCAUAGAAUUCUCUGGCCAGAGUGUGUCAACUAUUUAGUAUGUUGAAAAUGAUCAUUAGAGAAAACCAGUAAGGAUCAAGGAAUAAGAUGUUAUUAAAUUGAUUAGACAGUUGAGAUAUCAAUUUAAUUAACGAUGUGGUACAAAGGAUUGUGCAGUAAAGAAAUUAAUGUGGCUUGGGACGAAUUAUUAUUCGAGCAUACAAUUAUGGAAGUCAGUUCCAAUCUUUUAGUGGAGUAGAUUUGGAAUUAAAUAAUUAUGCUAGUUUAAUUACAGACCUAAUUGUUAUAGCCACUAUUGUAUGUUCCCAAAUGAUCCCCGGGUUAGCUCAUUUAAUUGACUGCACCACUACUGGACUAAUAAGGAAGAUAACUAGUUAUUUAGGUCAAAAGCCUAAAUAUAUCAUUUAGUGGGAGGCUCCAUUUAAUUAGCUUAUGUGUAAGGGGCCUUAUGUUAUUUUACAUGGUGGGUCCCCUAUUAAAUGAAAAGUACGGGAGUUUUAUUUAUGGCAUUAUUUGAAGCCUAGGGUUUUCACUAAAGGGAGAUAUAUAAGGCUUAUUUUCUUAAAAGAAAAAGAAAAGCCACUUUAUACAGAUCAGAGAAUAAGAUUUUUCUCUCUAUUGUUGAGAGAAAAAUGUUCUCGUGCUAGUUGCUUUGGUAGUGAUAAAGGCGCCCACACGUCAAGUGCAAAUCGAACCUGAGUCAUAACCUAGAAGAUCAUUGGUGACAUAUCGUGAUCUAACAAGCGUGGUGGUGACAGAUCGUGAUCUAAUAGGAGUGGUGGUGGCGGAUCGUGAUCUAGGAGCCUAAAUCACUUCAGCGGAAAAAGCCAACUCGGUUUUUCAAGGUACGAUUUCUAGAAUACAAAUUCUUAUAUAUUAUAUGAGAGCGAUCUUCAAAAGGUUUUAUAAAAAUUUAAAAACCUAAUUUUUCCCCAACAAUUGGUAUCAGAGACAUCUCAUAUUAAUAUAUAAGAAUUUCGUAUGAAAUCAUUCUUGAAAUUUAUGUAUUAGAGUGGCACAAUUUAUUCAGAUGUAUAUUAUUUAUUUAAUAUAUGAAUAAAGCAUGCUUAUGGUUUGUCUUAAUUCAUGGUUAGAUUUUCCGUUGUAUUUUUUCUUUGGAUCUGUAACAAGAGGGGUGAUUUUUUAUCAUCAUGUUUCCCUCUUGAUUUAUUUUACUGUUAUAGAAUUUUUGUAAGCCAAAAAUUGGCCUAGGAAAUUUAUAAAUUAAUCUCGGAUUUUCAAGAUCAAAGCGACGGAGGCCGGAAAUUUUGACAGCGGCAACAAGCAGCAAGCAGCGCGCGUCCAGCAGCACAUGCUGCCAGCAAGCGCGCGCUGCACGCGCAGCGGCAGCAGCGCGCGGCUCACAGCACACGCUGCCCGCAGCGCGCGCUGCAAGCCAGCAGCCAGCGCGUGCUGCUCGCGCAGCCAGCAACGCACGAUGUGCGUGCAGCAGCUAGCGCACGCUCGCGUGCAACAGCCAGCACACGCAGCAGGCAGCGCGAGCAGGAGCUUUCCGUGCAGCGCGAGGGAGGUGUUUGGUACGUUUCCGGCUUGACGGCGGCAGCUAAAUCAGUGUCGGACUUGGAUGAACAGUGACUGCUUUGUGGAGAUGGCGGCUAGGGAAGAAAGAAAGAAAAAUAUGAUUUUAGGGUUUCAUGGUUUUUAUCAUGAAGGUCCCUAUGGUUUCAUAAGUUUUCCUUCGGGCAGAAAUGUUUCAAUUUUUUGCGUUUAAAUCCAAAAAUAGUUUUGGGCUUAAUGUAUCCUAGUUUUAGGCCCAAUUUCAAUUAGGCUUAAUGGAUUAAAAUGCAUAGAUAAAAUUGAAUACAUUAAAUUUAUUUUUGGUCCAAAAGUUUUAUUUUAAUAAAUUUUUAUUUUAAUUAUUUAUUUAUUUUCUUUCCAAAUUAAAAUUAGACCAAUUAUAAAUUUAAAAGCCCAAUUUCUCCUAGUCCAUUAACAAAAACAAGAUUAUGGAAGAUGGACAUUUACAAGAAGCCCAAUGAAGAUUAGGCUUAGGGUUAAUGUAUUUUUUCAUUAUUAGGAAAGCCAUGAAUUAAGAUUAUUUAAUUGUUUUUUUUCUAUAUGUUAUGUUUUGGAUGAUAACAUGCCAUGAUAACAUGUCAUAUAAAAUAGGUAGUGCCACUCUAUGCAUAAUGAUACAUGUCAUUCAUUAAUUAUGAAUUUCAUUAUAUUGUUUGAAAUUUGCCUAUGCUUAAUAAUAUUGGACAUCAUCUAGAUAAUGUUAUAGGAAGCAUGCAAUUAACAAUAUGUAUAUUUUAAAAGGAAAAACCAAUUUUAUAAUAUUGAGUGGGAGAGGGAAAAUUCAAGAUAAUUUUUCCCACGGGCUCCAUUGUUAGUUCAAUAAUAAAAUUAUAUAUAUACCUCGACUUCAUGAUACGGUGAUGCUCCCUUCGGAGGGUAUAUAUAUUAGAUAUUUUAUUUGAUGAACUUCUUCAAAGAUAAAAUCGAAAUAUUUUUCAAUCGAUUGUUCACCCCAACGGUGACUAUUGAUAUGAAAAAUACGUAGAUUGAAACAAUGGUUAUACACUCAACUAAAGUUUGUUAUUAACCUUCCCAACGAAGCUCUGUUAACAAAUUUAGGCCCAAAGGGAUAACGAUAAUUAUUUAUCAUGUCUCUACAUGAAAGUAAAUAAUCUAAUGGAUAAUUGGGUCUAGUAAGUGUAGACAUGACUUCCCCAACGGAUAGCUUGUCAAAGCGGUACUAGAUUAUCAUUACAAUAAAUUAAAAUGCAUUUAUGAUUUUUUGUAUUUUUGUCAUUUAUUGUGAAUAUUGUUUCAAAGUAUUUAUGCAUGUGUAUUUUGUUUUUUCAGAAAAUGUCUUCCAUCAACCCAUUAUUAAUUAUCCUUGUUAAAAAUGAACUCACUGGCGAAAAUUAUUUAGAUUGGAAACCAAUCUAUUUAAUAUUCUCACUGCUAAGGGAAACAAAUAUGUGUUGACCCAGCUUUGCCCUCCUGAACCAUCGUUAUACGAUUAUAGAAAUCAUAGGGAGCCUUAUGAGAAAUGGUGCGAAGCUAACAAAAUGGCUAAGCGCUAUAUAUUGGCUUCGAUUUCUGUGGAACUGCAUAAGAAACAUCGGAGCAUGGAAACAGCCACUGAAAUUAUGGCUAGUCUUCAUCAGAUGUUUGGGCAAAAUACCCAUUUUGCCAGAGAAGCAGUAUUAAAACGUAUUACGGAUACUAAGAUGGAAGAGGGCACAAAAGUUCGUGAUCAUGUCCUCAAAAUGAUGGACUAUUUGAAUGAGGUAGAGAUUCAUGGUGUUCAAAUCAAUGAUAAAUCAAAGAUUAACAUGUUGAUUGAAUCUUUACCUGAUACAUUCAAAGAGUUUAAGGUCAGUUAUAUCUUAAACAAUAAAGAUAUGACGGUAAUUGAAUUAAUGCACGAACUACAUGCUAUAGAAGAAUUUUAUAAUAGCAGAAAACUUCCUGAAAAAGGAUUCUCUUCAAGGCUUAAGUCGAAAGACAAGAAUGAGCAAGCAAGAGUUGGGAUCGGCAAACUGUCCACUAAAAGAAGUGACAAGCCAAAAGGCAAGUGUUACAAAUGUGGACAUAAGGGUCACUGGAAGAAAGAUUGUCCUAAGAUUAUUAAAAUCAGGUAUAGGAAAUCUUUAAGCUUCCUAAUUAGUUCAGAUUUCUAUUGAUUCAUACAAUAAUGAAUUCUGAGAUAACUAAUCUUAUUUGUAAUUCAUUUAUUUGGUUUUCAGGAAACCAAGAGAUUAAGUGAAGAAAGCUUCAAACAGCAGUUGAGGACGUGUUAGUUUAUAUCAAUUGAAAGACUAGAUCAAUUUUACAAGACUUUAGUUUUGAUAUUUGUCUUUAUUUUUCCAAAUAUUAGAGGAAUUUAAUUUCGGUGGCUUGUUUUAAUAAACAGGAGUACACUGUUAUUUAUGGAUCCUCUGUUUAUUACUUAUUUUGGUUAUUUAUAAAGACAAUUUAUAUCAUAGAAGUACAUUGAUCUAUUCAAAGUAAGAUAUAAUGAUAAAAAGUAUAUGCAUUUAUCUAAGAAAAGAAAUGUUUCUUCUAACCAAAAAUCACCUCUGAUAUUUAUGCUUAAGUCAUAUAAACUAUAAUAAGAUUUUAAGACAAUGAUUAAUGAUAGACUUGUUGGCCUAUUAAGAUUGAUCAUUGUAACUCUAUAAAUCUUAUUUAGAAAAGUAAUAUGACAAGGAUGCUCUUUUUUGAGCUAAAAACAUAACAUUGUAUUUGAUGAUUUAGCGCAUACAAAUAUAUAUGGACUAAUCAGUUUACAUGUUAUAAGAGGUUAUGAGUAUUCUAUCAAUCUUGUUGAUGAAUAUUCAUUUUUAUUUAUGUUUGUCUAAAUGCGUCAAGAUUCAAUUGCUUUUGAAAUUCAAAAGAGUACGUGGAUAAGACAGAAGCAAUUAGACAGGAACAUAAAAGAACUUUGAUAUGAUCGAAACAAAGAAUAUCUCUAUGGAGAAUUCAAGCACUAUUUGGUUAUCAAUGAACACUAUGAUACAAUAGUGUAAUUAAAUGGAGAAACAAGAUUCUUUUGGAUAAGACAAUAUAUAUACUAAGUGGUUUAUCAUUUACCUUUUUGAUUCCAGAUACUAGUAUUUGAAACUACAAAGUUUUGUUGAACUUAGUUUCAUCUAUCUCGGUGUCUACUACUCCAAGAAAUUAUGAAAAAGUCACAAACAUGGUUUGAGACACAUUCGUAUUUGGAGUUUACUAGUAUUUCUACUAGAAUCAGAGAUAGAGAAGAUGGAUUCGUGUUCAGAAGCUUGCAUGUUUUAGGUAUCUUAAAGGAAUAAGGGAAAGUCUGAAUUAUAGUCCUCAAGAUAAGAAUGUAUUUAUAGAAAUAUUAUUUACUUUCUUUGAGGAAGACUAUAUAAUGACUUAUAACCUAAGAGUAAGGUAAAACUAGAGAAAUAAAAGAGAUCAGGUUGAUGCUAAGCUUUCAACACCUGUUAUAGAACAGGAAGAACAGCAACAACCAGCUGAUCAGCACAAGAUUAUCCUUGAACAACCAUCACUUUUAGAACCUCGUCGUAGUGGGAGGGUAACUAGGUUACCUGCGAGAUACAUGCUUUUGGGAGAAACCUAUACGGCUAUCUCAUAUGAACAUGUAUAAGAUCCCACUAGUUACAACGAAGCUCUAAUAGAUAGAGAUGUUGAAUUUUAAAAAAGGCCAUGAAUCAAGAAAUGGAAUCUAUGUAUUCCAAUAAAGUCUGGGAACUUGUAGAGGCACCAAAUGAGGUAAAACCUAUAGGGUGCAAGUGGAUCUACAAGAGAAAAGGAGGAGUAGACGGAAGGGUGGAAAUAUUUAAAGCAAGAUUAGUAGCCGAAGGGUUUACUCAGAAAGAAGGAAUCAAUUAUGAGGAAACAUUUUCUCCGGUUGCUAUGCUUAAAUCCAUCAGGAUUCUGCUUUCCAUUGCUGCAGUGCUAAAUUAUGAAAUUUGGCAAAUGGAUGUCAAGACUGCCUUUCUUAACAGGCAUCUUGAAGAAAACAUCUACAUGCAGCAACCAGAUGGAUUUAUACAAAAAAUGCCAAGAACACAUGGUAUGUAAGUUACAGAGAUCCAUUUAUGGAUUGAAGCAAGCAUCCCGGUCAUGGAACAUCAGAUUUGAUCAAGCGAUUAAAUCACUUGGAUUCAUUCUGAACAUUGAUGAACCAUGUGUGUACAAGAAAAUUCAGGGAAAAUUUGUAGCCUUCCUAGUUCUUUGUGUAGACAAUAUUCUCCUGAUUGGAAACGAUAUAGGAGUAUUGACUAUAAUAAAGAUCGGGUUAGCAAAAUAAUUUGAUAUGAAAGACCUGGGAGAGAUAAGUUAUAUUCUUGGUAUCAAGUUACUACGAGACCGGAAGAAUAAAACUUCAGCCUUGUCUCAAGCGGUCUAUAUCGAUAAGAUAUUGGCUAGAUUUAGCAUGGAAAAUUCCAAGACUGGUUUAUUACCAUUCAGACAUGGAAUUACAUUCUCUAAGGAUCAAUCACCUAAAACAUCUGAAGAGAUAAAGAGAAUGAGACGAGUUCCCUAUGCAGAAGCUGUGGGAAGUCUCAUGUAUGUCAUGCUUUGCACUACGCCAGACAUCUAUUUUGCGGUAGGGAUGGUUAGCAGAUAUAAAUUUAAUCCUGGACCUCAAUACUGGACUGCAGUCAAGCAUAUUAUAAAGUAUCUGAAAAGAACUAAAAAUUAUAUGCUUGUGUAUUCUGGUGAUGAACUUAUUCUAGUGGGUUAUACUAAUUCUGAUUUUUUUGUCAGAUAAGGAUUUUUAGAAAAUCAACGUCCGGCUAUGUGUUUACAUUAGGAAGUGGAGCUAUUAGUUGGAUGAGUGUGAAACAAUCUUGUAUCACAGACUCCACAACUGAAGCUGAAUAUGUGGCUACAUCUGAAGUUGCAAAAGAAGCUAUAUAGGCUCCGCAAGUUCCUACAAGAUCUUGAGGUGGUGCCUGCUGUAACUGCACCCCUUAAACUAUUUUGUGAUAAUGGUGGUGCAGUAGCUCAAUCUAAGGAACCAAAAGAAACAAAACAUACUGACAGGAAGUAUCAUUAAGGGAAUAGUGUAGAAAGGUUAUAUGACAGUACCCCAAAUGGCAUUAGAUGCUAAAUGGCAGAUCUUAUUACAAUGGCCAUUAGUGGGAAACCUUUAUAACCUGCACUUAGAGCCCUAGAGCAUGUGCAAUAUGCCAGAUAUGCUUUGAGAGCUAGUGGGAGAUUGUUGGGAAAUUAUGCUCUUUAAAAGCAUAUGUGUUUAUUUAAUUGUAAUAAACAAUUUUUUCUGAUUAAUAAAAUAAAUGAGGUAUUUUAUUCAAAUAUCUUAAUUGCAUUAAUAUUUGUAUUAAAGUCCAUUUAAUCAUAUUAUAUGUAUUUAUGUGAUCACCAUGUGGAUUCACAGAAGACAUAAAUACAAGUUAUCUUAUGAUUAAAUAAAUUUAGUUCGCAGUUGAUAAAUAAAGUUGGGCACUUUAUUUAGGUAUAGACUGUAAUAAAUUCAUUGAAUGAUUUGUCUUAAUCAUGUAUGAAUUUAUUGAUGUAGUACGACUACAUUGAACAGGAUCACAUAUGAGAUUUAAUUAACUUUGUAAUAACUGUCAGACUUAUUAAAUCUCAUAGGCGUUGAUUUUACUGUAAUCUUAAUCUUGAGUUAAUUAUGAUUUCAUGAUUGUAAUUGUUAUUUCAUUUGAGUUACCAAUGGGCACGACACAUCCUUGUGGUCAAGAUUACCCGGUAUCUUGGUGGGAGCAAUUAUGAGUAUUGGAGUUAUGGAUUAACAAUAUAGAAUUUGUACAACACAUCUCUUGAUAGGUUUUCGGUACUUGAUCAUAGAAUUCUCUGGCCAGAGUGUGUCAACUAUUUAGUAUGUUGAAAAUGAUCAUUAGAGAAAACCAGUAAGGAUCAAGGAAUAAGAUGUUAUUAAAUUGAUUGGACAGUUGAGAUAUCAAUUUAAUUAACGAUGUGGUACAAAAGAUUGUGCAGUAAAGAAAUCAAUGUGGCUUGGGACGAAUUAUUAUUCGAGCAUACAAUUAUGGAAGUCAGUUCCAAUCUUUUAGUGGAGUAGAUUUGGAAUUAAAUAAUUAGGCUAGUUUAAUUACAGACUUAAUUGUUAUAGCCACUAUUGUAUGUUCCCAAAUAAUCCCCGGGUUAGCUCAUUUAAUUGACUGCACCACUACUGGACUAAUAAGCAAGAUAACUAGCUAUUUGGGUCAAAAGCCUAAAUAUAUCAUUUAGUGGGAGGCUCCAUUUAAUUAGCUUAUGUGUAAUGGGCCUUAUGUUAUUUUACAUGGUGGGUCUCCUAUUAAAUGAAAAGUAACGUGAGUUUUAUUUAGGGCAUUAUUUGGAGCCUAGGGUUUUCACUAAAGGGAGAUAUAUAAGGCUUAUUUUCUUAAAAAAAAAAAAGAAAAGCCACUUUAUACAGAUCAGAGAAUAAGAUUUUUCUCUCUAUUGUUGAGAGAAAAAUUUUCUCGUGCUAGUUGCUUUGGUAGUGAUAAAGGCGCCCACACGUCAAGUGCAGAUCGAACCUGAGUCAUAACCUGGAAGAUCAUUGGUGACAUAUCGUGAUCUAACAAGCGUGGUGGUGACAGAUCGUGAUCUAACAGGAGUGGUGGUGGCGGAUCGUGAUCUAGGAGCCUAAAUCACUUCAGCGGAAAAAGUCAACUCGGUUUUUCAAGGUACGAUUUCUAGAAUACAAAUUUUUAUAUAUUAUAUGAGAGCGAUCUUCAAAAGGUUUUAUAAAAAUUUAAAAACCUAAUUUUUCCCUAACAGAAAGAAGGGUUUUGGAGAGAGUGGGAAUUAGUGGAGGCAAAAAUGGAGAGUUUUGAGAGUGAGAUGAUUGGUGGGGGUGGUGAUGGCGGUGGUGGGGUUAAUGUUCUGGAGGGUAUGCUGAAGAGAGGUCGCAAGAGAACCUCCAUAGCCUUUAAAGAGAGUUGAGUUGCUGCUUUCUUUUGCCGUUUUAAGAGAAUAAUUGGGUGGUGGAUAGAGAGAGAUUAGAGAGACAAAAUACUUUCCCUUUUAGAUUGGAUUUACCCGCCACUCGGCCUCACUCUCACUGCCUUUUAUUUAGCUACUGAAUUUUGAGACUCAAUAAUGAUGCAUAUAUGUAACCCAAUUGAGCCAUAGCCCAUAGCACCACUCGUAACUUUGCUCACUGCCAAAAUUACCAAAUACUACACCUGUGCCCAAGUAAAAGGGUUCGUCCUAACUGAUUCGGUUCAGAUUGGUCCUGCCACAGACCAAACCAACCAAAACGGAUCACUUAAGAAAUAUAUAAACCAAACCCAAACUCAUUUAUAGAACCAAAAAAAAAAAUAUAAAUAAUGGAAGUUGACUUGGGUUUAACAUAAAUGAAGGGCAAUUGACUUGGUUUAACUACCUUGAUUGUUAAACUUGAUUCAGUAAAUAUUGUUACUUUGAUUAAUGAAAGUUUGUCUAGCGAAAAAGAGAUUGGUUGGCUAGUAUGGGAGACCAAGGGUCUUAUAAUUAAUAGAGCUGCCAUUAUAGUUAAAUUGGUUGGCUAUUAUGGGAGAUCAACGAUCUUAUGAUUAAUAGAGCUGCCAUUAUAGUUAAACAUGCACCUAGAUCUUAUAAUGGGGUGGCUCACAUUUUAAACAAAUUGUAAUUUUCUUUUCCAAAGCGCUCAAAUUACUUACAUAUUAUUAAUUUAUUAUAUCAUUAAUAAUUUUAAUAAAAUUAUUAUUUAAAAUAUAUAUUUAUUAUAAAAUUUUUAAUUUUUAUUUUAUAAUUACAAAAUUUUUUACACAACAGUAACUGUAGCUUAAAAAUUAAAGUACCUCAAUCACAAACAGAUUAUAAAACUAAUUUCUCUGUCGUCAUUUGCAAUAUGGCCAUCAAAACCCACCCAUAAAUCGAGGCCAGGAAUAGAUUGUCAUGAUGAUAGUAACAAUAAAUAAUAAAUAAUAUUUUAAUUUUAUCUUGUUAUUUGGUAGGUCAGAUUUGGGUAAAAAAGAUGAUUUAGUCUCUCCAUAUCUUAGUAUUUGAACCAAAAAAAAUAAUAAUUCUUUACAUCAUCAUUGAUUGCACUUGUAAAUCUAAGGGAUUAGAAUUCUGUAUUGAAUUUAUUUUUUAUUAAAUAAAAAAUUAAUGUUAAAAUCAUUUUAUUUUAUUUUUUUAUCUAGCUAUCAUUGACUUAAUAUUUUGGAUCUUCAUCCAAAGUAAAGGCACAAAAUUUUUAUUGUAAAUAAAUAUUCUCAAUAUAAAUUUAUCACUUAAAUAAUAAAUGAUAAGAUUUAAUAUUAAUUCUGUCAUUACUGAAAUGAAUUACAAAUUUUAUAUGACGUGUAAACGUGUCAUUAUGUUCUCGAUAUUUGACAUAUGAAUUAUAAAGCAACAAAUGUAUCAUAUUUUUAUUUCGGUAUUGUGCUUCUCCAAAUAUAACCCUCUCCAAAGCAGCAUAAUUCUUUUCAUUGUACUCAUUGCUUCUCUUCCUCUUUUCGUCAACGACAAUGGGUAACCUAAUCUCAACCUUCUUACCAGCAGACUUAUUUGAUCGAACUUCAAACUGCGUUGGUGAACAAGCAAAUUAUGUAUGGGGUCUCGAAAAAAAUCUUCGGGUCUUGGAGACUGAAUUGCACAAAUUGACUCGAGCAAGGGACGAUCUGAAGACCAAGGUUGAGGUCGAAGAACAGCGACCUCGAACCAGACGAACGAACCAGGUCGCAGGGUGGCUUGAAGAUGUGCAAAAACUGGAAACCGAAUUUACCGAGCUCGAACGAGUUAGAGCUCAAGAAAUGGAUAGAUUGUGCCUUGGAGGCCUCUGUUCCAAAAACUUCGUUUCAAGCUACAAUUACGGGACUCAGGUGGUCGAGUUGACGGAUCGAGUGAUCAAUUUAAAGAAAGACGGAGAAAAAUUUGAAGUCGUUGUUGAGAAGGCGCCAGAUGGUGCAGCAAUUGAAUUACCUCUUGAUCACACAGUUGUUGGUCAAAAACUAUUACUUGAUCAAGUUUGGAGAUGUAUCACUGAUCAGGAAAAGAACAGGGGAAUUAUCGGCUUGUAUGGUAUAGGGGGAGUCGGCAAAACUACCCUUUUAAAACAAGUCAACAACAACUUCCGCUAUCAACAGCAUAGGUUUGAUGUUGUUAUCUGGGCGGCUGUGUCAACACUUCAAGAUGACAUUGGAAAAAGGAUUGGCUUUUCAGAAGACCAAAGCUGGGAGAAAAAAAGUCCUCGAGACAAGGCUGCGGACAUCGCUAGAAUUUUAAGCGGAAAGAAGUUUGUGUUGUUAUUGGAUGAUAUAUGGGAACGCAUUGAUUUAACACAAUUGGGUGUCCCUCUUCAAAAACUAAAUGAUGGGUCCAAAGUAGUCUUGACAACUCGUUCAGCUGGUGUUUGCGAUCAAAUGGACGCUGAAAAGGUGGAAGUGUAUAGUUUGGCGCAUGAUAAAGCCUGGGAAUUAUUUCAGGAGAUGGUCGACAGAUCCACUCUUGACAGUCAUACCAGUAUUCCAGAGCUAGCCGAAACCCUGGCAAGAGAGUGUGGUGGGUUGCCGCUAGCGCUUAAAAC